UGGUCCGCGCCCUUCGCAGAGUAGAAGAGGGAGUCCCAUCUGAUUCUGCGAUCAGGAACACAGAGGCGCAAGUAGCAGACUGUAUCGGAGUGUCAAUUCAACUUUUACUACCAGGACUGGAGUUGUUAGAUGUUGCUAGUGCCGUUGCAAUUAAACUAGAAAGCUCAGCUUUGAAUUUCAGCCCCUGGCUUUUUACAAGGACUGGAAUUGUUGGAUGUUGCUCGGUGCUGCUAUAACUUAACCAGAGAGCUGUGUGUCAAAUUUUAGCCCUUCUCAUUGGCCACGGCGAACAGCCUCUCAUGAUUAUGACAGUAUUCUCCACAUAAUAUUUCUCAAGAUAGUCCAUCCCCAUAAACCAUGAAAGGCUGUAUUGAUGUAGGAGCUGAAGAUGAAAUAUCUCUCACUUCAAUGUAUAGACACAUUCACCAUAUUCCUUCUCUAUGUAUAGCCAAUGAAGUAGUGUCUUUAAUUCUGAUAUUGUUCUUCACGCAUCAACUGACUUGCCUCUCAUUGUGAGUUUAAACAUAAUCUUUCCUUUACCCUUCAACUUCAAGAACUGGCUCUGACCAAUGGCAUCCGUCCCAAUAAUCAAGUUAUGGCCUACUACUCCUUCACAGCGCUCUCAAAAGCAUUCCGGGUGAUUACAGCACAUUCAGAGUGCUAGAAAAUGUAGUAUGGUUAAUCAACUGAAUCUGAAAGUGUUCAAUUAUCAGCCAAGCAGUUCACAUAGGCAAAGGAGGCUUCAAAGGCUUAUUCUUGUCUACCAAAAAUUCCUUCUCAUACUCUGAAGGGUAAGAGAAUUUGAUGUGGAAUGCAAAGUCAAAAGUAGUUUUUUACCAUCCACCAGAUUUACCUCCUUAAGAACGGCAGAAAUGGUAACAGCAGAUGAGGUCGUAGGAUUAUUAUGCAGCACCCGAGUCUUCUUGCAGUGCCUUUUGUACUUGAUUCAGACUGGCCAAAAGAUCCUGAUAUUCUCUCGUGUCUGAAAAAUUUGCUCCCUGAAAAAAAAAAUAAUCUGUCAGUCAAUUCCACAAGGAGAUUGAAUAACAACAUAGUCACUAGUCAGAUAACUGAAAGUAUCCAUUUGCAUAAGCUUCAUAACUCAUCAGAAGUAUAAGGUGCCAAGCAAAAGUAUGCCGCUAGUAAUAAAAUAUGUCCAGUAAGUUAAAGGCAACAUUCACCUGCUUAAUUAUGUUUUUAACAUGCAUCUCAGCCGCAAACAGUUCUCGACGACCACCAGUUUGAUAGGAAAGCUCCUGAUAUACUUUACAAAGUUCCAGUGAGGCAUGUGCAAAUUUUACAAACCGCUCCCUAUCCUUCCACAAAUCAGAUCCCUGAUAGGCUCUGACUUGCUUAAGCAGGGCCUCAGAGCACAUCGUAAGAUCCCCCUUCAAUUUGUGCCAUCGAGCAUACAGCCCCCAAACAUCAGCUCUCCACUACUUUUAACAAUCUGCUGCAAGAUCUUGCCAAGCAUUUGCAUCAAAUGCUCAAAUUCAUGCUUCCUAGCCAAGUCUUCUGAAAUUGUUGAUUUGUCAGCAUAAUUAACAUCUGAGGUAGCAUGAAUAUGCUGGGUGUCAUCGCCACCAGUUGCCUUUGAAGGAUGAGAAUUGAUAAUUGAAGCCUGUUUUUCAAUCUCUACGAUCAAUCUUUCUAGUAAAUCAACAUCAAAUCUUUUAUUACUAGUCAUGUCCAGGACCUUUUGUAUAGCAUCCAUUGCCUGGCUAUAAUUGCCAACGUCUGCAGCCACUUGGCUGAAAUUCUCCCACAUCUGCCAACUGUUUCGCUUGAAUUUUAAUGCUUCCUUGAAUGCAACGAAAGCCUCUUUGCUUUUCUUCCUAAUCAUGUGGAGGCAAGCUACAUUAUUCCAAGCCUCUCCAUUUUCAGGAUCAAGUUGAACAGCACGUGUAAACCCAUCCAAUGCUUUUUCAACAUCCCUAGCUUUCAGAGCAGCGGCACCAAGUGCAAACCAGCCAUCUGGAUACAAGGAAUUCAGUUUCAUUGCUGACUCCAUAGAACUUUUGACUUCUCAUAGUCUCCCCUGUUGUAUGCGCUGCGAGCAAGGGAUCGCAGAGCUCGAGCUGACUUGUUCCCUGAAACGUCAAGGGCCUUUUCAUAGCAAGAGUCUUCAAUUGUAACAUCACCAAGUGAACACCAUAACCUUGGGUCAUUAGGCCUUUCCAACAAUUGCUUCUUGAUAAGCUCUACAGCUGCUGCUUUCUUCUCCAAAAUUCUAUAGCAGUAUAUCAAAUUAUCCAAAGCUCAAGAUCUUCAUAAACUUUGAUAGCUUCUCCUAUCAACCUGCAGCUGACUAAAAGAUCACCAAACUCCUUGCGUAAUGCAGGAAUUCCAGGGUUGUUCACUGCAAAAGAGUAAAACAUCCUCUGCACAACACCAGGAGAAGGUUCAUUUAUACUUUCAACUAGUUUCUCCAUCAUCAAAAGUGCACGCUGCUUUGUGCGGCUACGAGUUGAUUCCCACCGAACGCGUAACAUGUUGCAAAAAUAUUUAAUUGUGAAUGGUGAGGAUUGUUGAGAAUCUAUUGCCUCCAUAUAUGGUGCCAUUUUGUAGUGUUGCAAUUCAUCGUUCCGAGCACUUUUCUCAAUAGAAAGACAUUGCGCCAAAAUCACAGCCUGUUGGAUUGCCUUCAACUGUGUGGCAGAAAUACUAGAAAUUUGAACAGCUUGAUCACCACUAUCAGAAGUUUUAUCUUCUAAAAUUCUAGGGGCCAUCAACACGUCAGAUGCUUCCUGUGUUUCAGGAGGAUGCUGAAGUGAUGUACCAUCAAUAGUGGUGGUUAUGUCAUCCUGCAUCUCAUGGCUAACUGAUCCAGUGGUACUAUCACUCCUUUUGCCCGUUACAAGAAGCAACUGAGCCUUGGGUUCCACCUGUAUUCCCCACUCUAUCAGGAUGGCCAUGGAUUGAGAAUCUUAAGUGAUCCAUCACAUCUCACUAAAGGUUUCUAUUCAAUACAAGUAAAAUUUAAAAUACCUGAUGCAUGGUGCGGAAUCCAAGAGCUCCACUAACAGAAAAAUCAAGUUUUGAUUGUUUUUGAGCUGUUUCAAAGUGCAGUCUGACAUAAAGAGUUUUUAGAAAAAUUAAUAGUGCUAUUGGAAAUGAACAAGUAAGAAAAUUAUAAGGUCGUCAACAAAGGGUGAGGGUGACAGAUCUAAGAAAGAACAGAUCCUCAACGAGAAUAACAUAACAGGUCUUCAACUAUGAAUAAGAUACUCAGAUGCGAUACAACAGCAUGGAUAUAACAUGGGAAUAUAUCAAUUUCAGUUUGACUCCCUUAUGGUCAUUUCACUAGCUUCCUAUCAUGCUAGCAAUGCAGUUACUUUAAUGAAAUAAAUGGCAUAUUUACCAUUAACCUUAAAAAUAUCAACUUCAACCUGUCUCGACUUGAACUCUACUCAAGGAGUUUUCAAGACCAUAUAGUAGAUUUGUCGCAUCACAUUAAGAAAAACAAAAGGUAAGAAAAACAUUUGAAGUAUUACUAAUCUUAAAAUGAGAAAUGCAUUUGCAUUACCUUCCACAUCACCUAGAAAUCUUGACAUUUCAGCAUAAUUUCAAAAUAUGGGAGUUUGGAGGAAGUAAGCAGACAUAAAUAGACAUUAUUUUCCAUUCCAUCACAAUAUUCUGUGCUACUCUUAAGUAUUCCUAUAUUUAUUUAACGCUAUCAUGUUUCCAUCUCAGCUAGUGCAUAACACAUUUUGACCUUUAUGUGCAGGCACUUCUAUUAGAAGACAUUUACACCUGCAUAAGAGUGCAUCCAUAAAUCACAGGUGGUCUACAUGAGCCUCCUAAAAGUGUCUGCACUUUACAAAUAACAAUUAUUGACAAAAAGGAACCAAAGUCAGAAAAGGUACACUGCAGCACAUGCUAUAGCACUUCUAAAGCAUUUGGAAAGCUAGCAUUAUGCAGCUACUCGGUAAGUUAAUCAUCUUCCAAAAUCAGGUUGAGAAAACUGGAUGUAUGGUUUCAUGGUGAACCCAUUUAGUAUCUCACCUCAAAAUGUACUACCACUGGAACCCAAAUAUGCCUUUAGCCCAUAGGGUAACUUUUGCACCACAAUGGCACUAUGCACUAAAGACAAUUCUGAUUAAAAUCCGAUUAUCUAUAAUAUCUAUCCAAUACCAUGACUAUAGAGAUUGACGGUAUUCAGAAUAGCAUAUGCCAAAGGACAAAUUAAGACAGGAUCCAACCCAACCAAACAUCAAUAUACCAACUCAAAUCUGCACCAAUAUCAGAUGAUAUAGAGAGUUGGAAAUCAUAUUAACUUGCACCAGAAACAUCACUUGUUAUACAAUGUCCUUACAUGAUAUCUCUGCAGUCAAUCACAACAUAGCUACAGCUUGAAAGUAUACAUAUGGUGACUCACCUGGAAGAAUCUACCCGUGCAUAUGUGAGUUCCAUCAUCCCCACCUCUAAAUGGAGCAUGGAUAUGAUAGUUAAAGCAUCUUCUUCUGAUAGCCUUUGACCCCAAUAAUUUGUCACUUUGCCUAGACUAUCAAAAUGUCGUAAACUUUCAUGUGAAUAUACUUGUAAGAGGUCAAAUACAGUGGAUGAACAUUCAUCCAACAGUUUCUGAUGAAUGAGCAGCACCCUAGCAAGCCACCAACAAAUACUUCUCACAGCAGCAGUAGUGAUACUGCUGUCUAGCAACAGAUCUUUCGUCUUCAUCAGUAAUAUCUUUGACAGAACUAUAUACUACAAAAAGCAAACAGACCAAAUGUUUUUCACUAAGAGAUGUUGCAAAAGGAGAAAACAACAUAUCAAAGUCAAGAAGCUGAGUGUAUCAUUAUCAUGCUGACGACACAUGCAUAAGAACCUCUCCUACAGCCAUGACAUUGAUACCAUUGAACGUAUGUUAGUUAAAUUAGCAGAAGGACAUGAGCUAUUCCUAUAGAACUUCUACCUUCCAGUCAACACUGUCCAAUUACAGCUCAUGAAACAGAAGGAUGUCAACUUCUUUAAGCUAAAAUAGUAUGUAAAUAGUAUGUACCAGGAUACUCCUCUACCUGCAUGCACUCUGUUAAAACUUUAUAAGUCAAAGCAUAGACAUGAAGCCAUGGAAAAUGAGGGCCCAAUAAUUUCCCAUAUCUUGCUCCUUACUAAAUUAUGAAUUGAACUUAUCUUUCAAGAUAGCCUGGUCUAGAAAGCUUAUCUAAGUAAACGUACAUAGCAAAAGAAAGCUAGGAACUAAACAGGCUGUUGUUCAUGAGUUUUCUUGUGUCUGACAAAAUGAACUAACACUCUAAUCAGGUCUGUCGCUACAGAAACACUAAAGCAUAUAUUCAUAUGUUUAGGAUUUCAUGUAAAACGAAAUUUCAGAACAAAAUUUAGGAUUUUCCAGAAACAUAUAGAAGUGUAGCUUCCACAAAAUAUAGAUUGUUUUUUGACCCUUGGCAAUUAGUUAUUAAAGGAUACCUACAAUGUGGACAGGGAUAACAUGAAUUCGGGAAAGCAACUAAAAUCAAGAAAAUAAUCUGGAAAGGACCACAUAACCAUCUGAGACAGCACAAAAUUUACUGCAAAUCUUGUCACUUGUUUUAUCUUUUGGCGAUAUUAUAUUCCAAUGGAAAAAGGUCCCAUCAGAAAAAAGAAUAUAAUCACCAAAAAACCAAUAUUUGUCACAGUACAUACUCCAACUUAUACUCAAUAAGCCAUUGGGAGAUCAAACAUGAAUCAACUUUGCAGCUGGAACUUAAAACACCAAAACAAUUCAAAGAACCAGAAAAUUGAAAAAAAAAAGGACUGCCUAUUAGACCAGUACCUGGAAAUUUGAGAAUUUUCCUCGAACAUCAGAACCAACUGACAUUAUGUCCUUUUGUGCCCAUAAUUCCCACUCUAUCCAAUUAUCAUUAAUUGGCAACAAUGGCAUCGCUGGCAUUUUUUCCACUGGACUACAACCAAAUUACAUGAACAUCAGUUCAUAUAUUUGAACAAAUCAUCAAGUCAGAAAGUUAAAAAAAAUGGAGAGUUUUCAUUUGUCUUAAAAUCACUAUCACAACAUAAAAUUGUGCACGAAAUCAGGUAAAUUACAUGAAAACACUGAUCAUUCCAUGUAAAGAUUAUACAAUUUUGACUUUUCCCCAGUUAAUUUUCUACUUUACUACAGAAAUACUCUAUAGAUUGAAAAACUGAUAUACAUCACUUCUCAAGUCAAUAUGCCUCACGCGGGGAAAUUUUUAAAAAAAAUUCUUACCACCCUAACUUCUUCAAAAUAAAAAUAAUAAUCAUAACCAAUUAAAAAAUAUCUUUCUUUAUAUUUCUCCAGUUUUAACUUGCUCGAGCUCGCUAAAGCAGAUGCUAAUAAGUAAUAGCAAAAGUAACUCAUCUUCGAAUUCAUAAACAAAAAACAAAUAACUUAAAAGGAAAAAUAAAUUCGAAAGGCUCAAACUUUAAGAACAAAUAAAUAUCAUAAAAAACACACCAAAAAACUGAAAAUUUAAUGGAAAUUAAUACAAGAUUAGAAAUUACCCAGUAACAUUUGAUUGAGUAAAAGCCAGCAAAGCCGCGACGGCGAUGGCCAUAACAAGAAAAGCCCUGAAACAUUUCUCCAAUUCAUCAAUUUCCGAAUCGGAAUUCCCAUUCACGAAAACGACGACGCUCUGGGGACUAACUCGGAAUAGAAUAACUCGCUGAAUCAGCCGAGCUAGAGAACGCGGUGGCCGAGUCGAAGCUGAAGAUAGAUUUAACUGCGGCGGAAGACAGAGCUUCGACAUAGUUCCCUGACUCGAUCAAUUGAACGACAUCGGAAAUGAGGGUUUGGAGAUUGGGAGGAACUUCAUCGGACGGUGGAAAUGUCGGCAGGGGAUUAUCGGACGGUAGAGUACAGCGGAGGAGCCGAAGCUCCAGAGACCGGAGCAUGUGUAGAGCGGCGCAUCGGAAUUUUCUUCCAUGGAAAAAGUUGGGUUUUUUAGGUUUGGAGGAAGAAAUAAGAGGGUUUAAACGGUCAAGGAGUUUAAAAGAGAAGAAGAAAGAGAAUCUUCAGGAGGAGGAGGGUUUAAGCGGCUAUUUGUUUCUGGUUUCUGGUUUCUGGUUUCGUGUCUUUUCACGAGUUCAAUAGUGUGUUGGGACGAUUUCAUGUAUGAGUAUCAAAAGCGUGCUUGGCGGCUUCAGAUCACUUUUUGUUUGAAAUUUUUAUGGCAUCAUGACAUUGGGGAUUGGAUUCAAAGGUGCUAUAGCUUAGUGCGGUGGAUUAUACACACGAAGAAGAACACACUUAGGCAUGAUUUGGACUGCAAGUUUUGAAGUUUUUAUAAAAAAAAUAUAUCAUAACAAUGUAAGUAUGUGAGGUAAGUAGGUGAUUCAAAAUAUGUUGAGAGAAAAUUUUUUAUGAAAAUUCGCAAUUCAAGCAAGAACUUAACCUUUUCACUGAAAUUUGAGGGUUGGGCCUCUAUAGUAAUUGGUGCAAUCGGAGAGUUCAACACUUGAUGUGGCUUAAAUUGGUAUCUCGAAUUUUAUAUUUUUGUGAAGGAAAAAAUUAAUUUAAAAUUAGUAGAUUGAGGCUCAACUUAUUUGCGUUAGGGGUGGCAAUUUUCGACACGACCUGAAAACACGACACGAACCUAACACGAAAUUAAUGGGUUUGGGUUGAGGUUUCGGGAAUUCGGGUCAGAAUCGGGUUGGACCCGAUGAACCCGAAAAGAAAACAGGUCGAUUUUGGGUCAACCCGUGGCGACCUGAUAUGACCCGAUAUGACCCGUUUACGAAUUAAAAAUAAUUUAAUAAACAUAAAAAUAAUUUUAUCUAACUAAACUAAGUUAUUCUUUUUUUUCAAAGGCAUUAAUUACUUAAUCCUAAAUGAAUUUAUUUAAUUUGUGUGAAGUUGAAAUUAUUAUAUUUAGACAAAUAAUAUAUUAUUAUUUUUUAAUUUUAUACUGUUUUAAUUUAUUUUAUAUUUUGUUUGGGAUAAAACACUUCUACGGUGUUUAAUUUAUUUUAGAUUUGGUUUGAAAUUAUUUAUUUAAAUUUUAUUACUUGAUUAUGUAAUUAGUUUUGUGAGAAAUUGAUUUUAUUAGAAAUUACAGUGAUAAAUUAAUAAAUUAAAAUUAAGUUUCGGGUCAUUUCGGGUCGACCCGCCAACCCGCCAACCUGAAAUUUUCGGGUUCGGGUCAGCAUACCUGACCUGUCACGGGUUGGCGGGUCGGGUUCGGGUCAACAGAUUUUUCUGACGGGUUGACCCGAACCCGACCCGCCAACCUGAUUUGGACCCGAAUUGCCACCCCUAAUUUGCGCCACUAAUUACAUAGAAUCCACUCCCUUUAUAUCUUUGUCAUAGCAUGAGUCAAUAAUUAGUCAAGGUAUAAUGUCAUGUAAUGCACAAAUACUAAUCAUAUUAUAUCACAAGUAAUGUUAAUCCUCCAAAUUUAAUUCACAUCAAAUGUGAUUAGUAGUAAUGCAUCAUGCAACAUUGCUGUGUGUAUUAUGAUCAUGCAACAUCUUUUUCGUGAUGUUUGAGUUGUUUCCCAUCUUGUGUGGAUCUAUUUUUCUUUGACUAGUUUUUCAGGUUUUGCUGAGGAAUCACAUUCUUUUUGUGUGGUUUAGUGAUACAUGAUAAUCUAAUAAAGUCGAAUAAAAUUAGAUAAAACUAUUAGAGGGAGGAGAGAAGAAAGAAAGAAAUGAUCACUCAUCCAAUCAUAUCUACCCCACUAGUGGUGUUAACCGGUCGGGUUUGGACCUGGACUUGACCCAGAUCUGAUAAAUUUUUUCAGAUUUGGGUUGAAAAAUAAUUUCGAUAUCUGGACCUUGACCUGGACUCGUUUACUCUAACAAAAAACGGGUCGGAUAUGGAAUAUAGGAUUCCGACCCGUAUCCGAACAAUAUAUUAAUAAUUAUAAGGGAGAAUUGUAAUUUUGGUCUCCAAUCUAUAGUGUAUGCACGGAAUUAUUCCCCAAUCUAUUUUGAAAAUCAAUUUUGGUCCCCAACCUGUUCAAUUUUGCGUGAAAUGGACAAUUGACGAAAUUGUCUUCAAUUUCAACCGGAACCAAGUCACGUGAGAUCACGUGCCGGCACCUAAAACCCUUUUUUAAUUUUUUAAUAUCUAAAAUACGUUUUUAAUAUAUUCAGCUUUCUCUUGCCUUUUGUCUUAUUAAACAAAGACAUAAAAGGCUAAAAUUUACUAAUCAAGCAGCGGAGCCCACCAAAAAGGUUGAAAAUCACAAAAAAGAAACAUUUGCUCUCACAUUUCUCAACCCUGGUCUCUUCAACAAAAAGAACGAUAAACCCUAAGAGCCAAAAUCAAGAAUCAAAACACAAAAAAAUGAGGAAAAAUAUUGUAGAAUUCAGUCAAGUUGAAGCUCUUGGUGGCUUUGCAAUGUAGAAAUGACAGUGAGGUAUGUGAAAUAAACAGGCUGGCAACACCUAAUUAUGGUAUAUGAUUUUGCCUUCUUUUUGUGAUAUAUAUGCACAAUCGCCCAUUAUAUUGUUAGAAUAUGGUGCAAAAGAUGCUUUUUGUACUUGGGGGACAAAAAAUUGUGACUAAGGCUUUAUUAACGACUAAUUUUGAAAAAAGCCCUACAAAAAUUUGUUAUUUGUGAUGUGGUCCCAUGUGUCUCUCUAUUGUCGGUUCUCAUGCUGGUCCAUGUUUAGUGUAGUGGGACUUAUUUUACUGUAAUUGAUGGUCCUUGUCUCUAAAUCUUUGCAAAAGUAUGCAUUUUGUAUUGUCGGUUUGCUAGUUUUACUAUUUCUAUCAUCUAAAUUGUGGCCCGUGUUGCUUGUUUGUUGUUUUUGUUUCUUUUUUUUUCUUAAAUGUGGACAGUAAUAGCACGGAAGUGACAGUAAAGUGUCACUUAUGGGGGAAAUGUGAAACUGAACCUGAUGUUCAUUGUGGGGGAGGUGAAUUAAGGGUAUUUGAUCAUGUAGAAGUCACAGGUAUAAGCUUUUUUGAAAUGAAUAGAAUGUUGGAAAGUCAGGUUGGGGCUGUAGGUGACAAAAAGUACGAUAUUUUGAUAGAGGAAUAUGACUUCCAUUUGCUAAAGCAUAAUAGAGAAUUGCAUGCCUAUUGUGUUGAUCAAUUUGACUAUGAGAGGGUAGUUGAUUUGUACAUAGAGGUUUGCUUUAGUGAGUUAUUAGUAUCGCAGUAGGGGUCUGACAUUGAUGAUGAAGACUUUGUAUUAGUAGAUAAAGAGGAUGAAUCUGAUAGUGAAUAUACGAGGGGUUUUGAUUCUGGAAAAUUCUCAAGAAAAAAUUCAGAUUAUGAGCAAAAUUCUGAUAACAAUGACUAUGAAGAAAGUGUUGAUCAUAAUUUAGAAUGGUUAGGGGUAGAAUAUCACAAGAAAGAACAGCUUAAGAGGAAUGAAAAAAGAAAUGUGUAGAGAAAACUAGGAGACAAACGGUGAAUAAUUCUGAUACUAAUGAUAAUAACUUCGACAUAGAUGUUCCACUAGAUUCAGGUUCAGAUAUUUAUAGUCUCUAGGGUUCAGAUAAAGAGAUGAUAUGUUUGGUAAGAUGGAAAAUAUUUUCAUUCUGUUCAAAUUAUUUUCGAGGAAAAGAUUUGCAUUUACAUAAUUUUCUGGUGUUUGGUUGCAAUUUGAAACUUUGCUUCUAUCAUUAAGGGUAAAAAACAAAAAAGUCUCUUGUGGUAAAUUUAAUAUACAGAAAAGUUUCCUGUAAUUUCAAAACAUACAACACGAUAUCUCAUAUUUUGAACUAAAUUGUAAAGAUGAUGGAAUCUGUUAAACUUAAUGGAAAUGAUUUAUUGAAAUUUAUUUUUUUUAUAUCUAAUAUUUAACAAGUAUACAUGUUCUACUCCUUAACCCUCAAUUUUCUCUCUCUAGAGGAUAAAACAAAUGAUUUUGUUGACCUAUUUUUUGUUUAAUUAUAUUAGAGUAUUUUUGUCAUUUCAUCAAUUUCCGUUAAAUUUAACGGAUUCCGUCGUCUUUACAAUUUAGUUCAAAGCAUGAGAUCUUGUAUUAUACGUUUUGAAACCAUGAAGGGCUUUUCUAUAUUUUAGAUUUACCAAGGGAGCUUUCUUGUUUUUUAUCCUAUCAUUAAAAUGUCAAUGACCAAUCGCCACCACUGUUGCUCUCCGCUCAUUGUUACUGUACUUCACCACCAGUUGACAAGUCCUAAUCCAUGAAUCCAUCCGUGAAAUAACAUUUUUUUAUGUAUUAGUAAUAUUUACAAACUCUAAAUUCAAUUUUCAUAAUCAGAUAGUAUAAACUUCCAAGGAUAAAGAUCAUGGGCAAUUCGACGAAAAAGAUUGGAGUUUCAAAAGAAAAAAAAAAAGAAUCUGCAUGGAGAAGGAAAAAUCAAGUUAUUAAAAAGGAGAAAAUUCCAUUUGCACCGAAAGUUUGUCGGUAAUGGAGUCAUUAAUGAGUUUGUCACGAGUGAAGAUUUGGCAAAUUGUUUGACACACUUUUGGAGUUUUUUGUGUCCGUUGGAUUGAAUUGUCUUCUAUCAACAAAUGAUAGGAGUUUCAACUUUAUCAGCAGAUGCGUUGUUUUGGAAAGCAACUGCAAUUCCUCCUGUUUUGUAUCGAAUGGGGAAAAUAAUUUCUUGCGUAAAAUAUUUUCACUAGUUCUAAGGCAACCAAAUACUUGAAAUUGUGAAAAACAUUUUUUGGAAAAUGUUUCCAGUCCAAACAAACACAGUCAGAGUUAUUCAAGACCCCCUACUUGUGACCCCAAGGAUGCAGAUAACCCCAAACUUGAAUUUAGACAGGUAUUUACCACAUUCAAAGAGUUUAAAGAGGUAGUUAGAAUCUGGAAUAUCAUGCAGGGUAGAUCAUUUAAAUUUAUCAAGAGAGACACCAUUAGAGUUAUGACAAUUUGUCCUAAAAAGGGAUGUGACUGGUGCAUAUAUGAUAGGAAGAUGAAAGGUGAUGGCAGAUUGAAAGUUAGAAUAUUGCAGCAGAAACCCAAGUGUGGGUUUUCAUAUCAUAACAGGAGUGUCAAAUCUGCGUGGGUUGGUGGAAAAUAUGUUAACACAUUUAGAGAGAAUCCCAAAUUGGAUUAUGGUAGUUUCAAAAAUCUGGUAAUGAAAGAGAACAAGUGCUAUUUGAGUAGACAUCAAGACUAUAGAGCUAAAAAAAUUGGUAGGGAGUUAUUCCAAGGUAGUGAUGUGGACUAGUACAAUAAGUUGUCUAUGUAUAUCAAUGAAAAUUUGAGAAGUUACCCAGGUAGUACUGUAGUAAUGAAGGUGGCAGAAGACUACUGUGAUUCAGUCACCAAAAAAAAAAUUCAAAGAUUGUACAUGUGUUUGGGUUAGAUGGGAUGGAAAAAGGAUUUUUAGAUGCUUGCAAGCCUGUGUUUGGGUUAGAUGGAACUUUUCUCAAAGGUGCAGUUGGUGGAGUAUUACUGACAGCAGUUGGAGUUGAUCCAAAUAAUGGUUUGUAUCCAAUUGCUUAUGCAGCAAUAGAGGGAGAAACUAAGGAUUCCUGGAUUUGAUUUCUUACUUUACUUAAAGAGGACCUAAAAAUUGAAAAAGAUUAUGAAUGGACCAUAAUGAGUGACAAGCAGAAGGGCAUAAUUCAGGCAUGUGAAACAAUUUUUUCAAGGGUUGAUCACAGAUUUUGUGUGAAGCAUAUGCAUAGCAAUAUGGCAGCAGCUGGAUUCAAAGAGAUAGCUAUGAGGCAAGCUCUACGGAAAGCAACUAAGGCAACCUAUUCAUACAUAAUUCAUAAGAAGAAUGGAAGUCAUAGCAGAAUUGGAUGUUGAUACAAUUAAGUGGUUAGAGGACAAGAAUCCAGUAGAGUGGAAUAGAUCACACUUCAGAACAUUCCCUAAAUGUGAUAUGUUGUUGAAUAACAUAUGUGAAUCAUUUAACAGUAAAAUAUUAGAUGUCAGGAAGGGGUCCAUUGUUGUUAUGAUGGAGGCAUUGAGGCAUUUUGUCAUGCAAAGAAUACAGAAAAAUAAAGAUAGAGCUAGGAAAAACUAGAGUAAAUUUGAUUUCUAUUCAAAAAAAAAAAAAAGGAUGAGGGCCAAUAUUGACAAGACAACUUACUGUGUGCCUUACAAAUCAAAUGAUGUGAGUUUUGAAAUUACUUGUCCUUAUGGUGAAAAGUGGGCAGUCAAUAUUGAGGAUAGGACUUGUUUAUGCAGGAAAUAGGAUUUGACAGGGAUAGUAUGUGCUCAUGCAAUUUCAGUUUUGUGGAUUGCUAUAAAGGACCAUAUGCAGUACAUUGAUGACUGUUACAGUGUUAAAACAUAUAUUAAAUGUUAUGACCCUUGCAUUUUACUUGUGAAUGGAGAGAAUAAGUGGAAAGAUGUAGAUGUUCAGGCACCCCUCCCACGAACUUAUGAAAGAGCACCAGGAAGACCAAAGAAACAGAGAAGAAAAUCUACUGAUAAGAUACAACAAACAAAGGAGCAUAGCAAGAAGGUGAGAAAAUUUGGUCAAAUCUGUAAAUGCUCAUUCUGUGGUGAGCAAGGCCAUAACACACGGACAUGUAAGGUUAGACAAGAAGCAGGUGCUGCAGCCAGUCAAAUGAGUAAACAGGGGCAGAAAACACAAGCAAAUCAAGAUAUGAGUCUCUCACAACUAUAUGACAUGAUGGUAGAUAACCGUGUAAGUAAUAAUUCCUAAUUUGUGUAAAUAGAUAUAGUAAUGAUUGUAACAUUGUAGCAACUAAUGCAUUUUAUGCUUUGUUACAAGUUAGUGGCAAUACUUCAAAUACAAAGAAGACAAGAACAAAAACAUCAAGAAAAUCUGUUAUAAUUUUAUUACUUAAUGUACAUUUAAUUUAUUGUUUCUUGUUAGUUCAAUAUUAGUGGUUAAAUGCUAAUGUAUUGUAGGGAAAUGGCACCAAACAAAGUGCAAAGCAAAUAGAUUCAUCACAGAACAACUUAGCAAUUGAUGAAUGACAACAUAAUAUUUUCUGCCCCUACUGCUCAACCAAAUCUCCAUGAAGUUUUUGGGAUCCUAAAAAAUUUUGUGAUACAUAGCAGUCAACCAGUUGACCAAGAAGGAUCUGUACCUUUUAGGAUCAAAGAUGUUCAAAUCCACCUUACAAUGACAAAGGGAAAGCCAACAUCAACUAACUAAUAAUCUUGUAGCUAGUUUAAUGUUGUUAAUUGGCACCUUUUGAAUGGUUGUGUUGCUGAAUUUUAAAUAUGUUAUUGUCAUAUUAGUAACUUUUGUACAUUGGUAUUUUGGAACUCAUGUAUCUUGAGAACAAGCCAGCAUGAACAUGACAUUUUGAAGUUUGUAAUUAUUUCUGGCAAAUGACAAAACAGUACCUAUUUGAUGGUUGUAAUGAAUUCUGAAUGUAUCUUUUGUACAUUGAUCCAAGUUAGCAAUGAAUUCUGCUUUUAUCUUUUGGUACGUUACCAUUUGUUUUGUUUUACUAUUCAGCAUUACAUAUGUGCUCUUCCAAAUCAGGAUUCAUGAUUUUGCUGUCAAAUGAUUCUUUCAUUCAAUCUCUCAAAUUGAAUUCAUUGUCCGGAGAUAACUCAAUAUUCAUAUAACUUGUAAAUGAACUGUAAAAACACAGCUAAGUGAUGGCAGAUUGGAAUAUCCAAUAUAUUCAUUCAUUCGAAAUAAACAUGUACUAGUCUGGUAGUAGAUUACAACUUACACAUUCACCCAUUCCAACAAAAAAGAUCAAAGAAUCCAGAUGAAUGUCUUUCAUCUCUAAGUUUAGAUUGCAACAAAUUAGCCUAACACUCAACACAUUUUCCUUUCACCAAUUAAUACCAAGACUGUCCAAACUUCUGCCCUUUAUAGCAACAUAAUAACCAGCAGAAGUACCAACAAGAAAAUUGCCAAUAAUAAUUUUCUUUCCCUUGCUUUUAGCCUCUCAAUUGUCGCAUUCUUAGAGUUCAUGCUCCGCAGCAGUCUAGGAAUUAGAGCUGUUGACCUUCUGCACAUUAUCAGAUCAUGCCAUUCAAAAUAAUCGCAUCCUUUUCCUUUGUCACCCUUCACAGCCAACAUUAUUAAACUUUAGCACAAAACUCAAAAAUAGAGACAGAAAAGUCGAAAUCAGAAGCAGAAACAACCAUAUCUUCUUGACUGCACAAGUGAAAUAUCUUCUCCCAAAAUUGUUGUCUAUCUAAGAAGUAACUAUUAUUGCUCGCUGCUUGCAAUUGCAAUUUUUCAUUGGUUCCAUGAUGAGCUAAAUUGAAAAUAAAAGAAGUUCGAUACAAAGUUUUGCCCAGAACUUGGAACUUUUUGCCAGAAUGAGGACUUUUUCUUAUCUAAUUAGAAUGGGAUUGACAUGCCUAGGGUUUGUUCUUGAGUUGGAAGAAAGAAGUAGAGGAAAGAAAGAAGUAGAGGACAUUGCCAUCCCUCUUUAUUCUGUGAUUUAUUUCCACUAAUGAUUACUAACUACUUAAUUAGUGAAUUUUAGCCUUUUAUGUCUUUGUUUAAUAAGACAAAAGGCAAGAGAAAGUUGAAAAUAUUAAAAAAAAUGCUUCAGAAAUUUAAAAAUUUUUAGGUGCCGGUACGUGAUCUCACAUGAUUUGGUUCCGGUUGAAAUUGAAGAAAUUCCGUCAAUUGUUCACUUUUGCACAAAAUUGAAUAGAUUAGGGACCAAAAUUAAUUUUUGAAAUAGAUUAGGGACUAAUUUCGUGCAUAAACUAUAGAUUGGGGACCAAAAUUACAAUUCUCUCUAAUUAUAAAAUAUAAAUAUUUCUAAAUACAUUCUUUUACCAAAUUAACAAUUUGAUAAUGACUUUGUAGAUUGAUUUGUGAUUAGUUUUGAAUUGACUAUUGGGAGUUAUUUGUGAUUUAGUUUUGUAAUUUGAUUUGUUUAAAUUUGAAGAUUGGAUUUGUGAUUGGUUUUGGAUUUAGUUUUGGAAUGUUUAAGUUUGGACAUUUUCUUUCUAGAUAAACUCGGAUUCAAUUUGAGACCCGUCGGACCCGGUUCAGGGACUCGAAGUUCAAGACUUGUCGGGUAUAUGGGUUGGGUCCAAGUCUACUACCUUAAAACGGGUCCGGGUCUGAAAUUUUCAAUUUCGACCCGAACCUAAUCCGUUGACACCCGUAUACCCUAGUGCCACGAUACCAACUAUAUUUCUCUUAGUAGUAGUACUAAGUAGUAAAUAGUACUACUGCUAACUUGCAUCACCACUUCAAUUGGGAAUGCAAAAGCAAAUGAUAGAACAUAUUGUGAAAAUGUUUUUUGCCCUUCACUCAAAUUUGAUUAUUCUUAUUUAGUGUUCCAUGAUCCAACUCGAAUAAGAACCUCUAGUCCAUAAAACAAGGCCACAAGAAUUAAUUGUCAUUGAUUCAAAACUCUAAGGAACUUAUUGGCGCACCAUAUGACAAUACCAUGUGACAAAUGUUGAGUCACAAUAGUAGAAGGUUAAACUGUAGAAAAACAAUUGAUUUUAGUCACUAACUACACAAAAUCCACACCCUCUUAGUGUCUAUCAUAGCAUGAGGCAUAACUAGAUAAAAAUUAAAUACUCAAGGUACAAUGUUAUGCUGUGCAUAAAUACUAAUUAUUGUACAUCACGUAAAUAAAUUUAGUUCUCCAAAUUUAGUUUAAAUUAUAUGAUUAAUAGUGAUGCACCACAUAACAAUGUUAAACAGCGUAUCAUAGUCAAUAUUUUUUUGACUAUGAUUGGGUUGUUUCCUAUUUCCAUCUGUGAAUUUUAUUUUAUUUUAUUUUUCGCUAGUUUUUCAGGUACUGGUAGAUAUUUACAUUCUUUUUGUAUGGUUUUUGUGAUAAAUGAUAAUCUAAUAAAGUUAAAAAAAGAUGCCUUUAUAACUUUUUUUGGACUACAAGAUCCAUAAGUAGGACAAGGGCAGAGUUGCUACAAGAAUUUCCCCAUUUGGAAUAUUGUGGGCUUAUGCACUAUGGCAUAUAUCUAUGGGUCUGUUUGAAUAGUGGAUUUUUGAGUAUUUGUAUAAAAUUUUACUAUAAUUUACUGUAGAAUUUGAAGAAAAACUUUUGUAGAGAAAUUGAAAAGCUUUUUUAUUUUUAAUUUAUUUUUCCUUUUCUUUUUAUUUUUUUUUUGCCACCAUCAUUCCUUCAACUAUCACUAGCCAACAUUUUCGUGUCCACUACCUUUUUUUGUUUCACUCUUCUUUUCUCUCACUCUUCUCCUCCUCUUCUUCCUUUCUCUUAUUCUCUUUCUUCUUCCAUUGCCACUUCUCUCCUUUUUUCCCUUCCUUUGCGACCUUUGAGGUCAUGGGAGGUAAGAAAGGGGAGGAAGGUGAAAAGAAAAGGUAGAAAGAAGAGAAACAGAGAAAGAAGAGAAAAAAAGAAGGGAGAGGGAAGAAGAGAGAAAGAGGGGAGAGUGGGAAGAGUAAAUGGAAAGAGAGAAAAAAAAGAGGGAAGGUGAGGUGCUAGCAUCAGCGAUGGUAACGAUAGGUAGUAGUGGUGGUUUUAGGAAGGGGCACCAGUAGUGAAAGUAUAAAUGGUUAGGGAUGGUGGUGGUAGAAGAGGAAAAUUGAUGUGUGUUUUUGAGUAUUCUAAGGUGUAUAUUUUAAAACUUGUAUGUUUUUUAGAGGGUCAAUAUAGACAAAAUUGUUAAAAAACUUAUCUAUCAAACACAAGGUAAAAUUGGGGUGCCAAGCACACCCUAAGUAUUGAUGUGAGAAUUGUUUAAAUUUUACUUUUCUUUCUAGAAGUGCAUAGACGUACACAAGUAUAGGAAGGAUAUGAGUAUUGAUCCCAUAUAGAAGAUUUAAUCAACUUAACAUAGUUUAUCAAACUUUAUUAGUUACUCUAAUGAUAAUGUGAGCACAUAAAAUGACACUAUAUAGGGAGCAUAUGAGUAUUGAUGCCCUCAGAAGAUUAAUGAACUUAACAAAAUUUAUCAAACUUUAUUAGUUACGUAAAAUGACACUUUGAAACAUUUAGAAAAAGAAAAGAGGAAGUAAUAAUAAGUAGCUCACAGGACUUCAAAUUUCCUCCUAUUUUUGCUAGUAAAAUAAAUCGAUUAAUUGAGUUUUCUUUCUUUGGCUAAGUAAUGAUGUAAUUUCUUAAUAUACAUGAUACUUGCCUUCAAUAGUGAUACCUAUCAUACCUAUAACAAUACUAUACUCUUUAAUAGUAUAAAACUUGCUACAAAUUCAUUAGAUUUUCUAAAAUUAUUUAUUUUAAGUCUCAAAGGUGUACCUUUAUUUUCUUGAGUCUACAAUUUAGAUUUUAUAAUUUUAUUAACUGGUAUUAAAUGAUGUAAAGGUAACAGUUUACUUGAUGGCAUGUGGCAUGACCAAAUUGUUAUAUGUUUGGCAUUGCCAAACUGGAGAAAUGAUCAGGUGGGAAAGGAUGAUUAAUAUUUCUAAAUUAUUAUGAAAUUAUCAUUGGAGAUAAAUGUUUUCUCUGGAAAUUAUCUUUAACAACUUCAUAAAUGACAAGAACAAUAUGAUAAGUCAUUAUUAUCAGAAGCUAAGAUGAUGACUCACAGAGACUUAUUCAGCAUCUAUUAGUUCUUAUAAAUAUCAGGAAUACAUCACAAUAUAUAUUCAUUUUGAUACUCAUUCGAUGCACUUUACUCUCUCUCUCAAGUCUCAUUAAUUGCUCAUAUUUGUGACUCUUAAUUUGGAAACUGAUUUGACUGUUAGAGUGACCCGCAGGAAUAUGCCCGCUGUCCUCAGAUAAUUUGUUUCUUUUGCAAGUCUUUGUUAUGAACUAAGGUGAAUUCCCCAAUUAAGCCAUGCAUAUGGUCUUUUCAGAAAAAAGAAGAAAAAAGAAGAAUGAGAUGAGAGGCGAGUUAUAAAGAGAGAAGAAGAAAUGAAAUUGUUAUUGCAAUUUUGUUAAGGACAAGCACGUAGGCCCUACAUUUAUUUACACAAUCUGUUAGUUAGUCUCUAACCGACUUAACCACUUAUUUAAUUCUGCUAACAAAACUACAUCGUUUUGCCUCCCUCAAUUCAAUUAGAUUGAUUCCAUGAUCCAAUCAUUCUAUAUCCUAACAAUUCCUUCCCAUGAAAUCAGACUUGUCCUCAAGUUUGGAAGUUAGGAAAUUGAUUUUCAAUAAAAGACUUGUCUUCCUAUGAUGCUCUUCAUAGCUCAAAUGGUUCCACUUGAUCAAGAACUGAAUGAUAGGUUUUCCAUCUCACGGAAUAACUCUCCUCUUUAAAAUAGUUUCUGGUUUCAAUGGACACUAAUCAUGUUCGUCCAGCUUAGAUGAAUUGCUUGUAAUGGUCCCAAUUUCUUCUUCAACAAUGCGACAUGAAACAUAAGGUGCAGUCUUGCAUCUGCUAGAAGUUUCAGCUUGUAGGCUAUUGCUUCAAUCUUUUUCUCUACCUGGAAUGGCCCGUAAUAUUUGGCUAAUAACUUGAGACACUUUCUUAUAGCCACAAUCUGCUAUCUGUAGGGUUGCAACUUUAAAAAUACCCAGUCACCCACAGAAAAGUUUCUCUCAGUUUUGUGCUGAUCAGCAUAGGGUUUCAUUCUCUAUUGAGCCUUUGCUAAAUAUUCUCUGAUAUAGCUUGAGAUUCUACUUCUCUUAGACCGUAUUGGAAACUACAGGUACGACUGAGUCCAAGUAGGGUCCUAGUGGUAGUGGUGUUGGUUUGUACCCAAAAAGUGCUUCAAAGGGAGUCAUGUCAAGACUGGAAUGAUAAGUGGAGUUGUACCACCACUCAGCGAGGGAUAGCCAUUUUCUCCACUGUGAAAGAAGUUCUCCUGUCAUGCAUCUUAAGUAAUUUUCUACACAUUGGUUUAAUCUCUUACUCUGGCCAUCAGUUUGAGGGUGGUAGGAUGAGGAAUAAUAGAGCUCAAUUUCAACUAUUUUGAAAAGUUCUUUCCAGAAUCCACUGGUAAAGACCUUGUCUCUAUCAGUUAUGAUAGACUCUAGUAAACCAUGUAGUUUAUAGAUGUUGUCCAAGAAGACUUGAGCGACAUUUUUAGCUGUGAAGGGGUGAAUAAGCAUCAUGAAAUGACCAAACUUGGUGAAUCUGUCAAGUACUACCAAUAUAGUAUCAUACCCUUGUGAUCUAGGUAGCUUUUCAAUAAAAUCCAUAGAAAUAUGGAGCCAUGCUUGUUUAGGUACUGGAAUUGGCUGUAACAAUCCAGGAUAAGGAACAUUUUUAGACUUGUUUUUUUGGCAAAUAUCAUAGUUCUGUACAAAGGAUAUUACCCUUUGCUUCAUCCCUGGCCAGUAGAACAGAGUCUUAAGUUUUUUCCAAUAGUUUCUCUGACCAGAGUGACCACCUAUUGCUGAAGCAUGCAAUGCCUGAAUAAGUUGGCUCCUAAUGUUGUUGGCAUUUCCCACAUAAAUUCUGCCCUAAUGCUUUAGAAUUCCAUCUAGUAAAGUGUAAUCAGCAUGAGAGUUGGGAUCUAGUAAUAAUUGGGCCAUAAUAUCUUGGCAAUGUAGAUCACCUUCAUAGCUUCUCUGCAGCUCCUCAAUCCAUCCAGGCUUAACAGUUGUAAUGGCUAAACAAGAUCUAAGUGCCAUCUUGGGUGUAGCUUCAUGUCUUCUUGAUAAUGCAUCUAUCACCUGAUUUUCAGCUCCCUUCUUGUAUUGUAUCUCAUAAUCUAAACCUAACAACUUAGUCAUCCAAUUAUGUUGAAUAGCAAUGUUCAGUUUCUGAUCCAAAGACAUUUCAACGAUUAAUGAUCAGUUCUUAUAAUGAAAUGAUUCCCAACUAGAUAGUGCCUCCAUUUUGUUACUGGCAUUACUAAAGCAAGGAGCUCUUUCUCAUAAACUGAUAGUCCCAAAUUUUUGAUUGAUAAUGCCUUGCUUAAAAAGGCAAUGGGGUACCCUUCUUGCAUGAAAAAUACGCUAAUGCCUCCCCCACUAGCAUCUGUUUCAAUUAUGAAAGGUUUCUUGAAGUCUGGCAACUAAAGGAUUAGAGCUAAGCGUAUCAAUUUUUUUAGAUGCUUAAAAGAGUCUUGUGCCUUGCUAUUUCAUUUAAAGCUGUCUUUCCUCAGUAACUCAGUAAGUGGUUUACAUAGAAGAUUAUAAUAUUUUACAAACCUUCUGUAAUAACCUGUGAGACACAAAAAUUCCCUUAGCUCUUUCACUAAUUGAGGUACAGGCCACUGUAAAAUGCUAUUGAUUUUAGAGUAAUCUAUGCUGACCCCUUUAUCAAUGAUGUUAUGUUCCAAAUAAUCAACCUUCUUUUGAGCAAAAACACACUUAGACCUCUUUACAUAGAGUUGAUUUUUUCUCAAAAUACCCAAUACAGUCCUUAAGUAUUACACAUGAGCUUCUAAUACAGGACUAUAUGCCAGUAUAUCAUCAAAGAAGAUCAAGACAAAUUUUCUCAGAUAUGGUUGAAAUACUUGGUUCAUUAAUGACUGGAAUGUUGUUGGAGCAUUUGUGAGCCCAAAAGAUAUGACUAGGAUUUCAAAAUGCCCAUAGUGAGUUUAACAAGUUGUCUUGAAAGUAUCUUGGGGUUUAAUCCUGAUCUAGUGGUAUCUUGCUGUGAGAUCUAAUAUAGUUUUGAAAACAGAACCAGUUAGUUCAUCCAAUAAUUCAUCUACAUUAGGUAUUGGAAACUUGUCAUUGAUGGUUAUCUCAUUCAGCUUCCUAUAAUUCACACAGAAUCUCCAAGUUCCUUCCUUUUUCUUGACUAACAAUACAGGAGAAGCAAAGGGACUGUUGUUGUAUUUGACUAUAUCUUUUUGAAGCAUCUUCGCAACCUGCUUCUCUAUUUCCUCGUUGUGAUAGUGAGGAUACCUGUAAGGCUUCAGUUUAAAUGUUGUGCCUCUGGUUUGAGAUGUAUCUCAUGGUCCACAUUUCUGCUUGGAGGUAAGAAACUUGGGGUUUGGAACACAUGUUCAUAUUCCUGUAGCAGUUCCAUUACUUCCUAUGGCACAGGCUCUGUUCCUUCUUCUGCAUUAGUUUUAGAGUUCAAUGCCAUGCACAUCUGUCUUUUGUAGUCAAUGAAUUUCCUCAAAUCCCUCCCUCUGAUCAAAUCUAGAUCACAAUCCUCUACUUGUCCAUGCAAAUGAAUUUCGUUCCCUUCAUUAUGUAAGGAUAUCCUGAGCUGCUGAAAAUCAAAUGUAAUGGAAUUGAAAUGUGUCAUCCAAUCCACUCCAAAUAUUAUAUCCCAUCCCCCUAAUUCCAUCACCUUGAGGUCAAAUCUGAAAUUGUGUCGAUUAAUCCUCUAGUAUAAAUUGGGACAUAUAGCAUUGUUGGAUACACAUGCUCCAUUUCCCAUGAUGAUAGAAAACAGUUGGUCAACCCAUUUGUAGUUAAUGCCCAUUCCAAUGACCAAUUCACUAUUGAUAUAGCUGUCAGAACUUCAGUGUCUACCAGUAUCAGCACCUCUUCACCAUCUAAAAUACCUAUCAGUGUGAUUGUCUUUCUUUUCAAGGCCUCAGAUAAAGCAUGCAAGGAUAUUUCUAUAGCUUGUCCGGGAUUUCCUGUCUGUUCAUCCUGUUCUCCUAAUGCAUCUUCAAAUGUAGAAUCCUCCUCAUCUUCUAGUAUCAUAUAGUUUGCAUGUCCUACCUUACAUUGGUGACCUAUCCCAUAACCUUUCUCCACAUUUGAAACACAGUCCAUUACUCCUUCUUUAGUGCAUCUCUUGUGCUGAGAUCUUUCUCAAUUCCUUUCUAUCCUCUUGUGAAUUUCUAAAUUUAGGAUGUUUGAAAGUACUAUUGACAGGAACUUUAUAUGUGUUACUACCUGCAACUAUUGCAUUCCCCCUUGUUAUACCAAAUUUGCUCCCACUAGAUGUUUGGAACUCUCUGGAGCUUUUAUUUUGCACUUUUAGUGAGUACUCUUGCUAUUGGGACAACUCGAAAGCUUCAGUUAAUGUAGCAGGCUUCAACAUCCUAAUCAUAGGUUUGAUUUCCUCAGUUAACCCACUUAUGAAGCUAGAAAUGAAGUAGUUUUAAUCAAGAUUCCGAUUCUUAAUCAUCAUCCAGGGUUUCAGUUCUUCAAAUUUCUCUUGAUAUUCUUCAAUACUGCCUUUUUGUUGUAAUUUGUUAAAUUCUUCCACUACAUCCUGGCAAAUUCUGUCAGUAAAUCUCCUACACAGUAGCUCUCCUAAUUUUGCCCAACAUAAUCUAGGUUUCUCAAUUUUUAUGCCCUAGAACCACUUAUCAGCUUUUCCUUCUAAAUACAUUUCUAUUACUUCAACUUUCUAGUCUUCUGGAAUUUGAUAGUUUAAAAAAUAUUUGUUGCAUUUGUACAACCAAUCCCUAGGAUUUUCCCCAGUGAACAACUAUAAAUCGAUCUUAGGUGGAUUUGGAAUUGAGACUUACUCUAAUCUCUCUUGAAGAAUUUUUGAGGCUUUCCUUCAGCUUGCAAUCUUUGAUGAGCUAGAGGAGUAGGCAAAAUUGGCAUCUGAUCCACCAUCUUUCUUCCUUCUCCUUCUGUUGCCUUGUCCUUCCCAGGAGUCAUCUUAGACAAAAGUGUGUUGAACUUUUGUUCCAAGAACUUAUUGAAAUUCUGUUCCAUUCUUGUUGGAAGAUUCUCCAUCCUUUUAUUGUUCUCUUCCAAUUCCAUUUUUAGAUCAUUCCUAAGCUGUUGUUGCUCAGAUUGAGAUGAGUGCAGAGAUUCCACCAAUUCUUGAAGAUUAUAGCACAAUUACUAAAUUUUUUCAUUAUUCUUUUUUCACAUUGACUUAGAAACACUAGUAUUAUUCACUAUAUUAAAAACUCUAUAUUAUAUAUAAGAUGAGGGUUAGGUUUAACCCUUCAAACCUUAACUAGUAAAAAGUCGUAUAAUAUAUGUUGGUAUGCAUAUAAUAAAAAAAAUUUUGUAUUUUGUAUAUUUCAAAAGUAUUUGAACUUAAAUUUAUACUUUUCAACUAACCGUAUAAAAAUAUAAUAAACUUUUGAUGUAAUAUACUUCAAUUUUUUGACAACGUUUUAAAAUUUGUGUAGGGAUAAUCUCAUGCCUUUUGAAUUAUAUGCAAAAUAAUAACGGUGCAUAUCAUAAUUUUGAUAGAUUUUUGAAUAUAAACUUAAGGUGACAAAAUUGUGGUUAAAUUAAUAUUUCAUGUAUAAGGACAAGAGUUAAAAUUGGUAAUAGUGGCGGACUUAGGACCUAUAACCAAUGGUGGCAAUCUGUAUCCAUAAAUUGACAUAUUUUUGUCUAUUUUGAGUUUAGGGGCAAGUGGUGGCAGUCUAUAUCCUUUUUUUGAUAGAAAAACUGGAAAAUUUUAUUAAAGUGAAGACAGAUCCGCAGUAAUUGCGGAAGAAAGAAAAGAUGGUGGAGAAAAUCUCCAACUACAACUAUCUGAAAUAGAACUAGCAUUCCUAGCUAAUAAAAGAGCAGGCACAUUUAGAUUCCUAGGAACACAAUUAGCCUCCCAACUCCAAAGUGAAAAAUUCUGUAAACUAACAAAGAUAUCAUCUAAUAGCACUCCGUAGGCUGAAUAAUCAGAUUCCAUAUUUUUAACCAUGUUUGAUCUUUAAAGAGUCACCCUCCAAAACAAUCUUAGGAACCUUUAACUGAAGUACCGAGGAAAAUGCAGAUUUUGUAGCUUAGGCUAAAGAUACCUAAGAUUUUGUGAGAAAUACCUGCAACAAAAGUUGCCCCAUUCAUCCCUCACAACAACUCCAAUUCCAGAGUAGCCAUCUUCAUAGAAUAUUGGACCAUCAAAGUUGGAAACUUACAAGCAGCUUUUUCCAAUGAAGUUGAGCAGUGGAAAAGCGUAUUGGAAUGUUUGGAGAUGUGUUUGUUUCAUGGUAUUUCUGUAAGAAAUUGAUAAAAAGAGACCAAACUGAGAGGGUCACGAUAGGAACCAUAAAAUAAUGCACCAUUUCGGUUAAGUCAUAGAUUCCAAAGAAUUAUGGCUACCAAUUCCAUGUCUCACUAAAAAACGAAGAAGGCCAGGCAACCAGGACGAAACUUGAUUGGCAGAGUCUAAUUUUAUCUUUAUUGUAAGAAAAUUGAGGGCCCAAACUUGAAUUGCUAUGGGACAGCACAAGAAAAGAUGAUUAACAUCUUCAAUAGGGGCCUUACAUAAAGAGCAAGUAGGAUCAAGAUAGACUCCGACUAUUCAACUUGGAAGUUGUAGGUAGAAUACCUUUGCAAAUUCAGAGGCAGUUUGUAUCCUUAAAUUGACAUAUUUGUUGAUUUAUUCAAUUCCCAUUUAAUUUUGUAUGCUAAUAACUUCAAAACAAUUGCAAUAGAGAAAAAGUCUAAAAGAAUAUUGGUGUAUUAGGGGCACAUGUUUGGGGAGAUUGAAAUUUCAAAAUAUAAAUGGGCAAUACCAAGGAAGAAGGAUUUUUUUUUAAAAUAUAGAGGGUGCAAUCAUAAAAAAAAUUAAAAAAUUUCAAACUUUUCAAGCCUAUUAUAUAUUUUUUACAAAAUUGAGGGGGAAGGGGAAGGGACAAUUGCCCACCCUUACAACAUGGCUUUGCCAAUGAUUGUUAAUGUAAUAUAAUCUUUAAAAAUUGUUGUAAGGAUCAAAGACAACCUAAGAGGGGGGUGAAUUAGGUAGUUUAAAAACUGGCCAAGUUGGGAGUCACUUUUUGAGUGCUUGCCCUCUUUUUUAAAAAAAUCACACAAUGGAGCAAUUGAUGAGAAAACACAAGUACUUGUGAGUAGAAGAGAUGAACAAUUUAUAUAUCAAGACAGUAAGUAAAAGAGAUAGAGUAUCAAACCAAAUACCAAACUCCUCUUAAGUUUGAAUAUCACUUUAUAGAGCAAGUUUCUUCAAGUUGAUCAACUUACAACCAAUCUUUUGUGUACAAAGGAAGGAUCACUUCCUCCUUGCCCCAAGCCACACUUGGUCAAGCAAGGAAGUUUUACUAUCACUCAGAUAACCCUCACGAAAUUACACUAUUGAAGUAAUUGAAUCACACUAGAAAAGCUUAUCGAAAAUUACACAACUAAGAGUACAAAUCUUCUUUGAAGAGUAUUUUCACACUAAAAUCACUCUAGAUCUCAUGUAGUCUCAAUGUGCAAAGUUACUUUGAAAUGGUUGACUUUGUUCUAUUUAUAUGGAACCAAAAAGUUCCUCAAUUAAUGCUUCCAACGGAUAGAAGGCAGCUGAAGAGUCAACUAGCUGUCGGUAGUGUCGGACGUCCGGUAGACCAACUUCUUACGUCCGAACGUAGGUAGUGAGCUUAAGAAAUUUUCUUGAAUUAUUUCGGAUGUCCGGUACCUUCAAUGUAUGCGUCCGAAGGUAGGAGGUGAAAUUGAGAAUUCUUCUUCAAUUCUUUUCGGACAUUCGAUGCCUCCAAGACUUUGCGUCCGAAGUGUCGCAAUGCUUGUCGAACGUCCAGUGCUCUGAUGAUGUGCGUCCGAUUGAGGUCAGUGAGUUUAGAGGGAAUGACUCAAUAUCUUCGGACGUCCGAGGGUGAAGUUCUUUAUACGUCCAAAGUUGCGCAAAGGUUGUCGGACGUCCGAUCCAGUCUUCUUGUGCGUCCGACAGCAGUUUCAGCAUCCUUUAUGCUUAAUUUUUGAACCUGUUUUGCUCCAUUUCUAAAAGGGUCUAUUGAGAGAACAUUAGUAACAUCCAUUUGUUUUGUAAUCAUCAAAAGCUACGGACUGAGAUAAACAAUUGUAAUAUUUUAAUCAAUAUUUUAGUUUUGUGACUUUCAAAUAUAGUCGUACUAUGCAUGUGCAGUUUGUAUAUAUAAUUUUAUUGAAUUCAUAUUUUUUUGUAUCGAACUUUUAAUCACAUCUUUGAAGAAAAAUUGAAUGAUAUGCAUAUGUACAAUAUUUCAUAUUAUGUGCAUUCCGUAUUUUGCUAACUAUGCUUUAAACUAAUUAAUUAAAAAAAAAAUGGUGAUGUGUCUAAAACAGCCGCAUAUAGAAACAUAUUACUAGUGUAAAAGUUUUAGAAUAGAGGUUUUUUUUUCAACCAAAACCAGAAAAUUCUAAAAAGCGGUUGAGUUAUUUUUGUCACCAACGUGAGAUGUCUCACUUACUACAAAACCUUAAAGGAAAGGCAAUACCUUGGUAAUUGUAGUUCUUUCCCAUGUCAAAUUUCCCUUGCUGACAAGUGGCAAAUCUCCACCGGUAUUGGGAUGCUCCCAUAUUUGCACAAUUAGAUUUUUAUGCCACUUUAAUAUGUCAAAAAUAUGUGCUCAAACAAGCGAACACAUUAAUUCCCAAGUGACGUCAAUGACUUCUGAAUUCCUGAACAUCAUAAAACGAGAGUGAAAGGAAUCUACAAAUUUUCAACAACAAUUCUUUCUCAGGUGGAUCCCAUCUCAUUUUCCCCUAACAGUAGAAUUGAACAAUGAAAGCAAAGUGCAUAAUCAAAUAUUCCAAGGAACAACUUAUCCUUUGUAAAUCAACAUGUCAAAUCUCAUAUUUCAACAGGCGUGCUAUCUUCUACCUCUUCCAAUAAGGGUUGGGGGGGGGGGGUGUCUCAAAUUUGAUACGAUUCUUUUGGCAUCAUUUUGUCGUAUUGCACUACAGUUAUGUGAACUCCAACAAUAGACAGCGGAAAGACAUUCAUGGCGUACAAAAGAGGAGAAUUAGCAUGGAUGCAUGCUUCCUUUUCCUUUCUCUUGGGAGCCAUGUAUUUUGAAUGGAAUCUAGAGUACCUAAUUACACUGUAGAUUUGGUGCAGGAAGGCAAUCUUUUAUGUUGGGAUUGGAUUCACAAAUGAUGAUUUAGGAUCCACUAUGUGUCACACUCAUAUGUCGUAAGUAACCCCUUUUUCUUUUAAUUUUAUUAUGUCAGAGAAUCAACAUAUGUUCAAAUUCCUCGUGAUUCAUGAAUUAAGUAAUGACUUAUUCCACUUUCAUUUUUCUAAAAUUAAGUAUUGUUGAGCCAUCUUGCCAAAAAUUUAAAAACAAAAAGUAUCCUUGUAAGAGAAUAAAGGGAUUUAACCAACGGUAUCAAUUUGGUGGGAUGUGCUUCUAUUCCUUCUCUUGCUUUCUUCCAAGAACCAUCUCAUUCAAAGAGAGCAAUAGGCGGCCUUCUGAUUAUGAUUAACGCGUUAUGAUGUGAGCAGUUGAAGGAGUUACAUGCACCAACUUCUUUCUGAUGGAGAACUAGGACUGAUUCCAUUGUAUACGUACCCUCAACCUCGGCGUUCAUUGGCAAUUUUAACCAUCUAUUUGAAAUUCUUAAGGAUUAUUUAGUAGUUUUGACUAUUACAUAUUGUGUUAUAUUGCCCUUAUUUCUUAUUAAGUCUAACAAAUUCAUUGAGAUUUGGUGCACUAAAUAUUUCUUGUGAUAUUGAAGAUAUAGUAAUUACAUUCAUGAUCUAAAUAGUUUUAUCUUAAACCUGAAAUAGACUUCGACGAUGUUUUUUAACGUAUACUAACCAAAGAUAUUGGUGGUGCAGCAUAAUGUAGUCUAGAAAAGUUCAUUGUACAUUACACAUUGCAGAUUGUUUGGUUUCCAUGCAAUAUACUUGGUGUCAAUAAGAAAAGAAUCCUCAAUUGGUUCUCUAACUUUUUGCUUGAUUAUGUCAUUAUACUUCCUCAGCAUGACGAUGCCAUAAAUGUCUUGGUACAUUUUUAACCGUUAAAAUUCUCGAGUUGCAAUUUCCAUAGAAUCUGCUAGUGGAGACAGGCAGCCCAUUGCCACCCCCCUUAUCUGACGUGGAAUAAUAUACACAAAAUUAUAUAUAUAUAAUAUGGAUUAAUAUUUUAUAUACUGACAGUAUAUACAUUUUUAAUAUUAGAUGCAUGACACAUAAUUCGAAUAUAAAUUUGAAAUUCAAAUUUUACACAUUUGUCGUGCAUUCAACCGUGAUAGUUUAUACACUAUCAGUAUAUAUAAGAUUUAAUAUAUAUAUAUAUAUAUAUAUAUAUAUAUAUAUAUAUAUGCACACACACACUCUCUCUCUCUCUCUGUAAUCUGAUGUUGAAGAUGCUAAUUACAUCUCAUAGAAUCUUGGAGUAGUGCUUAGAACAAUCUAUUCUAUUUUGUCCCCUUUGUUCUCUUCCCCUUUUUAGGUCCAAAUUCAUUGAAAGAACUACUACUUUUUUUUUUUCCAGAGAGGGAUAGAAUUUAAAAAGUGAGAUGGAAGAAAGAAGGAAUUUGAACUUAAGACCUCUGAAUUCUGGAGUUUAAACCUUAAGUAUUAGAUGAAGAUCUUCUGGACAAAAAACUACUGCUGCUACUUCUUCUUCUUCUUUCUUUUGUUUUUUGAGUUACAAUUACGUAUAUCAUUCAUUCAUACAUUGACAAUGAAACUUUUGCCUCACACAAUGUGGGGUAAGACUUCCACAAUCCUGAUAACUGGAACGAGUGACUUUACCAUAUUAAAAAGCAUGUAACUCCUAUAGCUUCAUGAUUCUUUUCCUCCCAUAUAGGACUUUGAUAUUCCUUGGGACAACCACUAGUACAAUUGUUGGCAAACUUCAUCUUGAUUUUGAGAGAUGUCAAGUCUACAUCUCUUCGUCAUUGUAACUUCAACAUUUUCUUGUACAAGUUUUAAUUAAAAUUCUACAAAUUUAAAAUGCAGAAAAUGCAAGGAAUUAGGAGUGAGGUUAUGUAUUUAGCCUUUCCUCUUAAGUAUUGAGUAUUUAACGACCUAGUAUCAUAUACUUUCUCUACAAAAAUAAAGAAAUAAAAAGAAAAAUUAACAGGGCCAAAAAAAAUUGAUGCUAAAAAUUAUUGAUUUGACUGCUGGAAAAGGGCAAAAAUAAUUAGUGAAUACAUUUGUAACUAUCAAAUUGGUAGAAUUCAUUUUAAUUGAUUUUUACUAGUUUUAUUAAAUAUAACCUACAGUUAAAUGACUUUACUGGACCUGACCAAAAUCAACUAUGGUCUGACCAUUUCAACCGAAUGAUCUGGUUCUUCCUUAAAAACAUGUCAAAUCUUAGACAAAUAUAAAAAUGGGAGGACUGAAUUUCACGAGUCAAAUGUUUGAGGGGGCAGAAUCUAAUUUUGUUAGCGAUCUAUUUGAAAAAACCAAAAUUUAAUGAUAAAAUUUUAAAAAAUUUUCAAAUGUAAGCUGUUUACCCACCGUCGUCGUCAGCUAGCUUGUGACACUGGGAAGGGGAGUGGAGUAUCUUGCAUUCUUCUUACAAGCAUGAAUAUGCUAAUGAUAGUGGAGCUAUUACUAUUCAUUCAUCAUUUUUUUUUCUUUUUUUCCCUUCUCUUUUACAUGUUGGGAUUUUUUUUUAAGAGGUCGAGACUCCGGAAAUUAGAUGCCGUGGAUUUAAAUACCUAUAUUCCCUCCUCAUUUCUUAAGUCCCACCCUUUUCCAACUGAAAAAGAAUUUAAAAAAAUCCUUCUUAUCAAUAAUCCCCAUGGAAGAAUAUUUAAUAGCAAGAUUCAUGUAAUUGACCAAGAAAUAGUAAUUGAAAAUGUAAGAGAAAAAAGAUAGAAGUUCAGAUUCUUGCAUUUGGGAAGUUAGGCUUGAGGAAUUUAAGAAUAUUAUAAAUUUUAAGCUAUAAAUACACCCAUGUCAUCCCUUGGUUAUCAAGCUUGGGAGAAUAUUUCUGAGGUCAUAUAGCUUGGAGAAUUAACCUCUUAUUUGCACAUAUUAUCCAUCCAAGAACUUAGAUAAAUACAAUGUGGGGUAAGAAUUGGAAAUCCAGUGGCAAAUUACCUUGCCUGGAUUCUGAAUUGUUUACCUCAUCAUCAUCAUCAUCAUCAUCAAAUUGGAAAUGCAACAUGCAAUGAAGAAAAAUUAGCUGAGGAAACAUCCAAUGGCUUGGAUGCUUGUGCAAAAGAAAGCAAGCUGAACUUUGAAGAAACUGCCAAAGACGUGGAAAGUUUGGCUGAUCAGAAAGCUUUAGAGGAAAACAACUGCUCUUUUCUUCAUGCUGUCAUCAACAUGAUUGGAAUGCUUAUAGGUACGUGUCAUUCUAUGGCAUUUCAUCUAUCAUCAAUGCAAUUAGUGCAUGAGAUAAUUCAAGAAAUGAACCAAGCAUUGUAUCACAUCACUGCAUAAUAAUAUUGCGUUAUAUUUGAAUGUAGUUAUAGUAACUGUAUAUAAGUAUUAGCCACAGUUUUUUCAAAUUGUACUGACUGGUGUUGAUAUUCGUGCGUUGUUUUUGCAGGUCUAGGGCAAUUAUCAGCUCCAUAUGCUCUAGAAAAUGGAGGAUGGACUUCUGCAUUCCUGCUUGUAGGACUUGGGAUAUUAUGUGCAUAUGGUUCUCAUUUACUUGGAAAGUGUCUAGAAAAAUAUCCAAAAUCAAGAGACUACAAAGAUAUUGGGCAGAAUGCAUUUGGAGCAAAAGGAAGAAUUAUAGUAGCAAGUUUCAUCUAUGCUGAAAUUUUCAUGGCCCUUGUUUCUUAUACCAUUUCUCUACACGACAAUUUGGCCACAGUUUUUCUAGGCACACACCUAAAAUUGUCAUGGACAAAUUUAACAACAUCUCAAACCCUCACAGUUUUGGCUAUAUUGGUUGCACUUCCAAGCCUAUGGCUAAGAGAUCUUUCUUCAAUUUCUUUUCUUUCAACUGCUGGUAUUCUCAUGGCACUUCUGAUUUUUGUAACUGUGGCAUGCACUGCCAUUUUUGGAGCUGUGAAAGCUAAUCACAGCAUACCAGCACUCAAGCUCCACAAUAUUCCUGCUAUAUCUGGACUUUACAUCUUCAGCUAUGCUGGUCAUGUUGUUUUCCCAAAUCUACAUGCAGCCAUGAAAGAUCCUUCCAAGUUUACAAAGGUACAUUAAUUGAAGUAUUUCAUUUAUCUGUUUUUAUAUUUUUUGAGGCAAGACUUUUUUUUUUUUUUGCAUCUUUUCUCCUUUUUGGUGAACAUUUUUUGGACAUUACCAUAAGUGGAAAAAGUGACAAAUGUGGGGAAUGACAUACUUCUUCUCAAAUCGACAUUUUUUGUCAUCAAGGAACUAAUAGCAAUAUUUGCAUGUAAUCAACACCAAAUUGGUAAUCUAAAUGAAUAGGGUAAAAACCAUAAAACAUAUAAUUUUUAAAAAUUAAAAUCUUAGCAUCACAAAGCUCCUAAAAGGAUCCUAGAGCUACCCAAAAUCUUGUGCAAAGAAUUCUACAUUCAUGUUUGCCAGUUUUCAGGCACUUACAUUGCUAAAAUAUCCAAAAAAAAAAAAAAGCAGCAUUGAGUGAUUGUUGUAUAACCACUGCAUGAGCCCACAAGGACUUUGGUAAAAAUAGUAGCUCUAAGGUUCAUUCUUAAUUUGCAGUCACAUCCCUCUGUGCCACUAGUGCUGGAAAUUGUAAGGUUCUCUUUUUUCUUUGAGUAAAUAUCUCUGGAAAUUCAUAUUAUUCAUUUCUUUAAAUGAAUUUUCCUUCAAUAACUAGGCUUUAUUUUAGUUUAUUUCCUCAAUCUGCCUGUAAAUUUGGUAAUCUUGCUUUUACAGGUAACCAUUGUCAGUUUCUCAUUGGUCACAGUUCUAUACACAUCUCUAGCUUUCAUGGGAGCUAAGAUCUUUGGCCCUGAAGUGAAUUCCCAGAUCACUCUAAGCAUGCCUAGAGCUCUUAUUUUGACUAAGAUUGCACUAUGGGCAACAGUGCUAACGCCAAUGACCAAAUAUGCACUGGAAUUUGCACCAUUUGCGAUCCAACUAGAGCAGAAUAUUCUUCCUCGUUCAAUGAAAUCCAGAACAAAGAUGAUCAUAAGGGGAAGUGUUGGCUCAAUUCUACUCCUAGUGAUACUAGUACUGGCUCUGUCUGUGCCGUAUUUUGAGUAUGUUCUAAGCCUUACAGGUUCCCUAGUAAGCGUGGGAAUUUGCAUGAUCUUUCCUUGUGCCUUCUACAUAAAGAUAUUCUGGAAUCAGAUAUCAAGGCCUACCUUAAUUCUGAAUAUGAUUCUCAUAGCAUUUGGCACACUUCUUGGAGCAUCUGGAACCAUUUCAUCUUCUAGGUUGCUUCUGCAAAACUUACGGAGAGCUCAUUCAGCCUAGUGAUUACUUGGUUAGGAAGGCCUGUGCAAGAUUCUAAUUAUUCCCAUCCCUUUUCGGAAGGAAUAAAGAGAACUAGAAAGAGAUAUAGAGAAAAUUUCUGCUAAGUUCUGGGAUAUUGUUUGGCUACACAGCUGUGUUUGAGAAAUAUAUGAAUAUCAGCCCAAGUGAGAUGUAUUCCACAAUGAACUGCUUUGCUUAUGCGUAUGCUAUAAAGGAUAAUAUUUAGUCUCUGUUUAUCCAAUUUGAUAGCUUAUCAGGCACAGCAACUAAUUUAGAGCACUUAAAUCAUUCUUAUGAAAUGAAUAUGAGGCAAUAUCAAGCUGAGGAUCUGCUGCUCUUUUUGUCUCCUAACAGAAUUUUAGAUCUGACUGAGAACAAUAUUUCCUUUAGCAGAUUGGUAAAAGGGCUGAGCAAAAGGAAUCAACCAGAUAAAACAUAACAACCAUGAAGAAUGAAAUAGAAAUGUUAUUUAUGCUUUUAACAAAGUUAUGAAUGUUUAUCCAGCUCUAAGCAGUCCAAUGAAAACAAUACAAAUUUAAAAUUUCAAAAGAAAAAAAAAAUAAAAGGAGCCCAAUUAGAUUCCUUUCUCUUACACUGUCAUGUUUCCUUUAUAAUUUAGUGUCAUUUCCCCCUUCCAAGGAGGCAAGUCAUUGCCAAAUGUUCUUCUAUCUCAUCCAGAGCAUCAUACUUUAGCUAAAAAUAUAUUCUAUUUAACAGUGGAAACUCAAAACCUAGACUUCUACCAAACUUUCCCAGCAACACAUAUAUGGCACAUGAGUUUGUGAAUUGAAUUUUAACCACAUAAAGGCUUUGGAUAUAACAUUAAGAUUGGUUCAAUAAUUCUCCAGAGUAGAAAAGAUAAGUGAUUGCAAACAAUUUUAACCUUGUAACGAAAUAUAUCCAUCUUAUGAUAAUCCAAGUGAACUAUGAAUAUUUUGUAAUGCAGCUUUGAUCUUAACGGUGCUUAUUGCUAAUUUCAACCAGCCAUUCAAAACCACUUGCUCAGGUACCAUGGAUUUUUUGAGAAGAAAGCAUUAUCAGAGAAAUAGGGGAAUGAUCCCCUGCUUACCAGAAAUAUCUAAAACAAAACUCAGUUCGUAUAAUAAGCACUAUAACCAUCUGAAUAUGCAGACACCGAAUGUAGAGAUUUGGAUGUUCACUGUUCUGAGUUGCUUCAAGAUAUUCACUAUGCUUGAGGAGAAGUUCUAGCUCCUGAUGCUUGUCCUCUAAAUAGGUUGCUCUUUCCUGAAGAAAACGAAAAAAAGGUCAGACCAUUGAAUCUUGUUUUAAAAUCGUCUAUGCCCAACAAUAAUCCAAUGUAACCACAAAGGAGAAGUUAGGAUCACCUUAAACCAAACAUAGAUAGUAUGUAGCUUGAUAAAACAAUCAGAAGCAUGAGGUUUUAUUCUUACUGUGGUUGAUUGCUUCAUUUUUGGACGUAUAAAGCUGAAUGCUUAAAUUGCUGAGUUCGCUAAUCACAAACCUUUAUUAUGAUUGAACCCCAAGUUUCCCCUUGUUCUGAUAUGGCCCAAAAUCUAGAAAAAUUGAACUAAUUUCACCCUCUUGAGCUUAAUCCUCUGUUUACCUAUUUUAUAUGAUUUCUGGAUUUGAUGCAUAAUCAGAGGUUAACAGGUUUUAGUUGGGUUUUAUUUUGUGGGGUUUCACUAAAUAAAAUUAGGAUUGACUUGGACUUAUUUGUUUGGGUCUAACAAAUGGGCUUUGAUUGCUUUUGCUUGGAUUUUGAUAUAGCAUUGGAUAACCAAAGCCCUUGCAUCAUUCGGUUGGGCUGGAGUAAUAGAAGGUGGGCUAGUUUGUUUUCAAACAAAAGAACUUUCGGUUUGGGCUCGGAAGUUAAAGCCCAUGCUUUUUGUUGGGUUUUACUUGAUAAAAGUAAUAGGCUGGCCCAUCCCCUUUGUUUUGAAUUUUCGGUUGGGCUAGGGAAGUUCGAGCCCAAACAAAUAAAGAAAAGGGCCCAAUGGCCUGUUUUGCCAAGAAGCCUGAUAACGAAAUUUCAUUCCAGUCCCCUGACUUUCGAGUGCUUUCACUAUGGCCCCAACAAUUUUCAAUUUCAUUCAAUUGGGUCCUUACUUUAAUUGCAAAUGAGUCCUUGAGCUUUAUUUUUCUUUAAUUUUGACCUCAAAACUUUGUUCAUUUUUGCAAUUAAGUCCCUUCUUCUUUGGACUUUUUAAAUGUGGGUUGUUGACAUGAUUCAAUUGAUUCAAAUUCAUGCUUAUUUCUAUCAUUUGUGAUUAUUUGCCAAAUAAAUUGGUGCCUUGACCCUUUUAUUGUUUUGAAGCUAAUAUUCUUUUCAUUUCACAACUCAAGGGAGGUAACCUCUAUCUCUUUGAUUUUAUUUUUCCUACGUGCUCCUACGUGUUAUGUGAAUAUGCAUGUCUACGUUGUUUUCCUUGCCUUUCUUUAAUUCCUUUCAUUUAUUUUAUUUACUUUUGUUUUUUUAUUUAAGUUAUUCUUUAUGGGGUAUGUGUACACCUCUUGGCUUGUAAUAGUUAGGGAUUUAAUUCAUUUUCCCCCUUUUAGAUUGUAGUAGGGUCUCCCUAAUGUAAUAGAUAGGGCUUGGAGGAGCAUUCAAUGAAGACCUAUCGAAGUCAUGUGCCUAGUUAGCAAAUGUAAUAGUUAGGGCUUUAAUUGUCUUAUGUGUCUUGCAUGUUUAGUUACUACGUGUUAAUUUGCUUUGUUAGGGCCUUGCAUCUAGUCGAGCAUGUUAAAUGUUAUGUGCUAUGUGUUUAUAAGUGUUUGGCAUGUCUACUCGCUUUUCAUAGCCUGAAUGAAUGUGAUGGAUGAAUGUACGUUUCCACUAGUCCAACGCUAGUCGGAAUUCAUAGAAUGGGCUAGUCCAACGCUAGACCCUUAGGGAUUUCCUCUCGUUAGUACAUAUUUGCCUGUUCACUACAUAUCACGCAUUUUUCUUAGUUUUAUCAUUUGGCAUGAUCCUCGACCCCCUUUUCCCCUCACUUUAGGUUUUGCAUCCCAUGCUAGUUAUAGGGUACAUUUGCGUGAGAGUCCCCUUCCGAUAAGGGAGACGAGCGAGUGUGGCUACUCGAUAGCCUUAGCACGCUAGUUUCGCCUUCUAAUCAAAGGGAAAAUCAAGUCACGAUUUAGGUCUCCCCGUACCCAAUAUGCAUGAAUUCCCUAGGCUCAUGCAUUCUCAAUCCACUCUGUCAUUACACUUUCACUUUUGUCUCAUUUGCACACAUGCACCUUCAUAUCCCUUCACUUGCACACGAACACUUUUUAUCUCCACUUGCACACGAACAUUUUAUCUUCACUCGCACACGAGUACUUUCAUCUACAUUUGCACACCUUCACUCUUAUCUUAUUACUUUUAUCAUUUUUCUCACUUCACACAAACUCACACUUUCAUAUGGCAUGCAUUCCACUCAUUUUUCACGUCAUUUAGGUUUAGGUGUGACCUCUCCAAAAUGAUCAUUACUGGGCUUCACAAUUAAUGUGAUUGGCACCACUCAACCUUUGAAGAGAAAUUUCCCCCAAUCCCCCUAGGUCUAGGUUUUUGCAUUCAUAUAGACAUAUCCAAUAUGCGAUACAUACCAUGGGUAGAAAAAUUAGGGAAAAUUGGUUUAAGUCACGCAACUAGCCUUGGCUAGGUCAAAGGGGUGCCUUGGAUUCUAUCCUUGCCUUCCCCUUUGUCAAACGUGACCCCCGAACCUUUUUCUUUGGCUUACGUGGACUAGGAGUCGUUUUAAAAAGGGUUUUGCUACUUUGUCUUUAAAAAACACUUUUUGGGUGACUUGGUACACCCCAAAUCUAUACCAAGUGGCGACUCCGUUUUUCAUAUUAAAAAACCCUUUUUAAAAUUUUCAUUUGGCCAAAUCGUCGCUUUCCAAAGUCCCAUGGCCUAUUUACUUGUCAUUUUGCACACGUUAACACCACACUUCACACUCACAUCACAUCACUCGAAUCGAAAAGUGGGGCGCGACAGUUGGCGACUCCACUGGGGACUUCCUAAGUGGGUCCAAGCAUUUGACUUAGCCAUUCGUUUCCUUUUCUACCCUUUUUAUGCAUUGCACUUGGAUAUUAGGCUUGCAUUUUUCAUUUUUAGGACCUUUUGUCUUAUGUACGUAAUCAAACCAAUCCCUCGACUCAUGAAUGUAUGUUUGAAUGAAUGUUUACUUGUUAUCUCGCGCUUGCAUUGCAUUUGGGGGGGUGUGUGUCACCUUUAGAGCCUCGCGUGGUUCUCAACCCCUUCCCUCAAAAUAGGGGAACACUUCAUACGUGCAUGUUUACUUGCUUUAUCCCAUUUUAUUUUUAUUUUCGUGGGCGUUUCCCACACCGCCUUGUAGGAUUAGGAUCGAUUGCCUUGGGUAGGCGGCUGGUGUGCUCUGCGCCCAUAGCGCUACCUAAGGGAUCACUCGAGCCACCGAUCAAAGGCCCUGGGAGUGAUGACCCUUCGCCUUUAGGUCUGAAAGCUUGGGAGCCGAAGCUUUAUCGAGUCUAGGCAUUAGUGAACCAAACCUCAUGCAUCCAUAUUAGCAUUUGCCUAGGGUAGAGUCAGCCUCACCUUUUUUUAAGCACAAUUAGGCACGAGGGAAGGGGUUCCACCCCUUUUAUUGGUUUUUAUCGUAUUUCUUUUCUUAAUUGCUCCCAAUGUGUUAUGUGUACUAUCAAUUGCACUAACCAUUCUUUUGUUUUCUUGGAUUGCAUUCAUGUGCCUUAGCAAUAAGGGGCCUCUUUGGCACUCUUUUAGUGACUCACCCACUAGAUAGCUCACAUGUCUAAAUUUCAGUCUUUGCACUUACCUUUCAAUAAAUACAUUUCAUUUUUAGACUUUUUCCCCCGAUACGUUAUUUAUGUCCUUUAGGUCAUAUUUGUCACAUAUUUACAUUGCUUUAAUAAACUGGCAUCACGUAUAAACCCUAGAAAGGGAAUGCCAUUUAGGGGAUCCCGUGUUAGGAAUAAACCACCCCAUGUCUCGGAUAUAUAAUCCAAAUGAGACUUGCACGUUUACCUUUCUCGUACCAUCCGAAGGGGUAGUGCACAAGGUAAGGUAGGAUCCGAUCAUUUUCAUGAAGCAAUUUUUGGAAUAUGAGCAUCUAAUAAUCACUUUUUGGCCAUUUUCUCAAAAUUGGUAAAAUUCCCUUGCAUAAAAGGACAUUAAUUCACAAAUGAUUCCUCAUUAUUGAGACGAUAAAUAUAGAGGCUAAAUUUUGAUUUUAGAGGCUCAUAGACCAAGGCAUUGUAAUGAUUUCUUGAAACCACCCAGUGGGCGAAUAAUUCAAUCGAUUUUUGAACAAAUCAUCCAUCUUAUCCAAUCCAUUUUUUUCAAUUCAUUCACUUUUAGUACAAUUUAAUCAUUUUUGAAUAAAUUCAUUUCAUCCAAUUCAUUUGACCAAUUUACCCUUUUUAGGGUCAUUCGGUCGAUUUUGAAUAAAUUAUCAAAUCAUUUGACCAAUUUACCCUUUUUAGGGUCAUCCGGUCGUUUUUGAAUAAAUCGUCAAGUCAUUUGAUCAAUUUACCCUUUUUAGGGUCACCUGGUCGAUUUUGAAUAGAUCGUUAAUUCAUUUGACCAAUUUACCCUUUUUAGGGUCACCUGGUCGAUUUUGAAUAAAUCGUCAAUUCAUUUGACCGAUUUACCCUUUUUAGGGUCAUUCGGCCGAUUUUUGAAUAAAUCACUAAUUCAAUUUCAUUCAUUUGGCCAAUUUACCCAUUUUUAGCCGAUUUUGAAUAAAUCAAGUUUCGUUCAAUCUAUUUGAUCAAUUUACCCUUUUUAGGGUGAUCUGAUUAAUUUUGGAUAAAUUAAAUUGCAUUCAAUUCAUUUGACCUAUUUAGGGUGAUCCGGUCGAUUUUUAAUAAAUUGUCAAUUUCAUUUGACCAAUUAGGGUUUCAAUGUCGAAUUUCAAAAUGGAAAACCUAGUCGAUUUUGAGAAAAGUUGUCAAAACGAAUUCCAAUCUCUUCGGUAGGAAGUUCGUCAAAAUCAAACCCGUACGUUUUUGCAAGUUCUUGUAUCAAUCAAAAGUGAUCAAUCCCUUCGGACGAGGUCCUCAUUUUGACAAACGUCUCUUCUUAUUCCAAUGGGCCAAAUUUUUCAAAAUUAUUUUCACUCCAUGAGUUGAUCGGAUCCAUCAGGUAUUGUAUAGUGCCUAUUCUAGCGGAUUGCAUUUUCAUGCUAGGCCUACCCUUGGCAUAAAAAGGGUUCCCCCCAUAGGACAUGCAUACCGAUUUUGCAGUUUUGCCUACUAACUCGGGGUAUUUUUCUUUUGUUUUCCCCCUCCCCUGCAUUCAUAAAAAUGUUUCAAUAAGAUGAAAAUAUUCUUCUAUAUCUGAUGAUAAUUUUAAUCCAAUAAAGUUUGAAGAGUACAAGUGUUAUUUGAUUCUUGGGCAGAUCCUACGAUGAAAACAUAAAUGAUCUAUCUGGAAGCUCUACGCUAAAGCCUCUGAGAGAUGUUGUGAUUGUUUUCCAAAGAAAAAUUUUCUAUAUUUGAUUUGUUAAUACAUUUUGUUCCAAAAAGAAAAGGAGACAAAAAGUGUAUAUGUGGAGCUCUUUACAAGUUUCUCUCUUCUCAUUUGUAUUGUAAUUGAAUGAGAAAUUUUGUUUCAAACAUUUUCAGUAAUAAACUUUUUGGACAAUCAUUGUUUUGUGCAUAUUUAUGUACAUUUCAUUCUUUAUUCUUAUUCAUUGGAGAUUUCGUGACGAAUUUUAAGAAGUAAGACCAAAUUGAAAAGCUUCAUGAUCACAAGGGUCUGCUUUCAAAAAUCCUUAUGUACACCAGAUUGUUGAUCCGAGUCAUCCAAUAAGAGUGCUCAGGAAAAGGGUGAACGGUCACUCAAAAGGCCCAAUGAGAUAUCUUUUCUCCUUCACUUAACCCCAAAAUAAAAUCAGUGACAUUGAUUGAUAAAUUGCAAAUUGGGGCCAUCUUUGCUUGAAAAUAUCCAUGGUGUUUAAUCGAUUCAAUCACAUCUAAGUGAAAGCAAAAAUGUGCAUUAUUCUUGUUUGUUUUGAAAAUUUGGAAUGAUACUUUGAGCAUUUGUUUCACCAUCUAUACAGAUUUUUAUCACUUGCUCUCCCAUUUGAGCCUAUGAAAGAAUAAUUUCGUUUCAGAUAAGAGCCUUAAUGAUCACUACCCUGCAAUGGGAAAAUUUUCAAAAAGGGAAUGGAUUCUCAACGACCAUUUCGUUACUUUGGUUGUCAUGAGGUGUAAGAAUGAUGCUUUGGCCGUCGUUUCUACAACCUAAACACCAAUUACCACUUGCAUCCCUAUUUGAGCAAAAAUUGGUGGUUCUUUUCGAGUGCACAUAUGAUCGCACCCCACAUUGGGGAAGGAGAUUGGGGAAUUUUGAAAAGAAAAGGGGAAAAGCAAACAUGCUAAAAUAGGAAGGGAACCGCAAAUUGGGGAAAUUUGAUUCCACUUAGUUUCCAAUUUUGAAAAAAAAGAAAAGGAAGAGUUUUGUCCGCGUGGAUCGCCUAUGUUUCACACAUAUGGAUGAACAAGGGUUUUCCUCAGUCAAUUAAUUCAGAUACACGCAAAAAUUUCGCAUUAACGAAAAUUUCCUUUCAGAGUCAUUGUAAGGAACGGAAUACAAGUCAGGCCAUCUUCUUUUCCAAUCGAACGUUCUAUCCCUAGUUAUCCCCUUUGAGCCUUCAGAAUAAAAUACUUCAUUUGGCAACCCCUGAGGAUCGCAAACCCCACGCUGGGGCAAGUUGGAGUUGAAAAAAGGAAAAGUUUCAAGAAGUGAAAAGUGAAAAACAACAAGAUCAAAAACAAAAGAAGAAAAGAGAACCUCAGUUCAAAAAUAAACUGGGGCAAAUUUUGUGAAAGUUCGAAAGAACGGCAAAAGGCCGAAAAGUCAAAAGGAAAAAGAAAAUGAAAGAGAAAAAGCCUCAAUUGAGCAUAAACUGGGGCAAAUUCUGAUUUAACCCUAAAAUAGGGUUGGCGCAACAAUGCGAUCUCAGAUUCUUCAAACCAGUUUUGAAAUCCGUUUUCAGGCCUUAACUUUUCUAAGCACCCCACCUGACCCCAUUACAAAGCCGAAAGUCCUGACUCCUGUUCUUUGCAAUGGCCCUGUCAAGAAAAUUUCUGAUGCCGGAAAAUUUUAGCUGUAUUUCUGAAUUGCUUGAGUAUGAGGUUGACGCUACUCACCAUGUGAAAACCCAUCAGCUCGAGGGAAAGGGAAAAGAGGCAAAAAGCAAAGAAAGAAAAGUAUAUGCAAGAAAAUGCAGAAAAUUCGGCGCUGAAGUCUCUGGUGAAUGAUGAGAAAAUGCAAACAAAGUCUGAGAUCUUUUGAUUUCAAAAUAGGGGCAAUUUUGAAAAAAUGCGAUCUAUGGUGCAAUAUCCUUGAAAGUCUUAAACUAUCGUUUUCAAGCCAAAUUACAAGCUAAUAAAGUCCAUCGUUGACUUAUUCUUUCAUGACAAUCCAAAAUGAGGAUCAUGCUCAUAAGAAAUUCAUCAAAUCAGUUGUGAUCAUAAGGGCAUAACCCGUUUCCACAUGUUUAGCUAUCACUUCUGUCCAUACGUUACAAGCCUAGAAAGCUUGUAGGUUGACUAAGUUUUCUUGAAAAUAAGGGUAACAAACUCUUUGCUUUCACUAAGAUGUGACAUUGAAUGGAUUACAUACAACCGGGGCGCAAAAAUGAGACAGAUUCUUAUCUCCCAUUUCCUUAGCCAUUUCAAAAAUAAAGUCACUUGAUUGAUUCUGAAAAGAUGAGCCAACCAGAAGUGGUGACCCGUUACCCUAAACACCAAUGCUAAAAAGUGAGGAAGAAAUCUUCUUGAAUUUGGUGUUACUUCGAGGAAUUCAUCAUGAAAUUUCUGCAUGAGUUCAAACUUGACGAUUAAAGUUUCUUCACAUUGUUGUAUAUGUGCACUCUUUUCUAAAUUUUAGAAAGUGCGGUUUUUCUUUGUUCAAGUAAAUGGGAAAUCAUCUAAACCAAUUUUUGCAAUCAAAUGGGCCCAAACUGGGGCAAAAUUUUUAUUUGCAAAAUUUCACAAAAUAAGCCCACACAGGGGCAAAUAUUUUUGUAGUCCAAUUGAGGAUUUCGUCCAAGAAUCAAAAUAAUGCAUUUUUCAAAUCAGUCACGCUCAUUUGAGUGCAUGUAAGCCCUGUGCAGGUAUUCAUAGUUGAAAUCGACGAAAGAGCGUCUGGUGAUGUGGAAGGCCGAUGCCGAAGAAAGAGAGGAGAAAGAAGGGAGAAGGGCCCUACACUGGGGCAAAUCAUUUUUUAAAAGAUUCUCCCGUAUAUCAAAAAUUCGAAAAUUCAAAAAAAAAUUUCAAAAAAUCCGAAAAAUUCAAAAGUCAAAAAUCAAAAAUCAAGUUCAAAUUCUUGUCUCUUGGAAAGUCAAAUUUAAUUUCUUGCUUCUUAACAAAUCAAAUUCAAUUUCAUGACCAAUUGGAUGGCAGGACUGGGUCUUAUCCCACUGACCAUUCACCAAAUCCCGUUGGGCCUGGAUUUCGUGCCGCCAACAUUCCAAAUAUCAAGUUGGGCCUGAGUUUCGUGCCGCCAACAUCACUCUAUCACGUUGGGCCUGGAUUUCGUGCCGCCAACAUUCCAAAUAUCAAGUUGGGCUUGGUUUUCGUGCCACCAACUUCACUUUAUCACGUUGGGCCUGGACUUGGUGCCGCCAACAUCACUUUAUCACGUUGGGCCUGGACUAGGUGCCGCCAACAUCACAAAUGUCACGUUGGGCUUGGUUUUCAUGCCACCAACUUCACAUCACCAAGUUGGGCCUGGAUUUCGUGCCGCCAACCUCACAAACAUCAAGUUGGGCCUGGAUUUCGUGCCGCCAACAUUCCAAAAAUCAAGUUGGGCCUGGAUUUUGUGCCGCCAACGUUCCAAACAUCAAGUUGGGCCUGGAUUUCGUGCCGCCAACAUUCCAAAAAUCACGUUGGGCCUGGAUUUCGUGCCGCCAACUUCACAAUAUCCCGUGGGUCUAUCCCAAUUUUAAAUUUCUGUUCGGGUCUAUCCCAUGGGUCUAUCCCAUUUACUUUUCUGUCUGGGUCUAUCCCAUUUAAAUUUCUGUUCGGGUCUAUCCCGUGGGUCUAACCCCGUUUUAACUUUCUGUUCGGGUCAAUCCAUAUUUUAAAUUUUCUGUUUGGAUCAAUCCCAUUUUAAAUUUUUGUCAAAGGGGUCAGUCCCCAUUUCUAAAGCAUCCAUCGUUCGAGACGCUCAUAGCCGAAUAACACAGGUAAGUAUUUGGUGUCUACUUCUUUGCCUCAAGUUUUUUCAAAACUCAGACAAAGAGGGGCAAACUGUAGACACCAAAAAUUUCAUCAAUACAAUCUUAACUGUAUUUAGCUUUAUUCAUUCAAUUUCUGACUCUCUUUGAUUCAAUUUUAGUUUUUAUCAUUAUUUAUUUAUUCUUGUUUCAUAUUUAUUAUUUUUAAUUGAUUUGAGGUUGCAAAUAGUAAUUGAUGUUUAUUCUUAUUUUAAUACAUUAAAAUUCAUCAUUUUCUUUUUAAAAGCAAUUUUACGCUAAAUUUUAGGAAAAAUCCUGAAUAAAGAUCCAUUUUAUUUUUUUAAAUUUGAUUUUUUCUUGCUAAGGCAUUUUGCAAGGUAAUUUUAGAAAAAUUAACAUAUUAAACAAGUGUGUCAAUUGCAUGUUGAACAAGUGUGCAAAUAAGCAUUAGACAAGUGGUUAAGGAAUGGUAGGACAAGUGUUUAGGGAGGGGUAGGUGUUUGAGACACCUUGAGGUCUAAGAGAGGAGAAAAGGUACGAAAGGCUAAAAAAAAAUCGAAGGAAGCUCUCGGCUGGGGGGCAAGCGAGGGAAUGGAAAGGAAAAACAGGGGAAGGUUUUGGGCGGGGCUAAGGGCGAAAAAAAAAAAGGGAAAAACGGAGAGGAGGCUUCGUCUGGGUUGGAAGAAAAACAGAGAGAGGGGCUACGAAAACUAAAGGCAAGGGGGAACAAAGAAAAACAGGGGAAAAGGAUAGAAGGCAGGGGACGAAAAAUCUGGAGAGCUAAGCAGGGGGUUUCGGCCUUGAAUAAAAAAAACAGAGGAGGAAUUGGGGUCUAAGAGAAGGGAAAAAGGAGCAAAAACAAAAAGGAGCCGGAGGUGAGAAGCAGGGGAGGGCUGCGGCUGAGUAUUGGAGAGGGUCAGGGCAAAAGAUAGGAAAAAAGAACAAGGAAAAAAAGAAACAGAGGAGCGGCGAAAAAAGAGAGGUUGAUAGAGAGGAAAGAGCUUCAGGCAGCGGAAAAGAAGAAAAGGAAGACAAAACGCGAGAGACAUAAGCUGAGAGAGUUUCGGAAUAAAAACAGAGAGAAGAGAGGCUUGCGCCGCCCGCCCAAGCCACCACCGGCCCCGCAUCCGCUGCGGCUGCUGUCUGUCAUUGCCGCCACCACGCGCAACCUCCAUAAGCGACCACCGCAGCCGUGAAGGUGGAAGCCGAGGCCAUUCAGAAGAGCUUCGGGCAGAAGCAAGAGGGAAAGGCCGCGACCAGAGCCUCUCGUCAACUGCUUCUCCAUCUGCUCCUCUUCCAUGGAUGAUUUGAGCAGCAACGGCAACAGAGGUUUCCAAUUCACCGAGCUGCCAUAACCUCAUCGACUGUCCGUCACCAUCGUUGCCGAGCAGAUGCUGUGAGUCCUCUUCCCCCUUUCAAAUUUUGGUUCUCUUCAAGCUUAGGCCUAUAAGACUCUCAGAAGAGAAUGGCUUAUUGUCAUUGUUAUGUUGAUUGUGCGCAAAUUUGAGCCUACAUGAUUUCUGUGUUGAUUGGGGCUGAACGUCUUUAUGUUUCUGACUAAUUUUGGGCUGAUUGUAAUCUCAAUUGAGCAAAGUUCUGCUGAAACUUUUUAUGCCCACUCAGUGUUUGAUAAAAUGCCCAAUUGGAAAUGCUAAUUGGAAACUAAUUUGCCUGCAUUUUUUUUCGUAUGAAAAAACUAGUUAAGUCAGCGAGCUCAUCUCCUGACGUUUGAAAAUUGUGAUGUAUUGGCGUUUGGCAUUUUUUUCGUUCCCCUUUGCUUCCCGAAUUGAUGUUAGGGAAAGAAGUCGUGGAUUUCGUUGUCUGCGGAGAAUGUCUAAGUUGAAACUUUUUUUUAUCUUGCUCUGCUUGAAAGAAAGACAGAAAUGGCGGGCUAUUGUUUAACCUGUUAGGGAAGACGAUCGUUUGUCCAAAAUCAACUUCAGUCAUUCCAUUUGCUUUUUAUUUUGUAAUUUAGCCCCAGAGUUCCAGAGUUUCUAAUUGUGACCCUCUAAACCUUCAUGAUUUCUUCAAUUAAGUCCCUAUUUUAUUAUGAUUGAACCCCAAGUUUCCCCUUGUUCUGAUAUGGCCCAAAAUCUAGAAAAAUUGAACUAAUUUCACCCUCUUGAGCUUAAUCCUCUGUUUACCUAUUUUAUAUGAUUUCUGGAUUUGAUGCAUAAUCAGAGGUUAACAGGUUUUAGUUGGGUUUUAUUUUGUGGGGUUUCACUAAAUAAAAUUAGGAUUGACUUGGACUUAUUUGUUUGGGUCUAACAAAUGGGCUUUGAUUGCUUUUGCUUGGAUUUUGAUAUAGCAUUGGAUAACCAAAGCCCUUGCAUCAUUCGGUUGGGCUGGAGUAAUAGAAGGUGGGCUAGUUUGUUUUCAAACAAAAGAACUUUCGGUUUGGGCUCGGAAGUUAAAGCCCAUGCUUUUUGUUGGGUUUUACUUGAUAAAAGUAAUAGGCUGGCCCAUCCCCUUUGUUUUGAAUUUUCGGUUGGGCUAGGGAAGUUCGAGCCCAAACAAAUAAAGAAAAGGGCCCAAUGGCCUGUUUUGCCAAGAAGCCUGAUAACGAAAUUUCAUUCCAGUCCCCUGACUUUCGAGUGCUUUCACUAUGGCCCCAACAAUUUUCAAUUUCAUUCAAUUGGGUCCUUACUUUAAUUGCAAAUGAGUCCUUGAGCUUUAUUUUUCUUUAAUUUUGACCCCAAAACUUUGUUCAUUUUUGCAAUUAAGUCCCUUCUUCUUUGGACUUUUUAAAUGUGGGUUGUUGACAUGAUUCAAUUGAUUCAAAUUCAUGCUUAUUUCUAUCAUUUGUGAUUAUUUGCCAAAUAAAUUGGUGCCUUGACCCUUUUAUUGUUUUGAAGCUAAUAUUCUUUUCAUUUCACAACUCAAGGGAGGUAACCUCUAUCUCUUUGAUUUUAUUUUUCCUACGUGCUCCUACGUGUUAUGUGAAUAUGCAUGUCUACGUUGUUUUCCUUGCCUUUCUUUAAUUCCUUUCAUUUAUUUUAUUUACUUUUGUUUUUUUAUUUAAGUUAUUCUUUAUGGGGUAUGUGUACACCUCUUGGCUUGUAAUAGUUAGGGAUUUAAUUCAUUUUCCCCCUUUUAGAUUGUAGUAGGGUCUCCCUAAUGUAAUAGAUAGGGCUUGGAGGAGCAUUCAAUGAAGACCUAUCGAAGUCAUGUGCCUAGUUAGCAAAUGUAAUAGUUAGGGCUUUAAUUGUCUUAUGUGUCUUGCAUGUUUAGUUACUACGUGUUAAUUUGCUUUGUUAGGGCCUUGCAUCUAGUCGAGCAUGUUAAAUGUUAUGUGCUAUGUGUUUAUAAGUGUUUGGCAUGUCUACUCGCUUUUCAUAGCCUGAAUGAAUGUGAUGGAUGAAUGUACGUUUCCACUAGUCCAACGCUAGUCGGAAUUCAUAGAAUGGGCUAGUCCAACGCUAGACCCUUAGGGAUUUCCUCUCGUUAGUACAUAUUUGCCUGUUCACUACAUAUCACGCAUUUUUCUUAGUUUUAUCAUUUGGCAUGAUCCUCGACCCCCUUUUCCCCUCACUUUAGGUUUUGCAUCCCAUGCUAGUUAUAGGGUACAUUUGCGUGAGAGUCCCCUUCCGAUAAGGGAGACGAGCGAGUGUGGCUACUCGAUAGCCUUAGCACGCUAGUUUCGCCUUCUAAUCAAAGGGAAAAUCAAGUCACGAUUUAGGUCUCCCCGUACCCAAUAUGCAUGAAUUCCCUAGGCUCAUGCAUUCUCAAUCCACUCUGUCAUUACACUUUCACUUUUGUCUCAUUUGCACACAUGCACCUUCAUAUCCCUUCACUUGCACACGAACACUUUUUAUCUCCACUUGCACACGAACAUUUUAUCUUCACUCGCACACGAGUACUUUCAUCUACAUUUGCACACCUUCACUCUUAUCUUAUUACUUUUAUCAUUUUUCUCACUUCACACAAACUCACACUUUCAUAUGGCAUGCAUUCCACUCAUUUUUCACGUCAUUUAGGUUUAGGUGUGACCUCUCCAAAAUGAUCAUUACUGGGCUUCACAAUUAAUGUGAUUGGCACCACUCAACCUUUGAAGAGAAAUUUCCCCCAAUCCCCCUAGGUCUAGGUUUUUGCAUUCAUAUAGACAUAUCCAAUAUGCGAUACAUACCAUGGGUAGAAAAAUUAGGGAAAAUUGGUUUAAGUCACGCAACUAGCCUUGGCUAGGUCAAAGGGGUGCCUUGGAUUCUAUUCUUGCCUUCCCCUUUGUCAAACGUGACCCCCGAACCUUUUUCUUUGGCUUACGUGGACUAGGAGUCGUUUUAAAAAGGGUUUUGCUACUUUGUCUUUAAAAAACACUUUUUGGGUGACUUGGUACACCCCAAAUCUAUACCAAGUGGCGACUCCGUUUUUCAUAUUAAAAAACCCUUUUUAAAAUUUUCAUUUGGCCAAAUCGUCGCUUUCCAAAGUCCCAUGGCCUAUUUACUUUUCAUUUUGCACACGUUAACACCACACUUCACACUCACAUCACAUCACUCGAAUCGAAAAGUGGGGCGCGACAGGUUGGUAUACCAUGUGCAUGUUCAUCCCAAGUUUCCUUCUUUUCAUCUUUGCUGCAUUUUUCAUAUCUAGUUGCAUUAUUGAAUCUGUUGGAGAUAAGUAAUUGUAUUUUGGGGUAAGGUUAACAAUGGGUUGAAGUAUUGCAUUUGGAUUUGGUUUGGUUUGAGCCACUUCACAUCAAUGUAUUUCGGCUGAAUGAGAAAAGUUGCAGAAGGAAUGGUGACUGGGAGAUUGCAGAAACAUAAGCUUCCUCGUAAGCUUGCAUGGAUUUGUUUUAAACAUUGCACUUUAACCCCUUAAUUUCUAUCUAAUGCUACUAAGGCCCAGAAAAUUGGAAAAAUUAAUCACUUUUUCCCCUUUAACAUGUUAUUUUCCUUUGGUAUGUCUUGAUAUGUUUUUUGGACAGAUUAUUCAUAAGUUUAGGAUAAAAUUUGAAGGUUGAAUGAUUUUCGAUAAAUUUAUAGUUUUGAUUUGGAAUUUUAGUGAAAUUUUGGGUAAUCUUGUUUGUUUAGGUAUAGUAAAUAGGUUUUCAUUCAUUUUUGUGAGUUUUAGCAUUUGAUUUUGGUAGUUUUCAUCCUAAGCCAUUAAUUUUAAUUUAGACCCUAACAUUUGUAAUAAUAGGGAUUUGACCCCUAAAACUUUUAAUUGUUUUAAUUGGGUCCUUGUUAGUUUCAAUUUAUUAAAUAUGGAUUGUUUAUUUUUAUUUGAAUGAUUUGAUUGAUUCAAUUUCGUGUUUAUUUUCAUUUUCUUGUGAUUAUUUGUUAAUUAAAGUGAUGCCUUGACUUUUUCCUUUGUUUUAGAGGGUAAAUAAGAAAAAUUUCAUUUCAUUAGAUCACCAAUUCAAGGGAGGUACACUCUAUUUCUUUAUUUUGAUUUUAUUUGAUCCUAAGUGCUCCUAUACGAUUCUAUGUGUGUAAUUGCAUGAUUUUUAAAUUUUUCUAUUUUUAUUUCAUUUAUUUAUUUAUUUAGUCAUUUUAUUCGUUUUAAUUUUGUGUAUUUAUUUUAAUUUAAUUUUUUUGAUUAUUUGAAAGGCAUUUAAAUGCCAAAAUUGUAAUCGUUAGGUAGUUAUUUUAUUUAUUUAUUUAUUUUAUUUCCCCUUUAGAUUGUAAUUAGAGCUCCCCAAUGUAAUAGUUAGGGUUUUAUUUGCUUUAUGUGUUUUGCAUGCUUGUGUGUCACGUGUUAUUCGCUUUCUUAAGGUCUUGUAUCCAGAUAUCAUGUUUAUGUGCUAUGUGUUUUAAGUGUUUAUUGGCUUUAUUAUGUUUUUAUAUGAUUUAUUGGAUUAUAAUACAUGCAUGACGUCACCACACUAGUCCAACGCUAGUCGAAACCCUUUCCUCCAAUUUCUCACUAGUUCAAUACUAGUGAUAACUUAUGGAUAUGAGUUAGUCCAACGCUAGACCCUUAGGGACCAUCCACGCACUAGAUCAUGCUUGCGUGACAAUCAGGACAUUUCACGCAUAUUUUCUACUUUUUAGGUUUUUUUUAUCAUUUUGCAUGACAUUUCCCUUAUAUGUAUAUCCCUUAUCCCAUAUUUCCCCUAUAUGUAUAUCCCUUAUCCCUAGGUGUGAAAACAUGACAUUAGACUUGCAUUCCAUUUAAGUAUUAGAACCAGGUUAGUACAUUUUGUUUGAUUAGAUUAGGGAAAUUACCCCUUAAAUAUGGGAUAUUGACGAGUACGACUUUUCUAGCCUUAGCACGCUCGUAUUCCCUCUAUUAAAGGGAAAAUUGAACUCACGAAUAUUAGUUCCCCGCACCCGUUAUGAUACAUUCCUUUAGAUCAUGUAUAUUUGUAUAAUUAUUAUUUUUCUUUUCUUUCCUUCGAGUCUUAUAUUUUUGCAUAUUCGUGACCUCUUCAAAAGGUCAACUUGGGGCAUCACAAUUAAUAUGAUUUUGUACCAAUUAAGAUUUGAAAAGAUAUUCCGACCCUCUCAAUAUAUAUUAGGUUUGGGUUUUGCAUUCAUAUAGUGAUAUCCAAAUGUGAUAAAUUUUUAAAUUAAAAUAAGAAAAUUUUUUGACUAAACCACGUAAAUAGCCUUGGCUAGAUUGAAAGAGUGCCUUGGAUUUCAUCCUUGCCUUCCCUUUCUUCAAAUGUGACUCCCGACCCCUUUUCUCUGAUUUUCGAAAACUUGAAAUAAUUUAAAAAGAGUUUUUUCUACUUUUUUCUUUAAAAAUUCAUUUUAGGUGACUUGGUAUACCUUAACUCAAUACCAAGUGGCGACUCCUAUUUUUCAUUAAAAAUCCUUUUUAAACUAUUAUUUUUGGGUCAAAAUCGUCGCACUUUUUAGUCCCAUCUAGGCCCAUUUCUUUAUUCAUUUUUCUAAAAACAAAAAUUCAUUUUUUUAAAUCAAAAAUUCAUUUUUAGAAACACUUUAUUUUUUUAAAUGGGGUGCGACACAUUGACUCCACCUUCUUUUGAUUUAUAUCCAUUUCCUCUCAUAUCUGAUGGUGGAGAUCCAGCUUGAAUUGUUGUAGGGAACCCAGAGCCUCUUGUAGUUUUGCUUCCUAUUUUUCCCCUGAUCCUCCUGGUUGUUGAAUAUUUUGCCUUUAACCAUUGAAGACUCCUCCAAUUUCUUUCCACACUUCUUGAUGUCUUGGUAACUGUAGCCUACCAAUUGUCAGGAAUUGAGCCCAUUUUCUUACAAAAAUGCUCUUGGACUGGAGUCGGAAGAUGAUGAUAAGAACUAAAAAUGAACCAAGAAGAGAACAAAAGAAGAAUAGAACCAGAAUAGGAAAGAGAAAAGAAGAAAAAAGAAAUAGAGAAAUUGCUAGGAGAAUAUAGAGAGAACCAAAAUGAUCUUAUUCACUGCUUUUUUUCUUACGAAAGGGAGUUACAUUUAUAUGCUUACAAUUACUACUGCUCUCAUUCUCAUCAUAAUCGAAUUAUUCAACUAUAACUACUUCUAAAAUUCUAUUACAAGAGAUUUUUGUGACAAGGACUAUUAUUGCAAUUAACUAAUUAUCUAUUAAUGCAAUUAAAUAAUUACCCUUCAAGUCCUUAAAUUCCUGACAUCGAGGAACAAACAAGCCAAGCCAGCUCAACUCGUCUCCUAUUCAAGCAGCUCGAUUGGAUUCCUUAGUCAGGACAUAUAUACCAUUUCACACUAUACAAGUAAUAGAAUUACAGGUUGGAUUUUUUAAACUCGAUCCUGGCUUGUUUGUGAUUAAUGCGUCGAGUUUGAGCCACAUGCCCUUUUUAUCAAAUCGAUUUUGACUAGGUUUCAAGGCUCAUUCACUUAAACGAGUGAACUCGAGCCUACCUUGAUAAAGUGUUAAAUCGAGUUCAUAAAUCCAAUACUCGACUCAACUCGAUUAACACCUCUACUUGCAUUGUUUUACAUCACACUUAUUUGACAUAAUUCGAAUCUACUUGCAUUGCUUUAUUUUACAGCACACUUAUAUGACGUAACUCAAAUCCAAUACUUGAUUCAACUUGAUUAAUACCAGUACUUGCAUUGUUUUGUUUUAUAUCACAUUUGUUUGACACAAUUCAUGGCUAAGAUAUUUUUAAAUGUAUCUUGAAAGUAUUUUUAAAAUUUAAAAUUCUAUUGAGAUAUUUUUAAAAAUUUUUAAUUCUCCCCUAUCAUAUCCCUCCACCACCAACACCGCCUUCAUCUUCGCAUUCUCUCUCUUCCUCCUCCUUUUCCCCUUCUUCCUCUUCCUCCGCAUCUUCUUCCCCUCCCAUCCUUCCACCAGCUCCCCACGACCAGAUUUAGUCAUGCCAUCACAAAAGAACUUAAUUGGAAAGGAUUGUAAGUUGAAGGUUAAAUUAGGCUAAAAAAAUUGAUGUGUUGUAAAACUAAUAAAAUAAACAAUCAAAAGGAGGGAUUGAAAUAGUAGAGUGAGAAGAUAGGAGAGAACUAUAGUAUUAUUAUAUUCACUGAUCAAAGUACUUCCAGGUUACAAGGUUACAAAUGAAGUAGGAUUCACCCCUAUAUAUAGGUGAUCCAAGAUAGAAGGUACAUGAACCCUAUUAAGUACUAAUACAUGAAUUUAGUACUUCAAGUACAUCCAUAAAUGGAUUCAUCUAAUGUACCAAUGAAUCUAGGGAGAAUACAUGUGACUAUCAUCUAGAGAAUAUCAACGGACAUCCACAACUUAUCAUUAUUUCAUAACACUCCCCCUUGGAUGUCUAUGACACAAAGAAUAUGCCUCGUUAAAACCUUACUAGGGAAAAACCCAGUGGGAUAAAAACCCUAGUGAAGGAAAAAGAGUACACUAUUGUUGUGUAAUAAAUUCUCCCCCUGAUGCAAACAUUAUAUGAGAUCUUGUAGCCGACGCAUACCAAUAUUCUUCACCAGUCUUUCAAACGUUGCAGUCGGCAAAGCCUUGGUAAACAAAUCUGCCAAAUUAUUAUCCGAUCGGAUUUGCAGUACAUCAAUCUCACCAUUCUUCUGCAAAUCAUGAGUAAAGAAGAAUUUUGGUGAAAUGUGUUUCGUCCUAUCUCCCUUAAUAUAUCCUCCCUUUAAUUGAGCUAUACAAGCUGCAUUAUCUUCAUAUAAAAUAGUUGGAGGAAUUUUCUUCUCGGAGGAUAAUCCACAACUCUUUCGGAUGUAGUGGGUCAUUGAUCUUAGCCAAAUGCAUUCUCGACUGGCUUCAUGAAUUGCUAUUAUUUCAGCAUGAUUUGAUGAAGUGGCAGUCAAGGAUUGUUUUGUAGAACGCCAAGAAAUGGCUGUUCCGCCACAAGUAAAGAGAUAGUCAGUCUGAGAUCGCGCUUUAUGUGGGUCAGACAAAUACCCAGCAUCAGCAUAUCCAAGCAACUCAGGCUUAGAUUUAUUUGAAUAAAACAAACCAAGAUCAAUUGUUCCUUGGAGAUAGCGAAAAAUGUGUUUAAUACCAUUCCAAUGUCGUUUUGUAGGCGAGGAACUAAAUCUUGCUAAUAAAUUCACAGCAAAUGAUAUAUCUGGUCUUGUACAAUUAGCAAGAUACAUAAGCGCACCAAUUGCACUGAGAUAUGGUACUUCAGGACCAAGUAUCUCUUCAUGUUCCUCUUGUGGUCUAAAGGGAUCCUUAUAAGGAUCCAAUGAUCUGACGACCAUUGGGGUACUUAAUGUAUGUGCUUUAUCCAUACGGAAUCGCUUUAAUACCUUCUGGGUAUAAGCAGUUUGGUGAACAAAAAUUCCACCUUCUAAAUGCUCAAUUUGUAAACCAAGACAGAAUUUUGUCUUUCCAAAAUCUUUGAUCUCAAAUUCUUUCUUCAAAUAUUCGACAGCCUUUUGGAUCUCUUCAGGAGUUCCAAUCAAAUUGAGAUCAUCAACAUAUAUCGCAAUAAUCACAAAAUUUGACCCAUUUCUCUUGAUUAAAACACAUGGACAUAUUGGGUCAUUGAUAUAACCUUCUUUAGUUAAGCAUUCAUUGAGGCGGUUAUACCACAUACGUCCAGAUUGCUUGAGCCCAUACAAAGACUUUUGUAUUCUAAUAGAAUACACAUCUCUAGGAUUUGAUUUACAUGCUUCAGGCAUGUUGAAUCCUUCAGGGAUUCUCAUGUAAAUAUUAUUUUCAAGAUUCCCAUACAAAUAAGCAGUGACAACGUCCAUCAGACGCAUAUCAAGUUUUUCAUGCACUGCAAUACUCACAAGAUACCUAAAUGUGAUCGUAUCCACUACAGGUGAAUACGUUUCAUCAUAAUCAAAUCCAGGCCUUUGUGAAAAACCUUGGGCUACAAGUCUUGCUUUAUGUCUCACUAUUUCAUUCUUUUCAUUCCUUUUCCUUACAAAAACCCAUUUAUAUCCAACUGGCUUUACACUUUCAGGUGUUUGGACUACAGGUCCAAAAACAUUCCUUUUAGCCAAUGAAUUUAAUUCAGAUUGUAUCGCAUCUUUCCAUUUUGGCCAAUCAUUUCUAUGCCGACAUUCAUCAAUCGACCUGGGCUCAUGAUCCUCGUCAUCUAUAAUAUCAAGUGCUACAUUAUAUGCAAAAGUACUAUCAACAAUUAUUUUUCUUCGGUUCCAACUUUUUCUUGUAGUGACAAAGUUUAUCGAAUUUUCUAUAACUUCAUUCUCUUCAGGAGUUGGCUCUUCAGGAGCGACCUCUUUAGGAGGUUGAAUUUUGUCACUAAUUAUUGAUUCAUCUGAUCCUCUUUUCUUUCGAGGAUUUUUAUCUUUGGAACCAAGAGGUCUUCCACGCUUCAGGCGUGUUUUAGAUUCAUUAGCACUUGUGAUUUGUCCUUCCGGAACAUUUAUUUUAAUCGGAGCAUUUUCAGCAGGAAUAUGUGAUUUGGUGACUCUUCUGGAGUCACUAAAUGCAUCCGGCAAUUGAUUUGCAAUAUGUUGCAAAUGUAUGAUCCUCUGAACUUCUAGUUCACAUUCUUUUGUACGAGGAUCCAGGAAAUCUAAUGAGAUUUUCCAAAUGAUUUCCUUUUUCGGCAGGAUUUCCUUUUUCGGUUGAUCUGUUCCUCCCCCUAAUGUCGGAAAAAGUGAUUCAUCAAAAUGACAAUCGGCAAAUCUUGCAGUAAAUAAAUCACCUGUCAAUGGCUCAAUAUAUGUAACAAUAGAAGGUGAUUCAUAUCCGACAUAUAUUCCCAAUCGCCUUUGGGGGCCCAAUUUACGACGUUGGGGCGGUGCUAUAGGAACAUAAACCGCACACCCAAAUAUUCGUAAAUGAGAAAUAUUGGGCUCAUUACCAAAUACUAAUUGAAUGGGGGAAUAAUUAUGAUAACUAGUCGGCCUGAUUCUCACAAGUGUUGCUGCAUGUAAUAUAGCAUGUCCCCAAGCAGAUAGGGGAAGCUUAGACCUCAUCAACAAUGGUCUAGCAAUUAAUUGUAGCCUUUUAAUAAAUGAUUCGGCUAGACCAUUUUGUGUGUGAACAUAGGCUACUGGAUGUUCAACAGUUAUUCCAAUAGACAUGCAAUACUCAUCAAAAGCAUGUGAGAAAUAUUCACCAGCAUUAUCUAAACGCAUUCUUUUAAUAGGAUAAUCAGGAAACUGUGCUCGUAAUUUAAUUAUCUGAGCAAGCAAUCUCGCAAACGCUAUGUUGCGAGUAGAUAACAAACAUACAUGUAACCAUCUAGUCGAUGCAUCAAUGAGCACCAUAAAAUAUCGAAAUGGUCCACAUGGUGGAUCUACAGGCCCACAUAUAUCACCAUGAAUUCGUUCUAGGAAUGUUAGAGAUUCAGUCCCAACUUUAGCUGGUGAUGGUCUAAUAAUUAAUUUUCCUUGAGAACAGGCAACACAGGAGAAUUCAUUUGAUUUCAAUGCCUUUUGAUUUUUCAAGGAAUGGCCAUAUGAAUUUUCAAUGAUUCGUCUCAUCAUAAUAGACCCAAGAUGUCCGAGACGAUCAUGCCAAAUCAUAAAAUCAUUGGAAUGAGCAGACUUCUGGUCUGCUAGGUGAUGAAUUUCAAUAGCACUUAUUUGUGCAUGAUAUAAGCCAGAAGAAAGAGAAGGCAAUUUUUCUAAUACACAUUUUCCUCCGGAAAUGGUAUUUGUAAUUAAUAAAAAUUCACCAUUUGUCUCAUUCAUUGUCUCGAUGUGAUAUCCAUUAUCGCGGAUAUCUUUAAAACUCAACAAGUUUCUCCGAGACUUGGGAGAGAGUAGUGCAUUAUUUACGACAAUUCUAGUUCCUUCAGGGAGAAAUAGAGUGGCUCUUCCGGAGCCCUCAAUUAAUUUUGCACUACCACAGAUGGUAUUAAUAUUUCUCUCUCCCAUUGUUAAACGAGAAAAAUAUUUUUUAUUUUUCAAUAUGAUGUGCGUAGAAGCACUAUCAACGAGACAAAUGUUAUCAUCACCAUUAUUUGAUCCCAAAUAUUUGGCAUCCAUUUCUUCUUCAGGAAGGAAAAAUUCAAACAAAAAUAAACAUUAAUAAAGAUGCGAAGAUAAAUUUUAAAUGAAAAGAAAAUUACAUGAAAUAUAUAAAGCAUUAAAAAUUUCUAAACAAUCAUGGGAUAUUUGUUGACAUCUUCAGGAUGUUCAAAGAAAUCAGCUACAUCGAGGUGUGUCAUAUCAGCAUCAUCAACAUCAUCAUAAUCAUUCUUUUGAUCAAUAAAAUUUGUCUCAACACCUUUGUCUUUCUUUUUCAAUGAUGCUUGAUAGAGGUUAACAAGAUGCUCAGCCGUACGACAGGUACGAGACCAGUGACCUUCCAUACCACACCGAUAGCAUUUUUCUUCAUAAACUUUCUUUUCUCCAUUUUUCGGAUCGUAGUUAUUUUCCCCUUUUUGGGAAAUAUUUUGUUGCUUGCCACGGCUAUAAUCUUCACGAGGCACAAAUCUACUACGAUCACGUCCACGGCCACGGCCACGUCCACGGCUUCUUCCACGGCCACCUCUACGGCCACGUCCACGACCUCGACCAGAAUUUCGAAAUUGAGUCCCAUUCGCUUCAGGGAAUGGACUCGCACCAGUUGGUCGGGACUCAUGAUUUUUCAGCAGUAAUUCAUUAUUUUGUUCAGCCAACAGAAGACAUGCAAUAAGUUCAGAAUAUUUUUUAAAUCCUCUCUCUCUAUAUUGCUGCUGCAGGAGCAUAUUAGAGACAUGAAAAGUAGAGAAUGUUUUCUCUAACAUAUUUUCAUCAGUGACUUUUUCGCCACACAAUGAUAAUUGAGAAGUAAUUCUGAACAUGGCUGAAUUAUAUUUGUUGACAGAUUUGAAAUCUUGUAGUCGUAAGUGGAGCCAAUCAUAUCGGGCCUUUGGAAGAACGACCAACUUCAGGUGGUCGAAUCUUUCUUUCAAAUCUCGCCAAAGGACAAGAGGAUCUUUGACAGUAAGAUACUCUACUUUUAGUCCUUCAUCUAAAUGACGACGAAGGAAAAUCAUGGUCUUAGCACGGUCUUGGUUUGAGGCAUCAUUCUCAUCAACAAUAGUAUUACCAAGACCCAUUGCCUCAAGAUGAAUUUCAACAUCCAAUACCCACGAUAAAUAAUUUUUUCCAGAAAUAUCAAGAGAUACGAACUCUUGUUUUGUGAGAUUAGCCAUAAGACUAUGCAAUAGAUACGUAGGAAAGAAUAUUACCUUGAUAAGUAGCCAAAAGUUGUUCGGGCAAAAUCUUGACACGUUUCGUGCUUCACUUUUGCUUCGUGCCUUUCCUUCACUCAAAGUAGAGACUCGUGCUAAUAACGUGUUGUAAAACUAAUAAAAUAAACAAUCAAAAGGAGGGAUUGAAAUAGUAGAGUGAGAAGAUAGGAGAGAACUAUAGUAUUAUUAUAUUCACUGAUCAAAGUACUUCCAGGUUACAAGGUUACAAAUGAAGUAAGAUUCACCCCUAUAUAUAGGUGAUCCAAGAUAGAAGGUACAUGAACCCUAUUAAGUACUAAUACAUGAAUUUAGUACUUCAAGUACAUCCAUAAAUGGAUUCAUCUAAUGUACCAAUGAAUCUAGGGAGAAUACAUGUGACUAUCAUCUAGAGAAUAUCAACGGACAUCCACAACUUAUCAUUAUUUCAUAACAUGAUGGAUGAAAUUGGCAAUUUUCCUUUCUACAUCCAAAAGGAUGGAAUCUCUCUGGCUAAAACUGAUUAAAACCCAAGAAGAAUUUAAUGACUUAACAAUCAUAAUACAAUUAGGAGAAGAGAACAAAGUUUGUCCUGAAACAAAAAGUUACUCCUCAGUCUAUGUGUAGAAUUAUAUUAAUAUCUUUCUCUCAACAAAUUAAAAUGGUAAUUGCUUCCCAAAAAUUCACCAAAACAAAUCAAGUUCUUUAAACAUAAAUACAAGCAAAUUAAUCUAUCUAAUGCAAUUAGAUUCCUGAGUAUAUUAAAUACAACAGAUAAGUAAAUCGAUUUAAGGGGCUUAACGGACAGAAGCAAUGCCCGCAGGACAAAAUUUAGCUCCAGCAGCAAGACACGUUUCCGCACUUAAACCAUUAGUUAGGGAACAACUGCACGCAUCAGAUCCAGAAAAUCCCAAUUGUCGAUACAUUCAGCUCGUAACCAGUCCGUGAAUGUAAUGCAAUAAAACCAGAUGGAAAAUGCAAGCUUUUAAUACCCAAGAAGGCACCAAGCGAGGAAGAAUGACAAAUGCUCUCAUGCAGAUAGGAUCAUUAUUGCUGUUUCUUCAAGUUCGAAAACUUUCCUGCGACAUUCGACCUUAGUUUACAUCCAGACAGAAGAAUUUGAUGGACAAAACCAUCUAUUUCUUCUUCCUUCUUCUCAUAGACAAAGAAAGCAACAAAGGCAAUGGGAAGCCCUACCAUAGCAAGAAGAAGAUAAUCAGACCAACCAGAUGUGGCAAACUCCAGCAAGGAUACUCAGGCAUCUAGAAGAGAACAUGCCUUGUGUGCAUAAAGGUACAAAGAAAGAGAGCCCAAACCUAUUAUAAACAAACUUCGUAGUGAGAGGGCUCCAAGGAUGCUCAAAAUCAAAAGAGACAAAACCACCUGUUUUAUUAAAUGACCAUGAAGCAACCAAGAUUAAUUCAUGAAAACUCCAUCAGGAUUAUAAUAAUAAUGAGAAAUCUAAAAUGAUGAUGAUAAUAAUAAUUAUAAAAAUGCAAGAUGACAAUUUUAGAAUAUCAUUUACCUUUCUGCAAUUUUUACCGAGAUCAGAAUCAGAAAAAAUUUUAUUUAUGGAAUUGCCAUAACACAUGAUAAAGGAAGGCAGUUCCUUUAAUAUAUUUCUAAUCUAAAGAAAAAGAUACUCUUUUAACUAGUAGAACAAGUUGAAUUGGUGUAAAUUGAACGGUAAGGAAUGGAGAUAGUUUCGAGUAGUGAUGGUGUUUUGGAAAAACCAAAGAAUGCCACAGAACUUUUACAGCUUAUUUUUCUAGUUACUGAUUGACCUAUUGAAGAAUGAUACCACAAAUCAACUGCCCCCCUUCCCUCCCAGGCACUAACUGCUGACCUUUACUUUGUAUUAAACUCGAUCAAAAAGGAGGCUCUGUGCAGAAGAUCCGGUGUACAUAUACCUCCAAAACAAUCCAAUUGAACCAAACACCAUAAGAUUCAGCUAGCAUAGACUCCAGAUCACAGGAUGAAAUAUCUUACUUUAGAACAAAACUGUACAAUUUAUGCAGGAGCAAUACCUUUGAAAAUAGUAUCCAGUCAUUUCCUCUGCAUAGAGAUUUUAAAUCGAUCACAGCAGAGUUCCACCCCGAGGCUAUUGAUUGAGCAACUUGAUGCGAGGACUCUUGUGAAAUGUGGAACUUUGAUUCAGGAAUUUUCUCAACUUGAUAACCCAAUCUGCACCAUUAUGCAUUGCAUAUAAGCUUUCAUGAAAGCUUUGACAAUUUUAACAUGUUCAAUUUGUUUCAAAUUAGUAUGCAGAAAUGUUAGCUACUUGCACACAUGUUCUAAUAUUGAACAAAGAUAGUCAUCUGGAUCAAAGUAUAGAAAUACUGAACAAGGAGGAAUGCAUAUUACGGAUGUCGCCUUAAUUUCCUUGUAGUAUAACAGCCUGUAACACAUAUCAGUAGAUAGAAUGCCCAGGUGCAUGUGUGCCCCAAGAGACAUGGUUAUCAUAUAAAAUUUGCAUGUGUACAAGUACUUGCAUGCAUACACACGCACACACACAUAUGUCAGAGAGAGAGAGAGCAUACAGUUUCCCGGGUAACCUUCCAUUGAUGAAGAGGAAAACCACUGCCACCAAGAGAAGUCUGGAAACUGCAGUUAUAAUGGUGUAUCCAGAUGCUAUGAAAUUGAAGUAAAUAGCAGCCAGAACCAACAACAUGAGGAGCGUUUGCCUUUUAUCCCUCCAUAGAAGUGUGUCUGCAACUGCAAUAUGUAGUUCCAUGAUAUUAAAUCCAAAUAUGAUCUUUAUGAAUUUUCUCACUAUCCUUUACUAUAAGUGCGUGGAGUAAUUGGACCAUCAUACAUGUUUUUGUAUUUCAAAGUCUGACAUACCCAUGCUUGACAGAGUAGCAUCGUACAAACCAUCAAUUCUUCAAGUUUAUAUAAUUUACUCCAGCUACAUAUAAAUCAUAAUAACUUGAAAAGAAUACAACAUUUUACUAUAUUGGAUGAAGCUUCAAGAUCACCAAUCACAUUGUCAAAUUCUCUAGGUAUAUCCAGAGAAUUAAAAAUUUGCUUACAUAGAUUUAGACUGCUCUCAGUAACAGAAUCUUGGUUUAAGAUAAAAGUUACCACAACAUAAUAAAAAAUGUAAGUGGGGUGAAACAAAGACAUGAUCAAUUAUUAAUGCAAUAGCAUCACAUUCUCCCUGUAUGUACAGUUCUCCUGGAACUUCAACGGUAACAUUACAAGCACUUUCUGCAAGAAACCUUAAUUACAACACUAACUGGAUACACAAGUGAAUAGGCCCAUCAGAUAAAAGCAGUGGUUUCUAAUUUAAGCUUCUCAUGUGCAAGUUACCAAUAUUUAUUUGGACCCAACAUGUGGUUUCUUUGUCCAAUGGUUUAACUGGUUUGCAUUAGCUGUCAAAAUCAUGAAGGGUUCAGAGAUCGUUCUACAUGCUUAAAAUGUUUAACAAUAUAAUACCGUUUCAGAGGUCCAAUAACCAGGGGAUCCUACUAAACCACAUUUAUCAUUUGUAAUUCAACAUUCCUACUUCACCACUUUUCUGGAAAAUCAAGAAUUUUCAGUAAUAACCCAAAAACGACAAAAGCUAUGUGCCUCUGCAUUUUUCUAACGUGUGUUAUCAUGACAAGUACAUGGGAAAUUAGUUACCAAAAAAAAAAAAACAGAAAAAACCUGCAGAAAAAGAAAGGGAAUCAAGAAUCUAUACCCCUUCCGCUACCAAGAAUUUUUGAUGCUUUUGAUGGACCAUCCCUUUUAGGUCGAACUUCAGCUCUCAAGUGUGGGUAUGAUUCAAUUGUUCGCUUAAGACCCUCCUGCAGAAAAUCAAAUUUAAAUUGUCAAAAGAAAAAUACAAAAACCAGGAGAUGUAUUCUAAAGAUUUACUUAACAUGUUGAAAUUACAUUUGCUGCAUCAAACUGAAACAAAUAAAAAUCUCCUUCCAAUCAGAGCCCCUCAUUAUAGGGUGUAUGGCAAGAAUAUAUAAACCAUAACUCUCAGGAAACACCCAAAACAAUAAUUAAAUAAAAAGGCAAAGCAUAAAUAUAGUGCAUUAUACAAAACCAAGUAUUUAAUGAAGGGACUCUGCUACAAGUACAGAUUGGAUAUGGUCAAAAGGCUCCAAAGUUUACUAGGGUAGAAGAAAUGUUUGCAUAAUUGACUAUGUAGAAAAUUCACUGGUUUAAUGGAAAUCAUGGUAACCUGGAGAGAGACAACUGGUGUGUAGCCAAGCAAAUCAUUUGCUUUUGAACAAUUAAAUGUCCUGCAGCAAGACAGAAGCCUGAUUCUUGAAGGAGUGAACUGUGGAACCUUCAUCCCAUAGGGGGCCAGCAUCUUAUAUACCCACUCCACCAUAUGUGCUAUAGGCAUCAUCAGAAAGACGGGAAGUUUAAUUCUUGGCCUGCAUACUAUAUGAAAUCAGAAUAAAGAUAGUAUACUUUAAAAUCUUAUUAGCCAUGGCAGCUUGGUGACAGUUAAACAAAUAAGCAACCACCCUCCAUCUUUUACCUCCUCUCUCAUUGUCAACACAUGUGACCAAAAUCUGACGACUCUAUCUCUUUUCCAGAAAAAGGACGAUAUUCAGUUAAAGCCCGAUUGCUACAGAAACAAAACUGAAACUUUAUAUGGCUAGUACUUGUCUCUCACUUACGUACAACUUAACAAUACAGGGUCACUAAAGCUCAUUCUUCAUCCGUUAAUUGAAAGGACAAAAUGUAGAAAGUACCUUUCAUAGCCAAGACCUUCAAGAACAAGCGACAUAAAUUCCCAGAACUUGAUGGGCUCCAUGUUUGUAAUGAAAUAUGCCUGCAAGAACAUUUGGUGGCUACAACUCUAUCAAGGUUUGCAUCGUAGAACAAAAAAGAUAGUAGUAGCCGUACAUCUGAAUGGCUUAGUAAGUAAACAUGAUUUUGAAGCAUAUCCUUCCAAUUCCAAAAACAUUAGCUAACCAAGCCAGCAAAGGAAUUAAAAGCAUUUGGAGGGCAAACCUCUACAACAUUAAAGUUAAUUUCCCAUAUUAAAGCAGAAGGAUGAAAGCUAGGUUAAAUUCUUUGUAUAGCAUAUCUACAACCACCGUGCUUAUUAGGUGCUGCAAAGCUAGAGGGCUGGAGAUUCAGCAUGUUAACUUUCAGGAUCACUAAAUUGUAAUAAGAGAUUUCCUACCAGUCAAUUCUCAAUUCAUUUUAUUGAAUUUAUACAAUGUUUUAAGCAUAAUCAAAAGUUAUAGAUGCAAGAACUACAAAUAUCACGAGAAGAACUAAAGGACACAAAAAUCUACACAAAAAGUGAACACAUCAAGAAAGGCAAAAAGAUACAAUCUUGCUUUGUAGAAAAAGAUUAAAGGUGAAAUUCCUGAACCAUUAUACCUUUCAAAUUCUUAUAAAUAGCAUAGAAGAAGCAGAUUUCAUUCAAUGAACAACAAUUCUGAAUUUUGAUACUACUUUUGAGUCAUAACUACAAUGAAUGUUCGAGGAACAAUACAUUGCAAAGUCCAUCAGGAUAUAACUGAAAUUUGUUGCUUUUACGUAAAAAUCAUAUUCAGGGCAUGACUUGUAUCAAGUUCAAGGAGUGGCAUUUUGCUUCAUUCAAUGUGCCAAAAGUGAGCUUUGUCAAUUCCAUUUAGCUAGGUGGGAUAAUUUGACUGAAAAUUUAAAGCUAACGUGUAACUACAUAAAUGCCUGAAAAAUCCAAAUAUGCAACCUCUGAACCUCAUAAUUGUUAGCUUGAGAUUCUCCAGUGCAUCACAGAAUGAACCUGGGUGUACAUGCAUAUCAUAUGGUAUGUGUAAACAUGUACAGCAAUUGUCUCUAAUUAAACAGGGCGUCACCAUCACCCAGUUUGAAUAACGAUUGCAAAGCUCUUCAGCAUGCAAAUAUGGUCAAAGCUAGACAUAAGGAACUAAAGCCAGCUUUGUGGCAAAACGACAACUUGAAGCAGCAUUUGUUUGGGAAAAAAAGAAGAAGAAGAAGAAGCAAAUAAGUGGUUGAAUUCCAGAAUAGUGAUUGAAACAACAAACUAGCCUACCUGCCCUGCAGCUUUCUCUGAAACUGCCCCUCCUGAAGCCAGUGCUCGUUCAGCACAUAUGUGAGCAUGUGCAACAUUUUCGACGUAUGUGAAAUCAUACAGAUUGUUGCCAUCACCAAUUAUGAACUAACAUUGCAUAUUAGAAGGUCAACAAAAUACAAAGUUAAUGACCAUCCAACCUUAGCAAGAAUAGAGAACAAAGCCACAAGACUCCAAGUCAGUUAUAAAAAGUGUCAAUGCACAAUGACCCAAACAAUGAAAGAAGUAUCAUAAGCUAGUAUCAUCAGAAAAUCAGGAUUGUUUGGUUUUAAAAGAAAAGCUUAGUUGAUGUAAUUAUAAAAAGAACCAUAAACUUAGUAGUGAAGCUAAGUACACGUAGAAGUUAAAAUUCACAGAAGUCAUACUAACCUUAGAUUUCCCAGCCCUUGCGGCAGCAACUAAAGAAGGCACAAGUAACCUAUCACCUGGACCAAAAAUGCUGCUAGGUCUAAUGCAACAUGUUAGAAGGCCAUUAGUGCCAUUUGACUUGAUAACUAGUGCUUCUCCUUCAGCUUUAGUGGCAGAAUAUGAAUCAUUGUGCUGAAAAUGUAGAAAGUAAAGUAAACUCAGCUAACAAUAUACUCCAGCAAAAGCUUGUUCAAAGAUUAAUACGGAAAAAAAAAAAAAAUGAAUGAGGGAAGAUAACAAAAAAUAGCUUGGCCAAAAUUAAAACAAAUCAAAAAGAAGUUUCAGGGUUCAUAUCCUUAAACAAGUAAAACAUAAUUUGAAAUACAUGCAGCCUUGGAUAUCCAUCAAAUUCCUAAUUUUAAGUUUUGUGACUGCAUCUGAACACUGAAUUGCGCAAGACUACUGCUAAAUAUGCUAGAUAACCUAUGAAAAACAUGAACCGUCCAAUAUGGCAAAGUAUAUGAUUGUUUAAUUCAAAGUUUAUGGAUGAAUGGCUUCUAAGGCAUUUUGAUAUAGUUAAAACACACUGUUGUGACAACAGUUGGUAAAUUUAUUGACGCAAAGUUGCCACAUAUAAUGAAAAAUCCUGAAUUGUUACCUUUUGUCAACAAUGAAAAUGGAAAUGGAUGAUAGAUAAAGAGUAGAUGUCGAGAAUUGAUGCAUGAACAAGCAUAAAGUGUUGUCACAUCAGGGAAAAGAUUAUAACAUUAGAGUUUCUAACGUUUAGCUUCACGACACCAACAGUUAAGAUUAGUACAUCAUCAAUGUGACAAAUUGCACGUCUACACAGUUAAGAUUUAGGGAAUCCCAUUGUGUUUAAAGCAUAUUAAGCAAAUUAAUCAUUAUCCUACAGAUGUCACGACAAGGGUUUCUAAUAUUCUUCACAACAAUUUUUUAGCAGAUACAGGAUUUUCCAGAUUAUGGUCAUGAAAAAUCCUAAAUUAAAUCGUGUCUUCCAAAGUCAAAAAGAAAAGGCAAGGAAGAACCAUAGCUACAUAGAGACAGUAAGUAAAUUACUACAUCAACCACAUAAAGAUGCCAGCAAAGGACAAGGAAAAGUAAAUAAAAUACAAUUCUCCUCUUUUUUAGGUUUAUAACUGCAACUAUGAAAUGGAAAUUAGUAAAACACCAAGAGAAUAGUGCUAAGUAUCAUCUAGCAUUCUUGAUAGCAGGAUUAUGAACAAUCCCAGAUUCAUUUGAGAUGAAAAGCAAACAGAGAUCUGCUAAUCAACCACAAUGGUAUCAGGUAAAAAAGCUGGAAGACCCAAUUGUGACUGAGAAAGCUUCUAGUGAUACAAAUCCAGUAUAGUCCCAGCAAAAGACCAAUUCCAAGUAGGUCUAUAGAUGCUACAUACCUUGGCAGGAUAAGGCAAUGUUUCAUCACCAUUAAAAAUUCCAUGAACUCCAUCGAAGACCACACUCGGUGAGCUUGUGCAUAUAAGCCUCUUUACUUUCAGCUCAACACAAGCAUCAAUAACAUUCUUGGUACCUGCAAGUAAUUGACUUGUCAUGUUAACGAAGCAAAAUUUGGUAGCCCAGUAGAAAAUAUUUCAACCGUUUACAACAACUAAAGGUGCAAAGAAAAGUAGACAUGAAGAAGUUCUUUAUUCUGGUCAACUUUCUUAUCAAAGAAACUUACCUUGCACGUUGACAGAAUAAUGAAGCUGGUAGUUGUUGAUAGAAGAAUCUGGAGCAGCCAUGUGAAAAACAACCUCAGCUCCCUGGAAAGCUACAACAUGAGAACGAUACAUCAGAAUACUUCUAGAAUGUGCCACAUAAACUUGCUUAAAGGACAAGACCAUAAUGUGAAGUAUAGUUCGCAUGGACACAAAGAUAUUACACUUUUUUGUCAUGACAUAUUAAGGACCACUUAUGAUGAUGUUUAAAGUAGAAUUUAAAGUGGUUUUACUCGUGGCUUUACUGGAAAAAUUCAAUGAAAACUUUGCUUUUGAGAAUGUCUUGAAAAUUAAUUCUGAUAUUCUUUUCAUUUGUGUGACCUGGUAUAACUCAAAUACAGAAAAAUAUUUGAUGGUUUUACAUUUUUAAAAUUAAUUAGCAAGGCAUAACAUAUUUAGACAAUGCACCCUUAAUAGUAAUCACUGAAAAACAAAAAUUCUCAAGGGAUAAACAAGGAGUAAAAUUCACUGGAAAAUGAAAAAUAGGUUAUCAAGUACCAUAUAGAAACAACUCGUGCGCUUAAAGUUCAAGUUAAAAGAUAAUCACUCAAGGGCCUAUUCUUCUAAACACCUGAUCAGUUUUUUGGAUUAUAAAAGGCUACUUUCUUGUGUUCUUGAUUGCUUUCAAGACCAACUUUUAGAUUUUUUGGAAGCAAUAAAAGCUGAAAGUCAGAAGCAAAAUAACGGUUUGGCUGCUGAUUCUGCUUUUGAAAAUCAGAGGCAAUUAAGGACAAAGGCCAUAAUCUUAAUCAUAACCUUAAAAAAAAGGGCAUAAUCAUAAUGUUAAUUUUAUAUAUUAAGAAAAAAGGCUGCAAAUUUUUUUCCUUCAAAUGUUUUUGUUGAAAUGGGCACCAAAGUGAUGGGUUAUGCAGAUAGGUAAUUGUCAUCAGGAUACACUGAAGUAAUAGAUUUGUCUGGAUAUUUAUUUCAUUGAAUUUCUGUUAACACAAAUGUGACCGCAAGAUUCUCUCAAUUAGAGGAUGCACAAACUUCAUGAAGUAAUGUGAUAAGCUUCGCGAAUUACAAACCACAUUGAAAGCUGUUAGCUCAAGAAAUUUCUUUAAUCGUUUGACAAAAUUUAGGAAUACUCAACUCAAUUAGCCGUAUACCACACCUACAGGGAUACUUCAGAGUAAAAUUCACAAAAGAAACUAGUAACCUGAUUUGCCAAAAAAGGGGUGUCUUGUACUGCAAUAUCUAUGCUUUUUGCACCCAACCAAAAAGGAAAAAGGCAAACUCAUCCCAGAACCUUUAAUGAAAAACUUGCAUUUAUGUGCAUUUUGUGUGCGCACAAGGUGAAUGCCGCAUGUAGCGCUGAUCCGUGCUAUUAUCAACUUUACCAACUGACUGAUACAUAAUCAAAUUUACCAACUUUUUUCCUUUAUGUUUCCAUUAAGUCCUACGAAAUCACACACAUUAGUUAUCACGCAUUGCUUCAAAUCCAAAGACACAUUUCAGGUGAACAUUUACACAUAUAAAACUAACAAAAAACAAUAACAAUGAUGAUGAAAAGAAUACGCCAAAUACUACAUUUAUUUACUCAGAUACCAAGUCACCAACUUUUUAAGACAUCUUCUCUGUCUCUUUCUUGAUUGCAAGUUCCAACUUACUGCUGCAAUCAGGAAAAACUAACUGAAAACUUUCGACGUUCCUAGGCGUCACCAAACACUCACUUUAACUAAAAAUUCGCCCAAAAUUACAAAAAUAAAAGAAAAGAAAAUCACAAGAAAUGUUGAUUUCGUACCUUUGAGCACUUGAGACUUAUCACGGAGAUCCGCGGAGACAUAGCUAGCACGACCAGAACUCAACGCCUCGCCGAGAAUGCCUUUCUCUUCUUGCGGUUCGAGCUUGAUCGUAGGGCCUAAAUCCGCAAUCCGAACGCAAAACAUAUUGUAUCGGAUCAACAUUUCCACCAAAUGCCUCGCCGCAAACCCUCUCCCUCCGGUCACCACACACCACCUCUCUCCUUGCCCUUGCCCUAGGUCUUGGCCUUCUGCUUCCGCCUCCAUUUUCGCCUGAUAUUAAUUUUUUUACUUCCUUUCAAUCACAUUGCCAUUGGAUUCAGAAAUUUACAUGCAUAAUUAUACAACAAAAAAUGUGCAAUGUAGAAUGUCCGUGAGAGAUGAGAUAGUACCUGCUAGAGGAUUCAGCAGCGAACAAUGAAUCUAGUGUGUGUUGUGUGUGUAAUUAUGGGGCAGAGAGAGAGAGAGAUUUUGAAGCAGAGUGUGGUGUAGGGAAGAUGAUGAAUGCUUUAGUAGACUUGUUUCAGUCUUGGGCGUUUGUCUGGGGUGUGAUUGGGGCCCCGCAAGUUGACCCGAUUAAACGAGAAGUUGACGGUGUGGAUUACGACGCGUGGACUUGAUUAGAUGGGUUGUUCAAACUUGAAAGCUGAAAGUAAAAAUAGAAUAAGUAAAUAGAAGGCUUUGUGCUGAAAUUUUGGCUUUUAAUUUUUGAGUCAUUGAGUAAUCGAACUUUACUUUGACCACAAAAAGAGUUUUAAACUUUAUUUGGGUGUGGAUUAAUAGAUCAAAUCUCCUUAUAUAUAUUCAAAAAAUGCAAGCUAUUCUAGAAAAUAUUGUCAGCAGAUGCGUAGGUAUUCAUUUGAGUCGUGAUAGCUAAGUUCUCUCUAGGUUCUUCUGGAUUUCUUCAAGUCAUUCGAAGAAAAAAAACUUCUCGAUCUUGACUAGUACAAUAAAUAAGUCAAAAUUUAUAUUCAAGUUUGACUCAUUAAAAUAAUUUCGAAUUCAAACUAGACCUUAAUCUAGACUCAUAUGACAUAAAUUCAAACGUGUGCUUGAAAUUCUUAUAUAAAUUUACAAUUUAAAAAGUUUAACCAAUUUAAUUAUUUUAUUUAAUGAGAAAUUAUUUUACCAAAUAUAAGAAGGUUUUUUUAAAAAAACAAAACAAAAUCCUAAUCAAUCAAGACAAACUAAAUCUACAUAAUUAUUACGAAAAUUAGGAGUACUAGUUUCAAUAAAUAUACAAAUGAGUCUAAACGAAUUAUUCAUAAGUGGAGCCAAUCUCAACUCGUUUGAAAAAGACCGAAUUUGAUGUUCAAAUAGUUCAACGAGUAACUUAAACAUGAACCUGAUACAAACCGACCUGAAUGACUCAUGAGCAGCUAGUUUGUUUUACAUUUCUAGCCACUAGAAGAAGUGUCACCCAAACAUCAAAUACAUCCUGGGGUGAAAUAUAAAAACACUUACAUGUAAAAGGGCUUGAUCAAUAAAUUUACAUAGUUUGAAAGAAGUACAUCAAAAUCAACUCGACCCUCUUUUCGAAUUCUCCUAAAAAUAAAUCAGAACAUUUUCCCUCCAUUCUCAUCCCCCAUUCCUCCCUCCCAAAAUUUCUGCAAAAUCAAUCUUGUCCUUCCCUCGGAAGAAGAAGAAUUUCAACUUCUUAAUAUGGCGAAUUAUUAUGAUAUUGAUGAUGUUUUAGCUGAAGAGGAGGUAAACAGAAGAAUUUCAAUUUCUUACAGCUUUGCAAAUUCAUUACUAUAAUUUUUUGGUUUUUUUAACAAUUGUUGAUGAUUUCUUUCUUCUCAAUGGGAAAAAAAAAAGAUUUUACCAGCUGUAUUCCAGCAGGCAGCGGACUGUUUCGGGCUACUUGAUUCUAGUGAUGAUACAAAUGAGGUGAUCUGUCAGUGAUUUUUGGGCAGAGGGGUGACUCUAUGCGUGCUUUUUCUGUGCAUUUGUGUGGUGUUAGUGAUUGUUUCUCGUAAGUUCAGGUUGAAGCCGGUGCGAAAGUAGAAUUACCAUUUUGGCUAGCUCGUGAUUUACAUGUGAGAGGAGUGGUAGCCGUCGACGUUCCGCCGUAUUUCAGAAAAGUGUAAAACUCAUCCCACUAUUUGAUAAUAUUUUCUUCUCACAAGUUUUGUCCCAUACAUGAGUUCUUAUGAUUUUCUUUUAAGGAUGGUGCUAUAAUAUGUUUGUAUUUUAAUAUAGUUUUCACUAAUAUGCAAUCAAGAUCUAUCAUUUAAGCGUUAGAAUGUAAUAUGUGUGUCUGUGUGCUGUAAAUCUUCAUGAAGACAAUGCAACAAAUCAAAAUAAUUCCUAUUGUACUUAGCUACAGACUUAGCUGGUGAUUAGGACGUGAUAUGGUAAUAAGAUGGGUGGUGGUUUUAUUCAUUCUUUGUGGAUUCCUGGGCUUUUCCAAUUUAGUCUCUCAAGCAGUUUGUUCAUCAAAAAUAUCAAAUUAAUUUACAUCAGAAUGAGUGGUGUACGUCACGUAAUUGUAUGAUGCUUUUGGGAUGACUUUGAAGUUCUCCGAACAUCAUGUCAAUUCUUGAAUGUCUGUAGUUUUAUUCAUGAAAGUUUUGAUAACAUUUAUUUUGGUCAAUUUAAUUAUUUUUUUGAGGCUUCCACCAGUUCUAGAACACGCAAGGAAAUUGAGGCUGAUGCUGCACAUGUGGAUCUAAGAGGUCGAUGCCAGUAUUUCUAUGAACUAGGACUCAAAAUAGCACCACUGUAAGUUUUUAUUAAGAUUUUGGUCUAUAUCUGCUUCAUCUAUGCCUAAUGUUUGACUUUGUCUUAAAUUUCAUGUAUAUGAGCUUUUCCCAGUCUUUAAUCCUCAUACAACCAACAUCCAUCGAAAACUUCUAAUAAUUAUGUUAUGGAAAUAUCCUGUCAUGUCAGAGGAUCUUAUUCAACUUGAAUGAAAGAAUGGAAUCUCAAAAUCAUGCCAUCUUUUUUUUGUUAUGGUUAAGCAUACGACCAAAACUUAUUCCUUCAACAUCUUAAGUUAAAGCAUGCUAAGAUUAGUUUGGUCCAGAAUUUGUCACAGCACAAUGUAAUUCAUAUCAUGCCAUCAGCAUCUACAAUAAUUUUUUAUUUGCUAACUUUUAAAGAAAUGAAUUUUGAUCUCUUGAAUUUUUUAGAAAUAGAACUUAGCCUGAAAAGGUGUUGUCGAGAGAUUAUCAGCAGAAAGCAUCACGAAGAUGUUUAAAGGUUAAAAUAUUUCUGGUUGAGUAAGAGAAAAGAAUAUCAAAGCUAAAAGUAUGUUGAAAUUGAAGUCUGCAGGAACUAUAUGGUUUUUCGAAGGCUUGUUGGCAAUGACAUUAACUUCUUUUGGUCUGAAAAUCUGGAACCUAAACAGGAUUGGAAAUAGAGAACGUGUUUGGUGCUUUGCCCUUUUCUUUUAUGCUUGCACUCUUUUUACAACCCUAGGGGAGCAGUGAGGAGAGCAGUCUGGUAAACCAAUUUGCUGAAGUAAACUUCUUAGUAUUUGCUGCAAAGUUCAUUGGAUUGGUCUAAAAAAAAAGACAUGGAUUUCCUUUUCCUUAACGAAUCCUUAGUAAAUUGUGCUGAGAACAGAAAGGAAAAACAAAAUGGACGAGACAGUCAAGAUAACAAAAGAAAUUUUAAGUUGGAGAACCAUGAUUGAGCGGUUAUACUUGUCUGUGUAUUCCACCUUCUAUUCUUCCCUUUUCUUACCGCUUAUAUUCUCUAAAUCCUUGCUAUUUGCUCGUAUAUGAUUGGAAGGUUUUUCCAGAAAAUAUGCCUGUAGUUUCAAGCAAUAGGUAAAUCCUAUCAGCAAGAAGUUUGUUGGUUUUUAUUUCAGAUACAAUAAUCAUCAGUUCGUUCUCUUUUGUAAUUUUUUUGAACCAACAGGAGUAAAAAGAAAGAAUUAGCACGCUGUUGUGACUAACCUUCGAUCUUAUAUAGAAAGACAAGCAUAAUUAAUGAACAAAAUUUUUAAAACUUAUUCUGCAACUAGAAAGAAUAUUUGCUGAGCUCAGAAGUUGAAAGAACAUCGACUAACUUACAAUACUAAUUCAAAGUAUGUCAAGUAAAAAAUCUUAUCUUUAUAACAAACAGCAAUGUGUCUUAGCUGAGAAGUAAACAGUGUUGCAAGUUUGCAUUCAACCAUAGCUAAGUAUAAUUGAAUGUACGAAAGUGCAGUUAUAUACAUGAUGCUAGCGGCAACUUUUGGGGUUUGUUUGUCUACUGGUUAUCUCCGCUGGAAGUAAGUUUUCUAUCCAUAGAAAGCAGCGUCCAAGAAAAUUAUUAGUUUCCCCAUCUGUUGGUUAAUAGAUGGGCUGAAAUAUUUUGCUUAUCCUAGGAAGCAUAACAAUCACCAAUGAUCAAUGGCUCCCUUUUACCACUUCCUCUUUGCUCGUCCCCACCUCAAGCCACGAUACAGCUAUGGUAUCACAACCAUUGAUCCACAACCCCUAUUCCACCUGAUAUGGGAAUGAAAAGAGGAAUGAACCUUUUCUUCUUUACUGACCACUAAUCUCUCAAGUAGCCCCUUUAAUUAAACUUUUAAUCUAGUAUGAACUUCAUUCAUCUCCAUCUGCCUAGUUUUUAUUUUAGGAUUAUAUACAUAUGGCUAUGUAUGUUGAGUGGGUGUGAAUUGGUAUGUGAAAGGAAAGAGAGAAUGAGAUAAGGAAGAACCAGCAAUGAGUGGGUGAUGAAUGCCGACUCCAUUUUAUGAUGAAUUGUCCAGAUCCGAUUUUGGUUCUUAUCUUGAGGUUGAUUCAACACAUUCAAAAAGAAAAGGGAAAAAUACUCCAAUAAAUUGGCUCCCUAAGUUAUUUUACACCUGAUGAUGUUAUUUAGUUUCUAUUGCAAAUCUUUCAUAAACUAACAUGUAACUCAUGAGAUUGAUGAACAUUUUCAUCAAACUAACCUUUAAUGUUACCAUUCAUCAAACUCACCUGAGGAUGACAUUUGUGGCUUACCACAUGUUAUUCUUAUGCGAAUUCUUGAUAAAUAGGGUUGGUGACAAAACCAUUGGACCUUUCCUCCUAGUUGCAUUUCAGACCAGAUACAAGGAGGUUCUUGUAAAGGCACAUACUGCUGCAUCUGCAGUGGCUCCCAAGCACUUAACACUGCUAACAAAUGAAGAGGCCAAAUGUAAGACAAAUAUAAUAAUCAUUUGGUUGUUUCGUUUUCAUCUCUGUGUUCCUUUUCUGUUGCCCUGUUUUCAUUUUAGAAAUCAGAGUUUUGAAUGUUGAUCAUGUGGCUAUUAAUUUGAAGUAUAUGAGGCUGGUCAAUUGUCCACUGCGGCAUUCAAGAAGUGGCGGAUGGGUGGACCAAGAUUGCAAAGAGCUCCUGUUCUUGGUCGGAAGAGGAAACCAAUAGAAUAGGUGACCUUUGUUAUCUUUUUUAAUGGAUGUCACAGUGUGUGAGCUCUCCAUUUCAUGUUCUUUGGUAGGGCAGAUGUCAUGGAGAAUAUGUAGUUUAUGCUGUUUUAUCCUAUGCAAGAAAUUCUUGAAGGAACCAAAACAGCUGAAUACAAUUUUCAAUCAUGUUCUUGGUUAUAUUAGUGGUUAUUUGUGAAAUACCUAGUUAAUGAGCAAGUAGUUUAACUAGCACUUGUCUUGCUUCCAGUCCAUCGCCAAUGUUUUGAUUCACAAAUACCACCCACAACAUCCUUCCUCUUUUUUUUUUUUUGUUAAAAGUUUUCUUUUUCUUUUUGAAAUUGGGAGUCUGCCUUGUGAGUUACAUACCCAUAACAUCCUCCAUCAUUUACUUAUGUCACUGGCAAAAUUUAUUUGAGAGGCAGUAAAUAUUUGUAUUAUAUCUAUAUAAUAUCCGUUCUUAUAGUCAAAAAUUUUUUUUGUAUGUUGUGUAUUUAAAAAAUACUCAUACUUUUUAAUUAACUAUAUAAAACAUGUAAUCAAAUUUUAAAAGAAUAAUCCAAAUUUUGGAAAAAUUUAAAAACUUGAGUAAGGAUAAUGACAUACCUAUUGAGGUACAUAUAAAAUAGCAAAGACAUGUAUCAUAGCUUUUGUAGAUAUAAAAAAUCAUGAGAUAAUAAAAUUGUAAUAAUUUUAAUGUCUUGUACAUGACACAAGAAUAAGCAUUUAAAAAAAGCAAAAUUUGGUUAUAAAAAAAAGAAUAAAAGAAUUAGGAGUUAUAAUUGGCAUAAAAAUAGUAGUCUCUGACUAAAAAUCACCCUCCCUUCCUUCCAUAAAAUUUGUCAUGUUUGUCAUUUUUUCUUAUUUCAAAUUAAUUGUUAUUUUAGAAAAGUCAACUCACAUUUUUCAAUGAAAUUUUAUCUUUUUUCUCAACUCAUUUGUUUCAAUGAAAUUUUUGUGUUUGAUUUACACCUUAUUUAUUCCAAAAAAUUAUCUCAAAUAAUCUUAUAUCCAAACACAUAUCUUUACCCUUCAUGUGUUUACCAUUUAUUCCCUGCAAUUAUUAAUAUGUCAAAUAAAAAAUGAUUUGCUGACCCAUCACUAGAUAUAAGAGGAAAAUAAAAAUUCACUUUCUUACUAACAUCACUAUAUAUAAAUUGUAUGUUUUUUAAAAAAUGAACGACAUAUUAAAUAAACAACAUAUUUUAUGGGACGGAAAGAGUGCUAAUUUUUCAAGUAUUUUUAGUUCCAUAAUGUUCAAAUAUUAUUCACGUGCAUACAAAUUUAAAUGUGUGAUUUUGCCAUCAAACUAGUAAAAUAUAUUUAUAAAAUAUGUCUACCGGUAGAAUCUUCCGCUAGAAGUUUCGAAAAUCUCAAAGAUCAUCCCACCAUCAUUUGGCGGGACGGAGGGUCAAACACUCAAACCUUCCCAGUUUCCCACCAUUCCUCCCUUUAUUUUAUAUACUAUAGUUUUUGUAUCUGCACACCCCCCAAAUCCAUUGACGCUUUCAGCUCAAAAAACACACACAACACACACUCGCAACAGUCCUUUCGCACCUCCUCCCUCCUCUUCUCAUCGCGUUAUAGCUUCGAUUGGAUUGGAUUGAAUCGAAGACUACUAUCAAUGCUGACCGGGCGAGAAAGUUUGAAAAGAUUGAUUGGCAAACGGCGUCGUUUUCUACCUAAUCGCCAUUCCAUCAUCUCCUCCGCUCUCCCUUCGCCUGAGGUAAAUUCAGAGUUCUAUUCAUUUGAUUGUUGAAAAAGUCAAUUUUUAUUUUUUGUUCCUGAAUUUUUUUUUUAUUUUUUUGCGUCAUUUUUAGAGCACAUUGAAUUUGUGGAAGAAAGAAGAGGUUGAUGAUGAAACCAGCUCGGGUGAUGAUAAAAAUGGUGCUCCGGAGCUGGUUAGUUGUCCGAUUUGCGGCGUCGAAGUUCCUGGAGACAAUGACGUCAUCAACUCUCACUUAGGUGUGUUGUUGUUAUGACUUUUUUUUUUUUUUUUUUUACAUUUUAAUAAUUAAAGGAAUGAUGUUUGGUAGUGUUGAUGUAAAAUAAUUGUGGUGUUCUUUUGGUUUUUGUUUUUAUUUUGAAUGAAGGGAAACAGGUUUGUUGGAAAAGAGUGUCUGUUUUUUUAAUUUGAAUAGAUUAAAUGCUGGAGAAAGUUUGAAAGCAUUGUGGAAUUAGGAAUAAUAGUAUAUGUGAUGGAUAAUGAUAACUUUUUUAUUUUAUUUUUCCUACUUUUGGUAUUUAUGGAUGCUUAUGCUUUCAAUUACUGAUUUUUCAGAUGCAUGUCUUGCUAGAGGGACUGAACCUUGUGAUGCUAUCGUCAGCAAUUCUCGUUUAGGUAAUUCUUCAAAAAAAAAAAUUUAUGAAGAGUCUUAUUGAAUUUCACAGCUUGAGCAGAAGAACUGGGUAUCUAUUUUGUUUCUGAAUAUUUUUAAGAGUUGUUUUUCUAAUGAAGGGAACUGAUGAAUGAGAGAGUAUGUAUUUUUUAUUUCCUAUUGGGUUUCUUAUUUCCUAUCCUUCAAUGUCAGGUCAAUAAUGUCAGAAAGUUUUAAUCUCUAGAAUGCAAUUCUUAUUUUCAUUUUUGCUUUUCAAAACUUCAUCUUUAUAGUAUAGAAUAUAGAUGUCAAGUAGGGGCAAUUGUAUAUAUUGAUAGAUUUGAAGAACCUCUGUGUUCUUGUUUUCCUUCUAGAUUCCAUUUCUUUUUAAAUUUAAUUUGAAUGUGCAUCUUUAUUCCUUGCUUAUGACUUCAAUUAAUGAUUGUAGAUGCAUGCAUUGUUAGAGGAACUAAGCGGAAAUUAAGUCAGCGUACCCUUUUUCAGUUGAACUUUUGCUCAAGAUCCAAAGUUAAAGUUCAUUCUGUUGUGUUGGAUUCUGCUGAAGUUGUUGAUGUUGCUGAGAGUGAUUCAAUUAAUGGUAUUAGAUGGUACAGACAUCAUGGAUAUGAUGACACAGAAUGUUUUGAAAAAUGCAGUAGCAAUCAAGUGGAAUGGCCAUUGGAGUCAGUUGCUACUGGAAACAAUGAAGUAGCAGGUUAUGCAGAUAAGCCAGUUAAUGAUGAAGUAAUCGAGAAUGAUGUUGAUUCCCCUUCACUGCCUUCUGAAGGGAAGGUGUCUGAAAAAGAUAGGCAGGAACCCAUGGAGGAUGAUGAACUAUCAGAGUUGUCUCUUCAAACAUUCAUUGUUGGCAGAAAGUUUGCUGAUCAAACAGAGUUAACUCUUCAGACAAAGAUGAUCCUCUCAAGAGACCCUGAGAAUCCCAAAGAUCCAAAUGCUAUUAAGGUUGUUGUCUUUGUGCUUCUGAUUUGUCCUUUUAGCAACCAGUAAUGACUCUUUGAACCAGGUCGUUUCUGCAGAUCGUGGGUGUAAUAAUGUGAUCGGUUUUCUACCACGCAAGUUGGCUGAGCAUCUAUCUCCCCUAAUAGACAAGUUCCACCUAUAUUUUGAGGUACUUAGUUCCCUGCUAAACUAGAAGUAUCCAAUGGUUGUUCUGUCAAAUGUUCUGGUCUGGCAUCUUCAUUUUACCAUCUUGCUUUGUGGUUAAGGUUGUACCUUUACCACAUGUAAUGAUUGGAUCUCUGUGUGUGUGUGUGUAUUUAUAUUCGACUCUCUUUUUUCUGCAUGUUGAACUCAUGUGAUUUUUACCUUCAAGUGGGAAACUUUUUCGAAGCAAUGUAGUAUUACCACAAUUUUUUGCAGAACUUGGGACAGGGUAUGAUCUUUUAGGAAUCAAAUCUUGGAUACCAGAAACACUCUCAUAAAUAAGCUGCGAGAUGACCAAAAGUUGGUAUCUACAUUGAUUGUUUAGUGAGGUACAAUUGGGAUGUAACAUGGAAAGUACUGACUUUGUUGGAAUAGGUGACAGUGUUUGUGGGAUGUGCCAAACUAGAAGGUGUGACAAAGUAAAUGAUUCAGAAGAAGUAGUAUGUUUGGGAUGGUUCAUAGUGUCCACUUCAUGCUUAGUUCAGAUGGUGUGAUGCAUAACAUAGAAAGCACUGUGUUGGGUCAAGAAUGUAAAUGGAAACUUUAUCUCAGUAUCUCAUGUCUUUAUAACUAAAUGGGAAUGCACUGCCACUCAGUAAUGUAGUUGAAAAGAAACAAGAAAGUUCACAUGAUUGCUCCUGCAGAAGCAGCAGAGAUGAUUCUAGUGCACUUGCUUCUUUAUCUCAGAGGCCUUUGAAAAGUAAAUCCACCUCCAAAGUGUGUGUUUUGGAGUGGGGGGCAGGAUUUGGCAUGGACCCUACCUUUUCUUUUGCCUCUAAAUAUACAAGAACCCUAAUAUAAGCAAAAUAAUUGACGUAGUUGAAGCCCCUAAAAAGGGCAAAGCUGAAGAAUGAAGGAUCAUAUUUCAUGUCAUACAUGAGCUUGGAUUGGUGCUUCAACAUCAUGUGAACCUCAUAUUGAGUCAAAUCUCUACACCAAUGCCCAUACAGAUAAAGUUGGUUUCCUUGAAGAACUUAAAUAGCAGCAAACAGUGGAAAAGGAAAAUGAAAAGAAAAAUGGGAAAUUGGCAUUUAAUACUUCCUAUUGACACAAGCCCUGAAGCUAGGUUGGGACUCAAGGUUUAAGAGAACCUCGAGGGGAUAAUACAGAAAAACAUUAACUACAAUAGUGCCAUCUUCAACCAUGAAAGUGAAUUUCAACAGGAGAUUGUUUGGAGUGCUUUAUCAAGUUCACAAUUGUUGCCUUAACUUAUGUACCUGCCAAGAUUCCUUUAUAUUGCUUGACACCACACAAUUGCAUGCAAUAGCUGCAUCUGCUAGUUGCUGAAAGUAUCUUUUUUUCCCUGAUUUUCACUAGGUUUUGAUUGUCUUGAUCAUUCUGCAGGGUCAUGUGACUUCUGUUCCACAGCAUGCUCUUGCUGUUGUCCCUAUUCAAAUUUUCUGUCAAAAUAAGUCAGUACUUGAUGGAAAAGAUUGUGACAGUUGGAAACUUUUCAAGUCCUUGUGGAGACAUGCUGUGUAUGCUGUUGAUUCUGCGAAGACUCGUCCUCCAGGCAUGACAGGAUAUCAGCAGAACCUUGUUCUAAUGAUACAAGAGGUUUUAAAGAGCCAUUCACAUCUUUUGACUGAUGGAGAAAAGACUUUCCUUGGUAAAAAUUUAAUAAUUGUUUGAAGUUCAAGAUCCCGCUGGUGGCUUAUGCAUUACGUAUCUACCUUGAACAGAACGCUUGACCUUGCUUUCGGAUGACAGUCAGAGGCUCUUUGCUCGGCUUUAUACAAGAAAAGGUCUUCCUUAUCAGGCAUCCUUUUCAUUUAUUUAACAGAUUAUAGUUGAAGAAUUCUACAGAUUUGCUUUUCAUUUUAGUCAACUUUAGGAAGGUAGCAAUUCCUGGUUGCAAAGACAACUUAUGCUGUAGUAUUGCUAUUCAGUCUGUCUUGUUGUGUGAUAUACAAAUGAAGUAUAACCAGUCAGUAGCAUGAGGAUGUUCUUGAAAAUGAUCAAAGGCUGGCCUAGAGCUCGAAAAGUUUUAAGCACUUGGGUAACAUCCACUUUGCUUCUAGUUGUCUGCAUGGGGAGACAAUUUUGACGGUACUUGAAAUGAGUGGAUUUUUUUUUUAAAAAUCAUUGUGAGGCUUCUAAACACAACUAACUAGAGAGAAUUUUGUUGUCUUUUGAUGUUGAAGUUUGAACUUUACUUGUUACAAUAAAUGAAUUGCGUGUAGCAUUUGUAAUAUUCCCAUGUUGAUAAAACUGGUACCUAAGACCAAGUAGCAUUCUGGUAGGAAUGUAACAAAAUAUUCAAUUCAAAAAUUGAAAGCAUUGGUAAUGAUUGAGGUCGAUAAUCUAUUUCUAGUUACUUCCUGGGUUAUGGCUCUUACUACACUCCGCGUACCAACCUCGCUUCGUAUGAGAUGCUUACUCAUAAUGGGAGAGGUUAGAGCUAAGAAAUCUAUGGCCUGAUUAUUUUGCUCUUCUUCUUCAGGGCCAUGGUUUAGGAUGUCCAAUAUCUCAUACACCGAGAUACUUGACUGUGAAGGGGCUAUCAAAGAACUUUCUGGUACACAAGUUUUGUAAGUUUUAUAUAUUAGAGUAUUCAGUUUUUGGAAGUUUACAAUUCAAAUUUUCUAUCUUAUUGUAAUCCAGAAGCAGGCUUCCUAUGUUCCAUUGAAUCAGACAAUAAUGUCCAAGAAGAUGACUUAAAGGAGAUCUUGAAUGUACUGAACGUUGGUGAGCUGCGGGAACUGGUCAAUAGUGUCAUCGACGAGGUCUGCAUAUAGCAUUUUGUGCUUCACAGAAAAAUUUUGGCUCUGUAUGGAUUGAGACUUAUUGUGAAAAACUGUUUUUGUUUGUGGGAUCUACAGUAAAAAAUUCCAAAAACAACUCCAAAACACACAUAUCAAAUACAACUAAAUACACCUAAAAAAUGAAUAAAUAUAAUAAAUAAAAAAUUACCUUCUUCUUUCACUCACCACCACCCACCACCACCGUCCCCCAGCAACACCCCACCACCACUACCACCCCCUCCCUUUCUCCUCUCUCUCCCUCUUUCUCUCCUUUCUUCCUCCUCCUCCCUCUUCUUUCCCUUCCCUCGGUAGAUUAAUGAACAGGCAGGUUUUCUCGAUUCAUCAUAAAGAUGUUCAUUGAAAUAAUUAAUAAGUUACCUUGUUUUCUCUUUAUCUAUGGAAGAAUCUUGACUUGGUAGAAGUUAUUAACAUGGCAAUAGCAUACAAGGUACUUAUUUUCAUUUCAUAGAGCUUACAGUGUAGCUGUUCCUGUGUGCUGAACUGUGCAUGAAGCACAUAAUGCUGGGGCCCACAGUUAUGAAACACAUAGUUUGUGGUUUCUGCUUGUUCUCAGCCAUUGGUCAUUGCUGUCUGCUGAUACUGGUUUAUUAGUUAUGUUAACUGAUCUAAAGGACAUGUGUUCUUUUUGUGGACAAGUGCAUCUUUUACUGAGUCUAUUGGUGGUUGUGUUGGAUGAACCCAAGUAUUUACCUAUUUUAGUUGAGUAUCCGGGAUUCUGGAGAGUGUAGGCGUAGCUGUGUUUUCCAUGGCAUUUGGCCCAAAAACUUGAAAGUAUUUUAACAGAAGAACUAAAUGCUGAUGCUCUUGACUCUGAUUUUCUCCUAAACUAGAAUACUAAUCUCUUUUUUGGACUUGCUUCACUUUAAUUGUGCUUACCUGUUUGUAUCCAUUGUACAUUUUGCAAACGCAUAAGAUGGAGCAUUAUGGAUGGUUCCUUCUUAAGUUGAAUGGUCCCAUAGUUUAUGCUCCAAAAGCAAACAAUUGGCUUCUGAUGACUACGCAGAAAAAGGUUCACUGUGUGGACAGAUACGGGCCAUAAAUUUCUUAAAUUAUGACUAUAACUUAGGCUCUGGAUCUUAGCUUUCAUAUUUGUCCAAUAGGAUAACGGUUCUUGGCUUCAUUGAUUUUUAAAUAGUAAAUGUUAGAUAGACCCCUCUUUACAGUACAUUAUUUUCUCAUCUGUUUCCUGGUAUUCCUUACCACUUUCUUAUUUGGGAUAAUUUCCGAAACCUCUCCUGAAGUUUCUCAUAAUGUUUCUUAACACCCUUGAGGUUUCUAAAAUCUCACUUACCUGUCCUGUCAGUUUGACAAGGCCAAAUGUCCCCAUUCAAGGCCAUGAAUUAACAACAUUCCCUUGCAUUCUUAACAUCUGUUUAACCUAAAAGCCUAAUAAAAAGGAGGAUAUUUAAACCACAAACAUAUGGACAACGAACAACCAAAUGGCCUUCUAUGUUGGACCAUAUUUUUCUGUAUCUAGGUGGUGGUAGGGCAGCAAAGGAGGGGGUUAAGUUGAAUUUAGUCAAUGUCAAUCUACUUGAAGAAUUUUGGUAAGUAAUUAGCCGAUUAGGAAUUUUGUGGGACGGAUAUAAGGAAGCCAUGCAAUUUUUUAAGGAAGUAUAUUUUAUUACAGAUGUUAUUCAACCUUUACUCAAAAUUUAAAAAAAUCUUUUCAUAUGUGAGUUUGCAUGUAAAGCCCACUCAUAGAAAGAAAAUUAUAAAUCAGCUAGUAUUAAAAAGAUUAAUCUAAAAAUGAUCUCAUGACAAAGUAUCUAGAAAUUGCCUACGUUGAGGUUGUUGUCUUUUUUGUUUUUUGUUCUGUUUUUUUUUUGGGGGUCAAAAUGGCAUUCAUUAUGCUAGGUAACAGUUGAUGUAUUGCUGCGACUCUGCUCUUUACUGUAUUUAUGACCCUUCAUACAUUCACCUGUAUUUUUUGGGAUUAAUCUUGUAUACACUGUCAGUAUAUACACUAUCACUGUUAGAUAUAUGACACGUGUAAAAUUUGAAUUUGAAAUUCAAAAUUUGUUUAUGUGUCAUUCAUCCAACCGUGAUAGUGUAUAUAGAUUUAUUUGUAUUUUUUGACCUUAUUUUAAUUUUCAUUGUUGCUGUAAGCUUCUAAGCCUACAUUGAAUUGUUUUUUACUCUAUUUUCUACACCAUGCGUCAUGAGUCCAGCUUAAUUUAUGCUGUCUUAAGAGGUUAGAAUGACCUUGCUUCUUAAUUAUGAUAAUCGUCCAAACGCUGUCAAAGUCACCUCUGCAUCAGUUGUCUCAUAACCUCAGUCUUUUGAAUGUUACAUUUCCUAUGUCAAUCUGUUCUUAGAAGCAUUUUCUGGUAUCUGUUUUUUAAGAAAACACUUCUGCACUUGCACACAAGUUAAAUAUCUUGUGAUCAAUAGAAUAUUCAAUUGAAAAUUUCUCUCUUGCUUUUGCUUCCUUAAAAGUUCUUCUAAAUUGGUCUUAAUCUUCUGAUCUGAUUGUUGUCUUAACGCCUUAGCCUUAAAAUGGAUUUGAGGUUGCAGUUAGUCUGAUGUUUAAAAUGUGUCUGAUUCCUAUCUCUCUUUGCCUUUCUAAUUAAGAUAUGAUUUUUCACUCCAUUACCUUUUCUUCCUGCAAUACCCAGUGAAAUUCUUGCCGGAUGGAAAUGCUGUCCCACCUAGUGUCAUAUCAACAGUACAUUUGUUGUUAGUUCAUAAAUGUGUUGCAACCUGAUGGCUUUUUCUUUUUUUUUUUCUUUCCCAUCUCCUUACAUGAUAUUUCUUGCCUACUGGCGAUUUGUAAUAGUAAUUCCCUUCCAACUCCUUUGUGAUUACUUUGAUUCCAGCAAAUUUGAAUGUUUCAUAUUGGCGCUAAAGAUAAAUGCAGAAAUGCCUUACAUAAUCAUUACAGUUGGGUCUGUAAAAGCAGCUUUCGUUCCAUACUUUCUUACAGGUGAAGGGUCAAAAUAGUGCAUUUGUUUAAGUGAAUAUUACUCUUUUGGUUCAACCAAUAAAUUAUCUGUACUCUUCUAGUCAUGCCAAUUUCUAACUUGACAUUGGUACAGUAUCCGUUUACAUUUCCUCAAACAUAUUAGCAUAAUGUAUAAUUCAUAACUAUGAUUUGUUUACAAGAUAGGAAUUGCUACUUUUUUGGAGCAUUGUGCUACCUAACACCACAAAUUCCAAUAUCAGCCUUUAAGAUGAAUUAGCACUCCAAACUUUCACUUAACAAAACAAACAGAAUAUGGUGCGCUCCUUGUCAAAAUCAUCAAGCUUAGGACCUUUAAGUCUUUCAUGCUGAUUAGGAGUUGCCUUUCAUCCGAUCAUGCUGAUGACAGUGGCUUGCAUGUCUUGAUUACAAAGUAAAACAUUUUUUGAUUGCAUAUCUUUUGCCUUUUUGAAUUUUAUCUUGUCAAACUACAUGCUCUUGACUAGUAGGAGUUGUCACUUCUGAUUUGUAUCUGUGCACACUUGAAAUUUUAGCUUUUGACCUUUUAUUUGUGUUGAUGGGUCGCAGAAUUUUACGCGGACGUAUUGGAAGAGACAUAAAAAGUGCACUCCUGUUAUGAAAAAACAAGAUUUGAUUAGUUCACUUCUAUCUUCAUACAAGGACAAUAUCUGGUAUGAUGAGUGUUUUCUUGGAGUUUGUAAAAAUGCAUAGUUUGGCUUGAGAUCUCAUGUACCUUACCUCCAUCUGUUGUUCAUGCAGCUCCAACCUCCUGAGUUUGAUUUUACUAAAAACUGCAGUCUGUGUUCGAGUAACUGCAUCAGCUGAGUCUCUUAUUUGGCGAGCUGAGGUACUUCCUGAAUUCUGAUAUACUAAUACUUAUUGGAUCUUCCUCUAUAAUGGUCAUUUUGAUCUUUUGCUUUUUGCAGCGGCUAUUCUUCUUGAAUGGGGAGCAGGACUUAUCGUCAUUUUUACUUGUUGAUUUAGGAAUUAUUAAGUAUCCAACUUACAACUGUAUAUUGUCAGACCAUAUUUUUAGACAUAGAAACGAACUGCUUUCUUAUGAGGAGGUAUGCUUUACCACUUAAAUCCAUUUUUUUCCCUUUAUGCUUCUUUGUUUAAUCUUUAAUAUGCAUACAAAUCUGCUCUCUAGGCAAUUGAGGUUGCACAAAUUAUGGAUGAAUCUCUGGAUUUAAAUAAUUCUGAGUUGGUUUCAAGGUGCAUAGAGGUUUCUGACCACCGCAUCUUCAAUCCUGUACAAGCAGUCCAAUCAUCAACUGCUGGAUCAAUAGAUACAUUUUUGUCAUGUUUUUCAGCUUCAUGGGUCUACUCUAAGGUGGUCUUGUUAGGUGUUUCAUUCCUUGAGCGUGAGCUGAGGUACGAAGAUUCUAGUUAGUAUACAUUUACUAUGUGAUCAACUAGUCAUUUUGCGUUCUAUUUUUCUGAGGCUUCUAUGUUUUUGUGGCUCUUGUCAAUAUUGCCAGCAGAGAGAAACUAGCAACUGAGAACAGCACUUUCAUUGUUGUCUCACUUUUUUUUUUCCUUUCUACAAUCAAGAUUGUUUAGUAAAUUAUCUUUAUCGAGUCAAAGAUUUUGUUGUACUGCUUCUGGAAAGCAGCAACUUCGAAAGGGGAAUACAAGCUAUCCAUUGGAACUUUGGUUACAACACACUGCAGAGAAAUUGCCUCCUUAUGCUUCAUACUGUUGUGUUUGGAUAGUCUGUUGUUGUACUUGAGAUGAGACAUUGUAAUUCAGUAAACAGCUGAGAGUAUGACUUCCUCGUAUCAAACAACUCGUGUACUAGGGAAAGGGCAAAGACCAUCCCUCGGUGGUUGGUUAAGAUUUAAGAAUAAGUAGCUUGGCUAAGAGGUUUGGUUGCUUGACCUAGUAUCAUGUGUUCCAAACCAAGUUUACCAAGAUUGUUGAACCGCACCAGUAAAUGGAACUAUAUGGGAACGUAAUCUCAAAAGCUAGUAAGGUCACUGAUGAGAAAUCAUGUCAUGUAAUAGAGAUCUCAAAGCUUCUUAAGUCCUUUGAUCCUUAAUGUUAGCCAAAUGAUUGGGGUUUCAAUGUUUGGUUUUAACAAGAAACAAAUAUCAGAAGCUUGUGUUUCAUGCAUGUUACUUUUAAAGAUCAGCAGCUGUUGAAAUUUGGGAUGGGUAAAUGACUUAUAUUGACAGUUUGUUACACAGUCAGAGCAAGGGAUGGUGAAGAACGUUGAAACAAGCAGCUUUAAAUAGUGGUGGAGAGAAUGUAAUGCUAUAAAAGCCAUGAUUGUGUGAUCGUAGUUGUUUAAGAAUGCCAGGAAUGGUUAAUUCCCUGUUUGGACUAGUUUGAGUACUUUACCAGAAAAUAUCCGGUGCUAGUCUAGCAUUCUUUUUUGUUAUUGGUGGUAUUUGGAGAUCUUCUUACUUCUUCAAAUGUGGAAAGCCUCAAGUAACAUUGCUGUGACUAGCUGGCCCGAAUUAGGGGCAAUCAACCAUAUCCGAGAAGCCCAACGUCAUCUAAUGCUCUGCAUGGUAAAGAGCUCAUGUGACCGAGCUUGAAAUGUUGAAAGCAAGAUGAUAUCUAGUUAGAGCUUGGCCCUACCGCAUGUGACCAAGAAGCAUAAUAUUAUUGUAAUCAGGGGAUUUGCUAAUAAUUUAUGCACACUUUAGUCUCUAAUAGCUAGUGAUGGUAACGAAUUUCAUUUGUCACAAAGAUUAACAUGUUGGUUUUUCAUGUACUUUUGUUAGUGUAACUUAUUUAUAUGUCUAUGCAUUUGUAAGAGCUUUAGCGCAACAAGACCAGUUUACAGAUGUAAUCCCAUCUUUUCAGUGGCCUAUAUGAUACAAAUGAACACAGUGGUAGUGAUAUGACCUAUGCAUUGCUCCUCUAAACAUGUUCAAUGUAAACUUAAUCAGAUAACAGGGUUCCUACCAUCUGUGAUAGUAGUGUACUAAUGGAACCUGGCUUAUUAUCUUCUUGGACCUGUCUUACCAUUUUGAAUCUAUGGUUGAAGGACAUGUAGUAUGUGAUACACUAUAUCUGAUCUACUAUUCUAUGGAAUGCCUCUGCAAUGGUGACUAUGUUAAAUGGGGUUUCUGUUAAAUUGAAAAUAAAAGAAAGAAAGAUGAUUGGGUUUAAUAUAUCAAUUUUGUUUUGUUGAAGGAAAUUGAUUCUGGAUAAGUUUUAUCAUAUCUGAGAGAGUAUCAUGGUAUUGUGAAUUUAUUAUCAAGCUCUUGCUCAUGGGUGUUCUGUAGCAUCCAUCAUUAUCGGUUUUUGUGAAAUUUGGUCCUUUGUUAUUGCUUAGGGAGUUAUUUGCUUGAUACUGUCAAUCUGGAUGUUUCUUCUUUUUGGUGAAUAUGUCUGAUUAUCUUUCUUUGUUUCAGGUAUAUUGAAGCUAUCAAGCUACUAAAGCGCCUUCUGGUUAAUUUCAUUUCUGACAGAAGAAGGGGAUACUGGACACUGAGGCUAUCAGUUGACCUGGAACAUGUGGGACGUAUAAAUGAGAGUCUUCAAGUUGCUGAGGAUGGGUUACUUGAUCCCUGGGUUCGUGCUGGUUCAAGAUUGGCCUUACAAAGGCGGGUUCUACGACUGGGAAGGCCACCUAGGCGCUGGAGAACUCCUAGUUAUUCACAAUCUGUUAAAAGGAAGAUAACUGAGGUAAUCCUUUAGAUAACCAGCUUUAACUGAUUUAAGCUACAAGACUGCAAAUGUAUUCUAAUUCAGGAUCAUGCCUUUAAUUAUCUCAAAGGGUCUCUGAUUACAUGUAACUGUUUAUUGAGAUAGUUUUAGUUGGGUUAAUGUGAUUAGGUUCAUAUUCAAGGUAGACCAUUAAACAGUAAGACAGGAAUGAGGAGUAUAUUUUAUGGUGAAGAUGGAGAGCAAUGUGGAGUGGAAGAACUUGCUUUGCAGUAUUACGCUGGAGAAGGAGGUGCAUGGAUGGGUGUCCAUACAGAGAGUGGCAUUUGGUUGACUAUUUUUGGGCUUUUGAUGUGGGAUAUUAUGUUUGCUGAUGUGCCAAAUGCCUUUUGCACCAAGUUUCAGGUACUCUUUGUGAUUAUUCAAUUUCUCAACUUUCCAGGUUCAGGACAGUAUACCUCUCUUUUUUGGUGCUGAUUACAUAUGUUCAAAGUAGGUUACAUGCCGGAGUGAAAACAUUGGGUUUCUUGAAGUGAUUUUUGGCCAAUAACAGCAAUUAUCUUUUAUUAUUUAAAUGGCUAGUGAUUCAGUAAAAGAGCUGAAAGUUGUAGUAAAUUGCUAUUGGUUUAGAAUGGAAUACAUCUUGUUAGUUGCACUUGGUCUAAGGUGAGCUAAAUUUUCCUUGCAGUUCACAGGGGCAAAUCUUUGAGUUUAUACUAUUGAAGCUUGAGGGACUGUUAUGAUUCUUUUAAACCCCGAAAUUAUGACAUGCUCUGUGCGAGUAAGAGAUAUUGUGCGUUUACUGCUUUUAUGUGGGUUCUUAACACUGUUUAGGUAUCUGUCAAUGAGGCAAUGUUAAAUUAUUCUGACACCAGAUUAUUUAGAACAAGUUUCUCUGGUGGCAUUGAAAAUGGGAGCUCCUGUAUUACUGUUUCUUCCUGGCAGAAAAAGGAUUAUUCUUUGAAAAUGCAGAGUUUAAAUGUGCUUGUUUUAGCUAAUUGAUCCAAGUGGCAAUGGGCAAAUACAUUGAUAACACCCGGAUAAAAAUGCUGAGUUAAAACUGAUAUAGGAUUCAGUCAUAUGGAAGACCAAUCUUCCAAUCUUCACUAUGUGUUUCGUUGUUUCAUUUGUGUGAAGCUAUUUAACCUGUCUCUUAUUCAAUGGAUUCAAAAUGAGGUUAGUACUUCUUCAACCUUAAAUUGAAUAUCCUUGUCUAAAAUGGCCUUAAUCUCUGUUGCUGAUUUGGUUUGGGAGUAUUCUGCCAAAUCAAUUACAGCUACAGACAUCACUAAGGACACUCUGUUGAGUUAGCAGCAGAUUUUUUGUUUUCCUCCUAAUAUUUGUUGCUGAAAUGGAAGGUAAUUUGGAUGGGAAGUAGGAAAGCGAUGGUAAGAGUUGAACCUGUGACAAGAAUGGAGAGCCUUAACUAAUUGACUGUAUAUUGUACGCUCUUAUAUAAGGUUGCAUUACCUGUCAUCUUCACCAUAUAGAGUAACUAUAUAGGAAAUGAUUUUCAAAUGAUCAUGGAUAGAUUGUUCAUUAAGACAUUUGAAUUAAAACACGAGGUGGUACAAAUGAAAAGCAUUACACCUUACAAAUGUUUGUGUGCUGUUGAAUUCCCAUUUGGGUAAUAUGCAAUUAAAUUUGCUAUAAAUGAGAACCUCUAUUAUUAAAAUUUUAGCUAGAUCGGGUACUGUCUUUUUUGUUUUCAUUUCAUUUAUAAAUUCUACUACCUUUCGCUCGCUUGUUUCUGUUAUGCUUUUAUUUUAUAAGGAUUUCUGUCUUUUCUAUCAUAAUACCCUAUUUGUGUGUUGAGACAUGUAAUUUUUUCAUUCUGCAGACAGCUCCCUUAGAUCUGGAGACAGAUAGCUUUUAUGCAGCCAGAAAGAGCCUUAUAGAGGGACUUCUGGGAAAGAUUAAUGAUGGCAUGGCAGAAGAAAUUCUUAUCACGUCAUGGGAGUUACAUGCAGGAACAGCCUGCAGGGGAGUGAACUGGGAAAAGCAUUCCUUGGCUGAGCUUCGUGCUGCUGUCACAUGCAUUGGGGGUCCUUGUCUUGCAUCAAUUUGCAGGCAUUUGGCUCAAGAUUAUCGGAGCUGGUCGAGUGGAAUGCCUGAUCUCUUGCUUUGGCGUUUUCACGACAAUUAUAAAGGUGAAGCAAAGCUUGUUGAAGUAAAAGGCCCAAGGGACAGACUUUCCGAACAGCAGCGUGCAUGGCUGCUGUUUCUUAUGGACUGCGGCUUCAACGUUGAAGUGUGCAAAGUAACUGCUCCAGUCGUGAAGUAAAAUGUGUUCUUAUCACAGCGUAUUCCAUCAUACAAAAACAUUUGUGCAACAUGUCAUCCUGCUCAGAGAGCUGUACGCCUGUUGAUCUUCAGAGGGAUAUUGCACUUAUCCCACGACUACAGCUGGAGAUGUAAAGAUUUAGUUCAACAUACGAUGAAGGGGUAGGCUCUCUGAACAAAUGCUAAGCCUACUUUUGGAGCUGUGCCUGUAAUUGCUAUGCAAUGUUCAGAGACUUCUUCCCUCUAGGGUUGCUGAGAAGUCAUCCAGUUGUAACGGUAAAAAGUUAUUGCUUCAUCUCUUUUUAUUUUCUUCUUCCCAACCAAUCGUUGUUUUGCUGGUAACUAUUGUUUGACCGGCAUUUCACACAAGUGGUGCUCUUCCACCCUCCCUAUAACUUCUGAAGAAACUUCUCCAGUUUAUUGGAGCCACCUCAAUAAAUUACUACAAAGAUAGAAAGAAAAUGAAUUGUAAUUGUAUUUUCGAUUGUACCUCCAACUUGAAUUGUGUCACAUUGAAGCCAUACCGUGUAGUGAAGUCAUCUACAUUCUGUACUGGUCUCCUGUAUAGAGUUGGCUUCUAAAUUCAUUAGCAAUUUGUGUUUUUCUUUUCGAGUUCUCUUCUAUAAUGUUUGCUUAUUCUUUCAGUUUGUCUGUUUCCUAUGUUGCAUGCAUUUAUCAAAGCUUCUUUUGAUGCUUUUGCUACAUUGUGGUCGGCUCUGAUACCAAAAUAUUUGAUUAAAUCCACUGAUAAAAUUGGUAAACAAACAAUUUUAUUCUACUGAAUGUGGAUCAACUAUAAUAAACAAUGUUUACAAAUUAAACACACAUAAAGGACAUCUCUGUUCCAAGACGAAACUAAUUUGAGCAUCACUCGUAUGUUUGCUCUCUAUUAUAUAUAUUAGUCUCACCCUUCAGAUAUUAGUUCAAUUUCGCACACAACUGAUUUCUCAAACACUUGCUUAGAGCCUGAAUGAGCAAGCCUGUGCUACUAGCUUACCGGACUUUAGCAAGUUCAAAAUUGCUACGGCUGGACAACAAACUUCCAAAGAAAGUUAAUGCUAAAAUCGCGAGGAAAAUAGCUUUAAAUAUGAUUAUCAUUCAUUCAAUUGUAAGUCACAUCUUAAACAAUUAUAAAGUCGCGUCUUAAAUACGAAUGCCAUUCAACAAUAAAAUCAUGUCCAAAAUUGCAAUAAAAUUUGACUUCGUUCAAAAUAAUUUGUUACCAAAUUAGUGCCGCUAUGGCAACUUCAGUAAUAGGUAUGCCCUAUUGUGGCCAUAGAGAAUUAAAGUUAGUCAUGACUUCUUAAUGGUUUCAAAGGAAACUUUUGUGAAUAAAAUUACAUCAAAAGAAAGAGAGUCGUGAAGAUUGAAAGUGUGUUAGGGUAUAGUAGAUACAAAUCGUGCUCCAUUAAGUAGGAUUACCUGAAAUCAGUUAGGAUAGUGCUCUAAUUCGUCACUUCAAUAUUUAGUUUUCCUUUUUUUGUUUUUAUUUUCUCUUUCUAGGACUUUAUCAAUUGGCUGCGUCAAAGUUAAUUGUUUUUGUUUGGGGGGGGCAGGAGAUUGGUUGUGGGUGGUAAAGUUGAAGACAUCGUAAAUAGAAGGUUUUGGGUUCAAAUCGGCCGUGUCAAUGUAAAUUGUUGUGUUGGGGGGAGGGGGGAGGGGGGAGAUUGGGUGUGGGUGAUGAAGACAUUGUAAAUAGGAGGUUUUGGGUUCAAAACUUUUCAUUUACCAAAAAAAAAAAAAAUCAGAGUUGUAAUUGGAAUGGUGGUUAUCGUUAUGAAACAUUCGUCAUAUACGCAUCCAAUAUUCUUCACUAAUUUUCAUACAAAUGACCAUCAAUUGAUUCUCUUUUCCUAAUAAUGUUUCCUUUGAUCGAUAAGUGAUGGUGUUAAUAAUAAUUUUGCGUGUAUAUCUUUUACACCUUUUCUAUGAAGAGAAGAAGACCUGAUUUAAGUUUAGGCCAUUUAUUCACUGUAUUUACAAAAUUGCUAUCCUUAAUUAUUACUAUGUGUUGAAUAUAAUAAUAGUAUGAUAUAUACUGUGCUAAAUAAUCCUAUUCUAAUUUCUUUUUUUAAAAAAAAAAUCCAUUACUUGUAGAAGAAAUCAAAUAUAUGAUGCAUUUAAUAUCUAUUUAAGGUAAUAUAGUUGUCAACUUCUAAAAUGUUUUAAAAGAGCAAAGCACCAAUUUAGUCCCUAAACUAUUUUACUAAAACCAACAUAGUCCCUAAACUUUGUUAUGACCUAAUUUAAUCCCUUAACUAUUUUUACAAAGCCAAAAUAGUCCUUAAACUUUACUAUGAGCCAACUUAGUCUUUCAACUAUUACGCUUAAGCUGAAAUAGUCCCAAACCCAUGCUUACAUGGGUAGUUUUGUCCUUAUUUGACUCAUCCACCCAAUUUAUUUAACUUUUUGCACUCAUAAUUGGGGGCCAAAAUAGAAAAUUCAAUCAUUGCCCUUAUUAAAACAAUAGAAAAACAUAUAUUUGUGAGAAUAUCGACAACAAAAUUGAAUCAUAUAUAGAAAAAAAAACAAAUUAAAGCUUCUUAUGGCAAAAAAAAUGGAGCUGAUGCUUUAAAAAAUUUCAUAGGGAUCCAAAUCAAUCCAUUAAAUGGAAAAGGGGGGAAAAUAACAUAACAAGAUUGUGCAAAAAAAUAAGUGCGAAGUUAAGAUGUCCUAGGUUCAAGUCCUCUCUCAAACACCAAAAUAAAAUAAAAUAAAAUAAAAAGAAAGAAAAUUAUUUUUUUUGCUUUCUAUAAAAUUCAAUUUCGUUGCUGUUUUUCACCCAUAUAAAUAUAGGUGAGGGACUAUUUCAGCUUAAGUAAAAUAGUUAAGGGACUAAAUUGACUUAUAAUAAAAGUUAAUGACUACAUUGGCUUUGUAAAAAUAGUUGAGGGACUAAAUUAACUCAUUUUAAAAUUUAGGACUACUUUGACUUUAGCAAAAUUGUUUAGGGACUAAGUUGAUAUUUUUCUCGUUUUAAAAAGAUGAUGAAUAAGUUUGUUAUACAUUUCAAAGUACAAAAAAUUUUGUAAGAUGAAGUGCCAGAAUAUAUUAUUUAGACAACAUUUAGCCUGCCAAAUUGAUGUAUUUGGUCUAUAUUAUUAGCUAAUUGAGUUGAUCAUAUAUGUUUUUUUUUUAGUCUUUUUUAUAUUUGUUUUGUAUCUUUUAAGCACAAUACAUGAAAAACCACGUAUCGUCUUUGAUAUUAUCUGGAUAAGUCAUGACCCAUGUGAAAAACCUGUAUCCCUCACCAUAACCAAUAUUGCUACCGUGUCAUUUUAUGUAUGGUAAUUUAUAACCUUUUAUUUUCACUAAUUCAUUCUUUGUUAGCAAUAGAACAACUGCAUGUCUUUCUAUUUUUUAUUCUAAAGUUUGAGUUAAUAUCAUCCUAAAUUGGAGUGCAAAUGAGUUGAGUUUAAUCUGAGUAGUUCGCGAGUUUGUUUGGUCAAAGCUCGAGUUCAAACAGUUUGAGUUACUUGAUCAGUCGAGUUCAUACUUAACAUGUAAACUCAAAAGUUUGUCGAAUUUAAUUAAACUCAAUUAGACUUGAUUAGGCUCGAUUAAGCAAAUUGAUUGAACUUGAUAAGCACAAGUUCAAACUCGACUUUCAAGAGCUCGACAAGUUCGAGUUCGAUCUCGAGUUCAAGUCCAAUUUUUUUUUAACUCGAGUAGAGUUCCAAUAAUACACUACCCAAACUGGACUUGCACUUAGGGGUGAGCAAUUACGGUAAAUACCGAUUUACCGACCGAAAUCGAUUUCAAUUUGGUAAAUCGAAUUUGGUAAUUCGGUAAUUCGGUCGGUAAAUCGGGGAUAUAGUACAAGUUGAAAUCGAAUUAGGUUCGAAAACGAUUUUAUAGUUUUUGAAUUCGGAUAUACCGAAUUCGAAUUCAUUUCGGUAAAGCGGUAAUAAUAUACCGUUUUCAAUUUCGAAAUUCCCGAAUUAAGUUACAUAGGAAAUAGUUCAUUAUGUCCGAUAUUCAUAUUGGUCCAAUUUCAGAUUUUCAGACGUGGUGCCCUAAUUCCGCUCUUCGUCCCCUCUUCCUCUCGCUCCUCUGCACUGCCGCGGCCCGCGGCGCAGUCCCAUCUUCCUCAGUUCCCCUCUUUCUCUCGUUUCUUCUCCUCUCCUCAUUCUGCUCAGUCCUCUCCUCAGUCAGUCCUCUGUCCUUUCCUCUCCUCUGCUCAGUCCACUCUUUCUCCGUUUCCCAUUCUGACCGAGGUUUCACCAUUGCUGACCGAGCGGAGCAUCCACUAUCACCAGGAGGUCCAGGACCACAGUUCGCUAGUGCUGAUUCCAGUGAAGCCUUGGAUAAGCCUAUCAGGUAAAUGGGUUUAUGAAAAAGACUCAAUAAUUGGAUUUUCAUUUGGUGUUUUUUUUUUCUUUUGGUAUUUGAUUCUGGAUGUCGUUGUUUAAUUUGCUAGUUUUUUUAUAUGGGCUAAUUUAAUUUCAGUGGAACUUGUAUGAUGUUUGAUGCUCAAUUUCCUUCCUGAUUGAAUCUUGAUAAAAGUUAUGAGUUUUUGAAUUGGAUAAGAGUAGUUGAGCCGGUACAAACUUGAGCAAACUUGGAUCAGUUUCAUUCUUCUUCUAGUGCAGCAAACUUGAGCCGGUUCUCCCUCUCUUCUUCUUAAUCUUUGCAUUUACAAAUCAUCUAAUGUUGAUUCCUGGAUUUUUUGUCCUGUCAGGUAUUAUUGUUAAUGGAAACAUUGCCUGGUAUUAAGUGACCGUGGACGUUUUAUUCGUGUGAAUUGCCAAAAUGGAUAGACUGUUGAACUCAAGUCAAUGUCGAAAUUGGUUCAUUUCUUCAUUUAAAGCUUUAGAUCUGUUCCAUAUAUUUUUUUUGAGGUUUUGGCCUCUGUUUUGUCAUGGCAUUAGUGGGAAGUCUUUUGUACAGAUUAUCACAUGUGCCAAUUAUCUGGCCACUAGAAUACAUACUCCAAUACCCAUUGUCUUCGAUUAUCUGAAAGGAGAAAAGUAAACAUUAUUCUAGGCUAUCAUUAAGCUUCAAAUUUACCAGUAGCAACUGAUGUUACUGCUUACGAUUGCAAUGCUGCUUAGGAUGAAGAUGAUUGAUGCCCACUUAAAUGACUAGGAGUCAAGAGCAUACUGUUGCUUGUAUGGGAGUGACCUUGUAAUUAUGCAGCUUUAUCAUAUAAUUGGAAUUUCGAUGUUAGAUUAAUUACUAAUGCUUUUGUUUGUGCGUGGGACUUUGUGGUCUUAGUAAAAACAUUCCCAGACAGCACUCAUUGUGUCUCUAGUUGAUUUUCUCAGCGUUCAUUGAAUGUUGUCCUGAGUUGGUUCUUCAAUUUCAUCUAGUCUUUUAUUUCAAUUUUAUUGCUAAAUGAUUGUUGCACUAAAUUGUAUAAUUUAUUUGCUCAGAUUCUCGCAAAACUUAAGGUAUGUCUACUACUAAUGAGGGUGAGAGUAAUCCAAGUCACAAUGAGUUAGAACAAGAAGGAUCAUCUAGAGGUCUUCUUCCUAGUCCUACAACACAAAGCUGUGAAGAAUCUGGUUUUGGCAAGAAAAGAGGAGAGUACAAGAAGAGGUCCAAAGCUUGGGAUCAUUUUCAUGUAAAGCAUGUGAAUGGAGUUCGUCAUGCAAUUUGCAAAUACUGUGAGAAGGACAUAGCCGCGGAUCCCAAAAGUCAUGGUACGACUCCCCUUAAUACUCAUGUAGCUAAAUGUCCUCUAAAUCCUAAAAAUAAGCACACUGGCCAGGCUACUUUGUGUUUGGGUGAAACUGAAACAUUAGAGGGAGAGGUUAAAGGGGCACUCAUAAGUUGGAAAUUUGAUGCGGAAGCCAUUAGAAAAAGCAUAGCUUAUAUGGUAAUUGUUGAUGAAUUGCCAUUUAAACAUGUAGAGGGUAGAGGUUUUCAAUACAUGAUGCGGACUGCUUGUCCAUCAUUUAGAAUUCCUUCGAGGUGGACUAUUUCUAGAGAUUGCUAUCAGCUGUAUUUAGAUGAAAAAAUUAAGUUGAAACAUCUCUUGAAGAAUAACAGUGGCAAAAUUUGUCUAACCACAGAUUCUUGGACAUCCAUUCAAAGGAUAAACUAUAUGUGCCUCACUGCCCAUUUCAUAGAUAAUGAUUGGAAACUGAACAAAAAGAUCCUAAAUUUCUGUCCUAUUGCUAGUCACAAGGGAACUGAAGUUGGUAAGGCCAUAGAAAAGUGUCUACUAGAAUGGGGAGUUGAUGAUAUCCUAACUGUUACAGUUGACAAUGCAAGUUCCAAUGAUGUAGCUGUCAGCUAUUUACGAGGAAAACUUCAAAAUUGGGGGAAAGCUGUGUUAGGGGGGAAAUGGACUCAUGUGAGAUGUGUAGCUCACAUAGUGAAUCUAAUUGUUAAUGAUGGCAUCAAAAAACUGGGGGAAUCAGUUGAUUGUAUCAGGGCAGCAGUUAGAUAUGUUAGACAGUCACCUUCUAGAUUGAAAAAAUUCAAGGAAUGUGUGGAAAUUGAAAAAAUUGAAUGCAAAAGAUUGCUCUGUUUAGAUGUCUCUACUAGGUGGAAUUCUACAUAUCUAAUGCUAGACACGGCUCAAAGGUUUGAGCGGGCUUUUGAGAGGUUCGAGGAGCAGGAUCCUUACAUGCUUCAAGAGUUAGAAAAUCUGCCAACAAAAUCUGAUUGGACAAAAGCUAGAUUCUUGGUAAUUUUUUUGGAGAACUUUUAUCAGCUAACUGUGAAGGUUUCUGGUUCCAAAUAUGUGACUUCAAAUAAUUUUUUCACUGAUAUUAGUCACAUACAUGGCAUUUUAAUUGAAAUGGCAGCAAGUGAUAAUGAAGAAUUAAGUUCAAUGGCAAGAUCAAUGAAGGAGAAAUAUGAUAAGUAUUGGGGAAAGAUUGAAAAGAUGAAUAUGCUGAUUUUUAUUUCCUCCAUGCUUGAUCCUCGAACUAAACUUGAAUACCUUGAAUUUGUGGUUUGCCAAAUGUAUGGUGAGUCCGAUGGUACAACAAUAGCUGGCCUUGCAAAAGAUGCAAUGUUUGAGCUGUUUAAUGAAUACAAGAUGCUCAACACACCUGCCUCAAAUUCUGUGUCUCAUGUUUCUUCACUUUCAAGUGAAUCUCAAAGGAGUAAAACUACAUUUUAUGGACAUGGGAAUGCCUCUAAAACAAUCACUGAUCGGUACAAGUUGGAGUUUAAGAAGAGAAAAAUGGAACUUGGGGGUAGGGAUGCAAAAUCUGAAUUAGAGAAAUAUUUGAAUGAGGAUUGUGAGGAAGAUGAUGAGAGAUUUGAUAUCUUGUUAUGGUGGAAGGCCAAUAGCCUUAGAUUCCCAAUCCUUUCAAAACUUGCUCGUGAUGUGUUAGCAGUCCCAAUUUCUACUGUGGCCUCCGAAUCUGCUUUUAGUACCGGAGGUCGUGUUCUUGAUACAUUUAGGAGUUCUUUGACUCCUAGAAUUGUGCAAAGUUUAAUAUGUGCUCAAGAUUGGUUUCGGUCCUCCAAGACAGAAUUAAAUGUAGAAGAAAAUCUGGAAGAACUUGAAGCCUUCGAAUCUGGUAUGCUAUCAAAAUUUUUAUUGCAAAAUUUGAAGUAUUUCUUUAUUUCUAAUAAUUGCCUUUAUGAUACUUCAUGAAUUUUGUUUGUUCUUGCAGAGUUGCUGAAGACCGGAACUGAAUCAACUGUAAUUGACCUUUGAGAGGUCACAAAUGCUGAAGUUUGAGAGUUGAACCACCUAUAAUUGUUUGUUCUUGUGGAUUGUGGAUUGUUUCUAGAUAAUUGACCUUUAUGAUUUCUGGAUUGAUUUCUGUAAUUUCUGAUUGUGGAUUUAUGAUUUCUGGAUUUGUGGAUUUGUCAUUUCUGGAUAUGUAUGAAGUUUGGGAUAGUUAGUAAUUUUGAAGUUUUCUAGAUUCUGUUUGGAUUUGUGAUUUCUUAAGUAAUGCUGUUUUGAACUGGUAGGCGUUAGCUACUGGGAAGAGGUUUUAUAUGUUGUGAUUUGGUAGUGCAAUCAUCUGGCUAUUGUGCCUAUGGACGUGAUUACUACUUCUAUUUUUUGAUUAUUUUGGUGCAGCUUUAUGAAUGAUAAUUGUGAACAGCACUUAUUUUAUUGCUAGAAAUUAUUUUAUUAUACAAAGCAAAACAGGCUGCAAUUGCUUCAGGAAUUCGGUCAAUUCGGUCAAUUCGUGUUUACCGAAUUCAAUCCGAAUUGAAUUCGAAUUCGGAAUUUGGUAAUUCGAAUACGAAUUAGGUCGAAAUAUCCCAACACCAUUUACCGAAAAUUACCGAUUUCAACCUACCGAAUUACCGAAUUCGAAUUCGAUGCUCACCCCUACUUGCACUGCUCGAGUUCGACUCAACUUGAUUGCACUACUAAUUAUUUUUGUUUCGGAUUGUGUUCUUUAUUUCUCAUCAAUUCAUUUGAAAAUUAUGAUUUCUCCCCUCAAAUAUACUAAACAAACCAAAUAGCUCAGGAAUGAUUAGAACCCAGGGGUUGUCAGCCUCCCAUCAUCCCAGGAUCAGUCAGCAAGAAUGACUAAUUUGUGAACGAAUAGAGUCCCUUAAUGCGACAGCCAAGUAUACAUUACCCGGUAACUUUAUUCACUUUGUGGCUUGAAUAAAUGCUUUAGAAUCAACUUCAAAAAGAACCACUCAUUGGUCAACAAACCACGAACCUAUACAUUUUAAACCUUAUUACAUGAAAAGAACAAUUGUUGAUUAAAUCAGAAAACAUGCUACUUGAAGCUGAGAAUUAUAAUAACUCUUUCACUUGGACUAGCAGCAUAAACCAGAGCACCAGUGUAUGUGCCUAAGCUAUUCAGAUUAAAAAAAAAAAAAAAAAGAAGAUGGAGUCAUAAUCGAUAGUUAAGGAAAAUUUUACAUAUUAACUUUCACAACUGAGACGGCUAGAACCUCACAACGUUAUUCACAACGUUAUCUUCAAUCAGACUAGAAAAUCGUGAGUCAUCUUUUAGCAGAAUUCUAGUAAAUCAAUCUCAUUAGGAAUAACAUUACCAAGAAAAUCUCAACCAGGCGAACAACACGGAACAACAGUUCACAGAUUAUUCACCUGUAUUCUGUUUCCAAUAUUAUGUAAUAAGGGUGGUCCGCGCCCUUCGCAGAGUAGAAGAGGGAGUCCCAUCUGAUUCUGCGAUCAGGAACACAGAGGCGCAAGUAGCAGACUGUAUCGGAGUGUCAAUUCAACUUUUACUACCAGGACUGGAGUUGUUAGAUGUUGCUAGUGCCGUUGCAAUUAAACUAGAAAGCUCAGCUUUGAAUUUCAGCCCCUGGCUUUUUACAAGGACUGGAAUUGUUGGAUG
rnacentral:lncRNA from 1 species